rnacentral:lncRNA from 1 species
AGGGGGGUGGCGGUAGCUGUAAGAAAGUGAAGAGCAACGAAGAUGACUUUAUGCCAAGCAAGAAAGCACAUAACAGAUCCAAGGUUUGUGCCAGCUUGAAGAGUUGUAGAUCAAGUAAGAGUGUAGCAUCAUCGAAGGGCGCCGAUGCUGUCUAUGAUUUUGCUGAUGAGUUUAUGCCAGUGAAACUAUUUCAGGCAACAUUUGGACACAAUGGUUAAGACCUCUUGAAGCCCCAUGUUAGUGAGAAUAGUGAUGAUGGCUUCAACAAGGACCGGCCGUAGUCACAUUCGAUUCAACUAAAGUUGGAGAAACAGACACCCACCAACCACCUUUAUGCACAACAAGUUGCAUGUCUGUCGGUGGAACCGGUCUCAUGAACGUGGUCAUGUAAGGUUGGUCCGGGCUGCUUCAUCCAACAAUACCACCGAAUCAAAAUAAUACGUUGGUGGUAAGCAGUAUGACUAUGAUCGCCCACAACUCUUUGUGUUUUACUCGUGCAUAUCAUCUACGCAUAGACCUGGCUCGGAUACCACUGUUGGGGAACGUAGCAUGAAAUUUCAAAAAAAUUCCUAUGAUCAUGCAAGAUCCAUCUAGGAGAUGCAUUGCAACGAGAGGGGGAGAGUGUGUCCACGUACCCUCGUAGACCGAAAGCGGAAGCGUUAGCUUAACACGGUUGAUGUAGUCGAACGUCUUCUCGAUUCAAACGAUCAAGCACCGAACUUACGACACCUCCUAGUUCUGCACACAUUCAACUCGAUGACGUCUCUCGAACUCUUGAUCCAACCAAGUUUCGAGGGAGAGUUCCGUCGGCACGAUGGCAUGGUGACGGUGAUGGUGAAGUGAUCCGCGCAGGGCUUCGCCUAAGCACUACGACAAUAUGACCGGAGGAGUAAACGGUGGAGGGGGGCACCGCACACGGCUAAGAACCAUUGAUGUCACUAGAGGUGCCCCCUGCCCUUGUAUAUAAAGGAGGGAGAGGGGAGGAGGCCAGCCUAGGGGCGCGCCAAGUGGGAGGAGUCCCACUCGGGCUCCUAGUCCAAUUCGCCCCCCCCNNNNNNNNNNNNNNNNNNNNNNNNNNNNNNNNNNNNNNNNNNNNNNNNNNNNNNNNNNNNNNNNNNNNNNNNNNNNNNNNNNNNNNNNNNNNNNNNNNNNGGCGAGAGGCGGCAUAGGGACGCGGGGCGGCGGUGGUCGGCGGGCAGCUGCAUCGGGAUGAAGCGGCAGGGUGGAGCCGACGGUGAGAGGGGGCCAGCAGCGGGCGCGUCCGAACGAGGUGGGGCGCAGGCGCGGGCGCAGGCAGGGGGCACGGGCGCGGCCAGGGCGGCCGGCGCGCGUGCGGGCAUCGGUGAGCGAGGCCAUGGCCGAAGUGGCCGGAGCAGGAGAGAAGGAGGAGAUGCCGGGGCCUCACCACGGGGCCGUGGGGUCUAGGCAGCGGUGCUCGGGGAGGUUGAUGGGGACGGCCGGCGCAGGGGAGGAGGCGACGACGUAGAGGACGUCGGGGAGGCAGUCUGGGCGGCGACGACGUUGAGCUGGCUCCAGGGACGGUGAGCGGCGGGCGGUGUCGAGGGCGCCGGUGACUUCGGGGCGGCCCCAGGCGGGCGUCGCACGAGGGAGAGGAGAGGCGAGGAGUCCGAGAGGGCGGCGCCGGCUCGCGGCGGCCUUAGCGGAGCCGCGACUUGUGUUGGGCGUAGGCGUACGGGAGGGGAUCGAACAGGGCACCCCUCCCCUGUCCGUUCGCCAGGGCGUGCGUGUGUCGUGGGUGACGGCGUGGGUGAGGGGAGAAGGGGAUCGUGGGGGGCGACUGGGUUCGUUCCCCCGAUCCAGAUCUAGAUCGGGGAGGGGGAGAGAACNNNNNNNNNNUGGGGGGUGUGUAUGAGCGAGUGGGACGGGGGAUUAUGGUUUCGGGGGGGUGUUAUGGAGGGAGUUGGUGGGCCGGCCUAGUCGGCCUGAUUGGCCCAGAGGCCAGCUGGGCCGUGGCCCAGUUAGGGCAGGGGGGGGGGGUUGUUUUAUUUUAUUUUUGUUUUGUCUUCAUUUAUUCUUUUAACUUCGGUUUUUAAAUGUUUUAAUAUCAAAACAGUUUUAUCAAGCUAUAAAACCCAUACCUAAAUUAGUAAGGUAGCAUAACUCACUGUAAUAAAAUGUUCACACAUUAUCUUAACUAGCUUACAAUUACCUAUAUACAUAAAAGCAAUUAUUAAGUAUUUUCAAAUAUUGUUUUAAUUAUUUUAGUGCACAUAAAUAUUUUAUAAAAGUGUGGUUUCAUCACCUACCACUACAUAUGGAUUAAUCGACACACUCCGAGCAUUUUAGUUUUAAUGUUUGAAAACUUCAUCAUUUGGGUUUGAUUUCGAAUUUGAAUUCGAUCGGGUUUGAAUUAAUGCGAGAUUAACAAUAGUGACCUCGGUGACAUGGCAUCAUUAGUAGAGGUUACUGUAGCAUGAUUACCCGGGCAUCACAAUUCUCCUUCACUACAAGAAAUCUCGUCCCAAGAUUUAAGAGGUAGUGAAAGGGGGAAAAGGUUUGGUUACGAAUCUAGCGGGUCUUCUCAUCCUGGCUUGCUCUUCUCGAAGAGGCCGGUCCAAUACAUUGACGUCUUCAUUUCUCUGCUUCAGGUCACCAUGACGAAGUCGGCGUCCUUUCUUCAGGAACUCAAUCAUACUUACGAAAGAAUAAAGGGUGGGCAUUCCGAGAGAACAGACCUCUGCAAGGUCGACUAUCUGGUCGAUAACAUCGAGGAAGGUGGCAGAACUGCGGAAGUAACUCUUGAAUUGAAACUUACGAAAAUAUCGAGAACAUAGUAAGGAGGUAUCAUGUGAAGUUUCAAGCGGGAAGACAAACGUUCGAUGCCUGAAACGGGGCGUGAACGGGGUUCAAAGCAACGGGAAUACGUAUCGUGUCUGAUACAAGAAUUGAUGAGCUCUCCAAAGGUGGCUCGUGAUCUUUCAUAUGAAGCCAAGCUUGAGGAAUGACUUUAGAAACAGGGGUGUACGGAAGAGUCAGGUUUCGAUCCUGUGGAACUGUGGGUUAUGGGCCCACCAUGUGGGAUAAAAGUAGGAGUGGUGACAUCUUGCAUGGUCACGAUAGAAGGCAUGUCAGAGACUAGCCUGUCAGUUAUGUCGGCAACAACAUCGAUACCAAGGGCGAGGGACGAAGAGAACCAUUUUCCUGCUCGUUGAACGAGGCGGACCAAUAGGCAAAGUUCUCGUCCAUCGGUGGUUAUCGGGAUGCUAUCAAUAAUGGUAACAGGGUCUUACUGACAGAGUUGUACAACGAGGUGCUUACUAAGCAAGGAAUUAUCACUGCUCGGUUAAGUCAGAUUACAAGAAAGCUUAAACAAGACAAUGGAAAGGAAAAUGUGAUUAUCAGGUUUAACCUGAACAAUGGAAAUGAAAAUGUGUAUACAUACAUAUUUCGGGGGUAUAUCUUUCCCAAGGACAAGCGGAGCAUGAUAUCCAUGACAGGAUAGAAAGUAGAAAACCAUUAAGGUAAGGGGAAGGGAUUUCAUGAUAUUACCCAUACAACGGUGUUUGGAUAAUUGAGCAAGAAAACAUUUAGCAUUGGGCUUCAAAUGUUCUUGUCGAAAAUCAGAGUACCACAGACAUGCUUCGAGAUAGCACUGCAUGGUCUUCAAGCAAAUGUCGGACUUGGAUUCACAAAGGAUUCAUCAGGAACAACUUAUAGAAUAAGUCUUUCAAUUUCCUCAUGGAAGAAUGGAUAACCUUGCUACAAAGAAAACUAUAACAAUAGGUCCUCCGGCCAGGUGUGCUAGGCAUGACAUCACCUUACCGGUUCAUAUAAAGACCAACGUUAUAACUCUUGGAAAUAUGUUCCAACCAUCAUAUCUGACCGAGAUUCAGAUUUGAUUGGUGUCAGGAUACCUCAGACUCAGGAUGCCUGAGAAGAAAAGGUGCAACAUAAUUUGAUGAGAUGACAUUGUGAGAUUCUCAGAAAUGAUCUAUGGAAGUGAGCUCUGAAACAAGAGUUCAUCAGUAAACCAAGGAGAGGAUGAGGAGGUGGCUGAUAGGCUCAGCAACAAAUCAUCGAGAUUUCCAAAGGAUGGAUUUCCACAAUUAUGUGAACAAGGAAAUAUCAUUUGUCGGAUCAAAUGAUAUAAUGAUGUAUGCUCGAGGGAAACAUACACAACUGAACAAUGANNNNNNNNNNNNNNNNNNNNNNNNNNNNNNNNNNNNNNNNNNNNNNNNNNNNNNNNNNNNNNNNNNNNNNNNNNNNNNNNNNNNNNNNNNNNNNNNNNNNUGCGACGUGUUGAUCUUCCGAGGCCGGGCAUGACCCAGGAAAGUGUGUCCGGCCAAAUGGGAUCGAGCGUGUUGGGCUAUGUGGUGCACCCCUGCAGGGAAGUUAAUCUAUUCGAAUAGCCGUGAUCUUCGGUAACAGGACGACUUGGAGUUGUACCUUGACCUUAUGACAACUAGAACCGGAUACUUAAUAAAACACACCCUUCCAAGUUCCACAGACAACCCGGUGAUCGCUUUUCCGCAGGGCGACAAGGAGAGGAUCGCCGGGUAGGAUUAUGCUAUGCGACGCUACUGGAGAGGUUACUUGGAGAUGCUAUUGAAGAUGCUACUUGGAGGACUUUAAUCUACUCUCUCCUACAUGCUGCAAGAUGGAGGCUGCAGAAGCGUAGUCUUCGAUAAGACUAGCUAUCCCCCUCUUAUUCUGGCAUUCUGCAGUUCAGUCCACUGAUAUGGCCCUUUACACAUAUACCCAUGCAUAUGUAGUGUAGCUCCUUGCUUGCGAGUACUUUGGAUGAGUACUCACGGUUGCUUUCUCCCCCCUUUUCCCCCUUUCCUUUCUUUCUGGUUGUCGCAACCAGAUGCUGGAGUCCAGGAGCCAGACGCCACCGUCGACGACGACCCCUACUACACCGGAGGUGCCUACUACUACGUGCAGCCCGCUGACGACGACCAGGAGUAGUUUAGGAGGAUCCCGGGCAGGAGGCCUGCGCCUCUUUCGAUCUGUAUCCCAGUUUGUGCUAGCCUUCUUAAGGCAAACUUGUUUAACUUAUGUCUGUACUCAGAUGUUGUUGCUUCCGCUGACUCGUCUAUGAUCGAGCACUUGUAUUCGAGCCCUCGAGGCCCCUGGCUUGUAUUAUGAUGCUUGUAUGACUUAUUUUAUUUGUAGAGUUGUGUUGUGAUAUCUUCCCGUGAGUCCCUGAUCUUGAUCGUACACAUUUGCGUGCAUGUUUAGUGUACGAUUGAAUCGGGGGCGUCACAAGUUGGUAUCAGAGCCGACUGCCUGUAGGAAUCCCCCUUUCCAACUCCUUGGCCGAAGUUGAGUCUAGACUUUACAAAAACUUUUACUAACAUGGCUGUGCGGCCCAUGGGCCCACGUCGCCAUUGGGUGGUAUAAGGAUCUUUUAUUCCUCGACCUUUACUCUGGGACUCUGAUCUCUCCUCUAUUCGGGUUAAAUGAAGUUUAUUAAAUCUAACAUUAGGAUCUCGUUAUCACUUUCACCCGGAGAGCCCCUUAUUACUAAUGAUCGUCUGCUGCACCAGAAGACCCUGAAGAUACUCUCCACUGUUAACCCGAGAACUUGUGUUCAUCGCGUUUGCAAUUCACCUUCCACCGCAAACCCUUAUGGAUAACUACUUGCAUUUGUUAUUCUUACAUUCAUCCCCAGUGGUCUUGUUAUUACAAGAUACCCUGAAAAACUCGUCGUUGUUUCGAAAAUCCCUUGAGCUUACUGCCUUGCUGUUCUUUGUCACUUGAAUACCCCUACGGUUAAUUCUCGCACUUAUCGAGUAUCCGCUCAUCCCCCAGUUGUUCAUGUGUUACACAAAAGUCUUCGAAAUACCACCCGAUAUUCCGAAAAUCCUCAGCAACCUAUUGCUCUGGAAUUUCUUGUUUGCUUUCAUUAUGAUUAAUCCCAUAAGUAUAGAAAUCUUAUUGACAUUCCUUGUCAUUAUCAUUUUGAGUCUGUUGACUCAAUAUGCUGCGAAUACACGCAAUCAUCAUUGAUCCUUAUAAAUUACUUUUCCGGCUGAGCUUCCAUCCUUUUAACUGGAAAUGGUUCUCGACCAAUCCAAUUGUCGUUGAUUGUACCCUAAGGCUAUUCAACUUAUCCAUCCCUAAUCAGAGCAUUGAUUCUGUUCCCUUAAUUUGGAAAUCAUAAUUACUUUGCAUUUGAGCUCUGGAUUAGUCAGUUGUUUCUAUAAUCCAAUGCCCUUGCAUUGUUACUUCCUCUGAUGGUGUGCCGAUGCUCACAUCAGCUCUGUUAUGGACCGACAGAUCCUUUAAUGGAUUUUAUCCGACAUUGUCCUUCAUAUUCAAUAACCUUGUGAGCCUUCCCUUGGAUACAUAAUGCCUUUGGUAAAUUGUAUCAUCUACUUUCUCAACCUUGCUCUACUUUUGAGCUUGUGAUAUUUACUAUUGAAGUUUGUGGUAUAUGUUCGUAAGAUGCCCGGAUGGGUUGAACCUAUGCCUUCCUUAAUAUGUGUGAACUCGAAAGAUUUCACGAGUCAUACUCAUCUGGUAUUUCACCAGGUAAAACUUUCAACACUAAUGCCUUUAUCAAAGCGAGAAGUGAAUGGAAGAUUAUACAUUAAAGAAGUGGGAGUCGACCUUGAACUUUGUGUUCAUGCCCAUAGACACGAUGUAGAUCUUCUCAUCGAAGCUUCUUUUAAAAUUAAUUAUUCCCUUGGUAUAAGUUCAUCUUAUAUCUGGGAUCUGGCCUUUUUCAAUCGUGGUUCCGACCAUGUUCUCCUUUAAAUACCAAUUCUCGUGCAAGUUUAAGCACUUGUCUUCUGCAGAGCAAUACCCCAGUCCAACCUCUAUUUUGAUCUGUCGUCGAGUAUUACCCCCUGGUAUCUCGAGAUUAUCAUGGAACUGCAUAACUUCUUAUGAGUUCUUCAUCAAGUGCUACGUUCCCACUGAUUACAAUUUUUCAUGGGCUCUGAGUUAUUAAACACUCAAAGACACCGAUAACUGAACCGAGUCCGCUCUACGGUUCAGCAACUCUUCAGUAAGCUUCUAUAAGUACGAGUUUGUACCCGAUCACGCCAUUCCUAGCCUGUUUGGCUAUAUCAUUGUCGUGACGAUUCUAACGGUGCUACCUGGUCCUUAUUCUCGGAGCACCAAUUUUCGACGAUGAACUAACCUUACGUCGAUUUUUCCUCGUCAUACCCUUUCACCUUAAACAACAAGCUUGAGUUCGAGUUUGUGUCGUAACUGUGGUUCCAAUAACCUCUUGCUUCAUCAUUCCUUUGACUUGAUGUCGUCGCUGAUUGACUACAUCUNNNNNNNNNNNNNNNNNNNNNNNNNNNNNNNNNNNNNNNNNNNNNNNNNNNNNNNNNNNNNNNNNNNNNNNNNNNNNNNNNNNNNNNNNNNNNNNNNNNNGGUAACAAAAAUCUGAUAAUUAUGUAUAUCAGUAGCCCCUGAGACUUGAAACAGUUGGUACAACUAAUUUAAGGAUCAUUGUAUGAAUAGGUUCUUACAGAGAAGAAUACCCAUUUGUAUCAAGAGCUGGAAGAGUGUAAAGCCCAACUAAGGGCCGCAACUGCCGAAAUGGAGGAAUCCAAGAAGGGCUCAUCUGGUAAUAUUUCUCUCGAUCGAGAAGAAACAUAAUAUCGUGUUCCAUUUACUGUUCGGCACAUUGCAGAUCUAACAAUAGAUUCCGCACGUAAUCCCGAAGUGAAUCCGGAGAUCCUACAAGAGGAUGAACAAAGAGCUCAACGACAACUAGAGGCUAGCGAGCGUGUACUUACACGGGUCAGGCGAGAGAAAAAUGAUCUCCAGGAUGCCAAUACCCAGCUGGGCGUAGAAUUGAAAGAUGUUCGGGCCCAGCUAGCUGACUCCGUGAAGGAGAAUAGAAGGCUUCAAUGCGGCAUUUUUAGUAUGUGCUCAAACGAACCUUUAUAUAGUUCGGCGAAGAAACGGGCUAACAGAGUUAUGUCUGUACGUAUACUGACUGGUCGUCCCGAAGAGGAGAUGCACGAAUCCUCAUGCGAUCUUCUGCAAGAGCUUUCGCAACUGCACGAACAAGUUCGGCAGGUGAUGCAGGGAGUCGCCAAGGCCUUGUGGCCAUCCGCCUCCCUGCUAGGAAGCAUGGGGGAGCUUGUACAGCUGCUCAAGGGAGCGCGGCACCACUUCCGAUUAUGGAAGAUAUUUGCAUGUCGACAAGGUGCGAGGAAAGCUUGGGCCAUGGUAAAAACACGGUAUACCAAGCUGGAUCCGAAUAACAUGGCCCGGGUCGGACUUGUAGGGUCAGAUGGGAAAGAGAUUAGCUUGGUAUAUGACCAGGUAGGAUUAGCUGCAAAGUAUUCCCAACAGGAUUGUAGGCUGGACAGCCUAUUGGAUGGCAUAGAAGAAGAAGUAAGUGAGUCUAAGUGACUAUGUACUUCGAUUGACAUAUUUUGUCCCUAGCCGGAUUGUAAAUCAUUUGUCAUGGCGGACCUUUUCGCUUCAACCUCCGGACCCGACAGUCCGGAGUGUUUCCGAAUACCCGCUCAGUUAUAUAAACUGGGGUACGCGUGGAAACCAGGCAUAGGGGUCAUAAUUGCUUGAACAGACAAGUACCCAACUAGCUAUGUUAUAUUACAUGGAUAGUAAGAAACAUCUUCCAGGGAGAAUAGUUCCGUUAAGGGUUCCUUUCCCUGGGUACGCAUGCAUUAAUGUGCUUGUCCGAACUGCGAGCAGAAAUGCAGUAUAUGCAACAUCUGGGGGUUUGUAUUGUAAUAGGUAAAAACAUCUUUAGUUCACCGACCGAAUAUUCCAUUAAGAACGCUAGCUUUCGGCUUCACCUAGUCUGAGGUACACGUCCGGAGUACCCGGCAGUAACAAUCGCAGAGGUGCUCCCCUUAUGCCCUAGCCGAACUAAGGGGAACGUAGGGCCUAAACACAAGAGCCAGGCAACCCAGCUUGGCCAAAACCUAAGUCAUAUCGAUGCAUAUAAUGGUGAAGAAAAGGUACAUAUGGGAAAGCAACACACAUGCAGUGGGCGUGAUGCCCGAAAGAUAAUUAUAUUAAGCUUCUAUAUAAGAAGCCCCCAGGUAUAGUGAGUGCGCAUACUUGAGGAUUUAGCGCGUCAAGUGUGUGUAGUUGAGUCACACUUAAAGCCUUAGAGCCAUAAAAAGAAAAGGAGAGGAUAUAACUAAAAAAGGCGGACGAAAGGAAACGAACACAGAGUUCGGCGCUAGGCGUAGAAUCUUCGGAGUCUGGCCGCGUUCCAUGGGUUCGGCUCGAGUCGAUUAUCUGAUGCAUCACGCAGGCGGUACGCUCCUCCGGUGAGAACUUUAUCGAUGAUGAAGGUACCCUCCCACUUGGGCUUGAGCUUGUCAUUUCUCUUCUCACGUAGGCAUAGAAUGAGUUUGCCAAUGUUAUAAGUUUUGGCCCGUACUUCUCUAUUUUGAUACCUGCGAGCCUGUUGCUGAUAGAAUGCGGAACGGGCUUUUGUGACGUUGCGCUCCUCCUCCAAGGCAUCUAAGCUGUCCUGCUGAUCAAGCUUGGCUUCUCUCUCUUCAUACAUGCGCACUCGAGGUGAGUCAUGAAUGAUAUCGCAGGGCAACACCGCCUCUGCGCCGUACACCAUGAAGAAGGGUGUGUAUCCGGUAGUGUGAUUUGGCAUGGUCCAGAGCGCCCAUAGUACAGAGUCGAGCUCCUCGACCCAGUGCGUGUCUGAUUCCUUCAGAGAUCGCACUAGUCAAGAUUUUAAGCACAUAGAGAGGAAACUUGACAUUAUUGCAAUUCCUACAAGCAUAUGUUCCUCCCUCAUAAUAAUUUUCAGUAGCAUCAUGAAUGAAUUCAACAAUAUAACCAGCACAUAAAGCAUUCUUUUCAUGAUCUACAAGCAUAGAAAAUUUACUACUCUCAACAUAAGCAAAUUUCUUCUUUAUAGCAUACGUAUCAUCACAAUAAUCAUCAUAGAUAGGAGGCAUGCUUUCAUCAUAGUAAAUUUGCUCAUCAAAACUUGGGGGACAAAAUAUAUCAUAUUCAUCAAACAUAGCUUCCCCAAGCUUGUGGCUUUGCAUAUCAUCAGCGUCAUGGAUAUUCAAGGAAUUCAUACUAACAACAUUGCAAUCAUGCUCAUCAUAUAAAAACAUUCUAUAGAUUUCUUCUUCUAGCACUUGAGCACAAUUUUCCUUUCCAUCAUACUCACGAAAGAUAUUAAAAAGGUGAAGCGUAUGAGACAAACUCAACUCCAUUUUGUUUUGUAGUUUUCUUUUAUAAACUAGACUAGUGCUAAAACAAGAAACAAAAAGAUUCGAUUGCAAGAUCUAAAGAUAUACCUUCACUUACCUAGCCUCCCCGGCAACGGCGCCAGAAAAGAGCUUGAUGUCUACUACACAACCUUCUUCUUGUAGACGUUGUUGGGCCUGCAAGUGCACAUGUUUGUAGGANNNNNNNNNNNNNNNNNNNNNNNNNNNNNNNNNNNNNNNNNNNNNNNNNNNNNNNNNNNNNNNNNNNNNNNNNNNNNNNNNNNNNNNNNNNNNNNNNNNNUGAAGGGAUUGACAACCCCUUACCGCGUUGGGUGCAAGUUUGUUAAUUGUUUUUGCAGGUAUUCGGUGACUUGUGGGUAGUCUCCUACUGAAUUGAUACCCCGGUUCUCAAACUGAGGGAAAUACUUACUCUACUUUGCUGCAUCAUCCUUUGCUCUUCAAGGGAAAAACCAAUGCAAGCUCAAGAGGUAGCAGGAAGAAUUUCUGGCGCCGUUACCGAGGACAUCUACACCAAGUCAAGACAUACCAAGUACCCAUCAUAAACUCUCAUCUCUUGCAUUACAUUAUUUUCCAUUCAUCUCUCGUUUUCCUCUCCACCACCUCUAAUUUUUUUUUCGAAAAGAUGUUCCUUUUCUUCCCGUCUUUUCCGUUCAUCUUCUUUCGUUUGCUUCUUGUGUGCUUGUGUGUUGGGUGUCUGUUUUCAUUGAUCGCGCAACCAAAAAGCGUUGAUCCUCACCUUAGGAGCUUGGAAGAAAUUGAGAAUAAUGUUAUAAGCUUUAUGUCUUUAAAAUUUGAGCAUAAUAAUUUCUUUAGAAACGAGCUUAAAGAACAAAAAAGUUUUAUGGAGUAUUUGAAUAAAGAGCUCGAUGAUAUGUCUAAAGAAUUUUAUGGUUUGAAUUCUCAGUUUGCUCAUCUUGAAAAUUUUGUAGGUCAAAUUUCUAAUAAACAAGCCACCUUAGUUAAUAAGAUGGCCGCUAAACCCGAGGCUCUAAAUAAUAAUGAUGAAGAUCUAAAGGUUAUUGAUGUGACUCCAAUUGAAUCUUUGUUUUCCAAUGUUAAUCUUGAUAAAUAUGGGACUGGAGAUGAGUCAACUUUAGUUAAAAGGCGUCCCAAUGAUUUGGAGUUUUUAGAUCUAGAGGCAAAAAUUGAUAAAAGUGGGAUUGGAGAGGUCAAAACUUUACAUAGCAAUGAACCCACUAUUUUGGAUUUCAAGGAAUUUAAUUGUGAUAAUUGUUCUUUAAUAGAUUGCAUUUCCUUGUUGCAAUCCGUAUUGAAUUCUCCUCAUGCUUAUAAUCAAAACAAAGCUUUUACAAAACAUAUCGUUGAUGCUAUGAUGCAAUCUUUUGAAGAAAGCUUGAAUUAGAAGUUUCUAUCCCUAAAAAACUUUAUGACGAGUGAGAACCUACUAUUAAGAUUAAUAUCAAAGAUUAUGAAUGCCAUGCUUUGUGUGAUUUGGAUGCUAGUGUUUCCACGAUUCCAAAAAUGUGUGUGAUGUGUUAGGGUUUCAUGAAGUUGAUGAUUGUUCUUUAAAUUUGCAUAUUGCGGAUUCCACUAUUAAGAAACCUAUGGGAAGGAUUAAUGAUGUUCUUAUUGUUGCAAAUAGGAAUUAUGUGCCCGUAGAUUUCAUUGUCCUUGAUACAGAUUGCAAUCAUACAUGUCCUAUUAUUCUUGGUAGUCCUUUCCUUAGAAUGAUUGGUGCAAUUAUUGAUAUCAAAGAAGGAAACAUUAGAUUCCAAUUUCCGUUAAGGAAAGGCGUGGAACACUUUCCUAGAAUAAAAUAAAAUUGCCAUAUGAAUCUAUUAUGAGAGCCACUUAUGGAUUGCAUGUCAAAGAUGACAAUACCUAGAUCUAUUCGUGUUUUUAUGCCUAGCUAAGGGCGUUAAACAAUAGCACUUAUUUGGAGGCAACCCAAUUUUAUAUUUGUUCUUUGCUUUUUGUUCCUAUUUAGUAAUAAAUAAUUCAUCUAGCCUCUGGUUAGAUGUGGUUUUAUGUUUUAGUUAGUGUUUGUGCCAAGUUAAAUCUUUAGGAUAGCUUACGGUGCUAGUUGUGUUGAUCCUGCUGAAAAUCAGAAACUUUUGCGCCCAGGAAAAUAAUUUUCAUAAUUCACAGAGACGUGCUUUUGAUCUGAUUCUUUUUGCUCUGGAUCGGUACACAAAUUGCUCAGGUUUUUAUAACUUUUCAGAAUGUUUUGGAGUUACAGAAGUAUUCAAGAGUUACAGAUUGCUACAGACUGUUCUAUUUUUGAUAGAUUUUGUUUUUUGCAUGUUGUUUGCUUAUUUUGAUGAAUCUAUGGGUAGUAUCGAGGGGUAUGAACCAUGGAAAAGUUGGAAUACAGUAGAUAUUACACCAAUAUAAAUAAAUAAUGAGUUUGCAAUAGUACCUUAAAUUGGUGAUUUAUUUUCUUAUACUAUUGGAGCUCAUGAGAUUUUCUGUUGAGUUUUGUGUUGUGAAGUUUUCAAGUUUUGGGUAAGGAUUUGAUGGACUAUGGAAUAAGGAGUGGCAAGAGCCUAAGCUUGGGGAUGCCCAAGGCACCCCAAGGUAAUAUUCAUAUUCGUCUAUCGGUAACUUUACUUUAGGCUAUAUUUUAUUCACCACAUAAUAUGUGUUUUGCUUGGAGCGUCUUGUAUGAUUUGAGUCUUUGCUUUUUAGUUUUUCACAAUCAUCCUUGAUGUACACACCUUUUGAGAGAGACACACAUGAAUUGUGAUUUAUUAGAAUACUCUAUGAGCUUCACUUAUAUCUUUUGAGCUAAACAAUAUUGCUCUAGUACUUCACUUAUAUUUUUUUAGAGCGCGGUGGUGGCUUUAUUUUAUAGAAAUUAAUGAACUCGCAUGCUUAACUUAUAUUAUUUUGAGAGUCUUUUAGAACAGCAUGGUAAUUUUCUUUGGUUAUAAAUUUAGUCCUAAUAUGAUAGACAUCCAAGAUGGAUAUAAUAAAAACUUUCAUAUAAAGUGCAUUGAAUACUAUGAGAAGUUCCAUUCUUUAUGAUUGUUUUGAGAUAUGAAGAUGGUGAUAUUAGAGUCAUGCUUGUGAGUAGUUGUGAAUUUGAGAGAUACUUGUGUUAAAGUUUGUGAUUCCCGUAGCAUGCACAUAUGGUGAACCGUUAUGUGAUGAACUCGGAGCAUGAUUUAUUUUUUGAUUGUCUUUCUUAUGAGUGGCGGUCGGUGAUGAGUGAUGGUCUUUUUCUACCAAUCUAUCCCCCUAGGAGCAUGCACGUAGUACUUCGUUUUGAUAACUAAUAGAUUUUUACAAUAAGUAUGUGAAUUCUUUAUGACUAAUNNNNNNNNNNNNNNNNNNNNNNNNNNNNNNNNNNNNNNNNNNNNNNNNNNNNNNNNNNNNNNNNNNNNNNNNNNNNNNNNNNNNNNNNNNNNNNNNNNNNGGGGGGGGGAUUUCGUGGCCCUUGGUGGAGGGGUCCGAAAUCAACCCUAUCUCUUGUUUCCCUGCACAUACGGACUCUAAAAAUAGCCUAUACUUAUGUAUUUCGAAAUUACAUGGGCCUGGCCCAAUAAUAAGGUGACGCAGCACCUAGAAUAGCCUCGGGACGAAAUUUAUGAAGUGGUAUCUUGUAUAUUUCGUCCAAGGCUUCAUGCACCCAUUAUGGUGGCUUCAAAGUCCUGAAAUCAUCACUUGUAACUCCGUUCUUGUUUCCCUUGCGCAUGCCAUCAUCUCCAUGCUUGUUCUUGCUCCAAUGUUUAUCCUUCUCCAUGCUAGGCCCUUCAUUUGUAAGCAAAACAAAUGUAUCCAAUUUAGGCAACAUCAUAUUCUCAUGAACAUUAGAAUCAUUACCAAGAAAUGAAAGUACCUGGUAAUUUAGUUGGCGUGCGCGAGCUCUAGUAAUUGGUCCAGUAUGUAUAGCAGCAGGGGCUGUGGGUGUAACAAAGGUAUUGAUGUCCUCAUCAUCCUCCCCUUCUUGAAAUGAAGUCGUCCUCGACGGAAGUUCAUCUUCCUCACCCAAGUAAGGCUUCAAAUCUGCAAUGUUAAAAGUGGGACUAACCCCAAAAUCUGCAGGCAGCUCAAGUUUAUAUGCAUUAUCAUUUAUUUUCUCCAACGCCUUAAAGGGACCAUCAGCAUGUGGCAUUAGCUUUGAUUUGCGCAAAUCAGGAAAUCUAUCCUUACGCAAAUGUAACUAAACAAGAUCUCCAGGUGCAAACACAACAUGUUUUCUAGCCUUAUCUCCAGCAAGUUUAUAUUUAGCAUUCAUACGCUCAAUGUUUUCCUUAGUUAACUCAUGCAUUUUUAAAAUCAAUUCAGCACGUUGUUUAGCACUAAAAUUAACCUUCUCCGAAGAUGGAAGAGGCAACAAAUCAAUAGGUGCACGAGGUAGGAAACCAUACACAACUUCAAAAGGGCACAUCUUAGUAGUAGAAUGCAAUGAAUGAUUAUAAGCAAAUUCAAUAUGAGGCAAGCAUUCCUCCCACAUUUUCUUAUUAUUCUUCAAAACAGCCCUAAGCAUAGUAGACAAUGUUCUAUUGAUUACUUCAGUUUGUCCAUCAGUUUGGGGGUGACAACUAGUACUAAAAAGCAGUGUAGUCCCCCACUUAGCCCAUAAACAUCUCCAAAAGUGGCUAAGAAAUUUAGUAUCACAAUCUGAAACAAUAGUAUUUGGCACACCAUGCAAGCGAAUAAUUUCACGAAAGAACAAAUUAGCAACAUUAACAACAUCAUCGCUUUUAUGACACGGUAUAAAGUGUGCCAUUUUCGAGAAUCUAUCCACGACAACAAAUAUGCUAUCCCUCCCCUUCUUUGUUCUAGGUAAACCUAAAACAAAGUCCAUAGAUAUAUCCUCCCAAGGAACACUAGGUACAGGCAAAGGCAUAUAUAAACCAUGAGGAUUGAGUCAUGACUUAGCUUUUUGACAUGUAGUGCAACGAGCAAUUAAACGCUCAAAAUCCCGUCUCAUCUUUGGCCAAAAGAAAUGUGUAGCAAGUACGUCCUCCGUCUUCUUCACGCCAAAGUGUCCCAUUAGUCCUCCUCCAUGCGCCUCCUGCAACAACAAAAGACGAACGGAGCUAGCUGGAAUGCAUAGCUUGUUAGCACGGAACACAAAUCCAUCAUUAACGACGAACUUGUUCCAUGUUCUUCCUUCUUUACAAUUCUGCAAUAUAUCUUUAAAAUCAGCAUCAUGCACAUAUUGAUCUUUGAUGGUCUCCAAACCAAAUAUUUUGAAGUCAAGUUGUGAAAGCAUAGUAUAGCGACGAGACAAUGCAUCAGCAAUAACAUUUUCUUUACCCUUCUUUUGUUUAAUGACAUAAGAGAAAGUCUCAAUGAAUUCAACCCAUUUAGCAUGUCUACGAUUCAGUUUAGCUUGAGUUUUAAUAUGUUUCAAAAAUUCAUGAUCAGAAUGUAUAACAAAAUCUUUGGGCCAUAAAUAAUGUUGCCAUGUUUAUGAAGUCCGAACAAGAGCAUAUAAUUCUUUAUCAUAAGUAGAAUAAUUCAGACUAGGCCCACUCAAUUUUUCAGAAAAGUAUGCAAUAGGUUUGUCAUCUUGUAAUAAGAUACCUCCUAAUCCAAUUCCACUAGCAUCACAUUCAAGCUCAAAAGUCUUAUUAAAAUCAGGAAGUUGGAGUAAAGGAGCAUGUGUCAACUUAUCUUUCAAUACCGUGCAGGCUUCUUCCUGUGCGGUACCCCAAACAAAAGGCACAUCCAUCUUUGUAAGCUUGUUGAGAGGUGCAGCAAUGGUGCUGAAAUCUCUCACAAAACGCCUAUAGAAUCCAGCGAGGCCAAGAAAACUCCUCACUUGUGUGACCGUUUUGGGCUGCGGCCAACUCUCAAUAGCUUCAAUCUUGGCUUUGUCAACUUUAAUUCCCUGUGGAGUAACAACAUAGCCAAGAAAAGAUACUCGGUCGGUGCAAAAGGUGCACUUCCCAAGGUUACCAAACAAACGUGCAUCACGUAGAGCAAUAAAAACAACACGUAAAUGUACCAUCCUUUUUCGGCACUAGAAUAAUAGGAACAACACAAGGACUAAGGGAUUCGCGUAUAUAACCUUUGUCGAGCAGCUCCUGUACUUGACACAUAAUCUCCUUCGUCUCCUCUGGAUUGGUACGGUAUGGUGCACGGUUGGGUAAUGAUGCAUCAGGAAUUAAGUCAAUCUGAUGCUCAAUCCCUCGAAUGGGAGGUAAUCCCGGUGGCACGUCUUGUGGAAAGACGUCAGCGAACUCCUGCAAAAUGUUAGUGACAGCAGGAGGCAAAGAGGAAGGCACGUCCUCGAAUGAAAAUAAUGCCUCUUUGCACACAAAAGCAUAGCAAACAGAUUUGCUGAAAUCUAGCUCAUCAAUAUCAAAUUUAGUGGCAAGUAGACAUGCGCUUUUCAAUUUAAUUUCAGAAGCAACACUAGAUCGUUUACUAUUAGGCUUCAUUUGCUGCUCAAAUUCUUUCNNNNNNNNNNNNNNNNNNNNNNNNNNNNNNNNNNNNNNNNNNNNNNNNNNNNNNNNNNNNNNNNNNNNNNNNNNNNNNNNNNNNNNNNNNNNNNNNNNNNGGGGGGGGGAUUUCGUGGCCCUUGGUGGAGGGGUCCGAAAUCAACCCUAUCUCUUGUUUCCCUGCACAUACGGACUCUAAAAAUAGCCUAUACUUAUGUAUUUCGAAAUUACAUGGGCCUGGCCCAAUAAUAAGGUGACGCAGCACCUAGAAUAGCCUCGGGACGAAAUUUAUGAAGUGGUAUCUUGUAUAUUUCGUCCAAGGCUUCAUGCACCCAUUAUGGUGGCUUCAAAGUCCUGAAAUCAUCACUUGUAACUCCGUUCUUGUUUCCCUUGCGCAUGCCAUCAUCUCCAUGCUUGUUCUUGCUCCAAUGUUUAUCCUUCUCCAUGCUAGGCCCUUCAUUUGUAAGCAAAACAAAUGUAUCCAAUUUAGGCAACAUCAUAUUCUCAUGAACAUUAGAAUCAUUACCAAGAAAUGAAAGUACCUGGUAAUUUAGUUGGCGUGCGCGAGCUCUAGUAAUUGGUCCAGUAUGUAUAGCAGCAGGGGCUGUGGGUGUAACAAAGGUAUUGAUGUCCUCAUCAUCCUCCCCUUCUUGAAAUGAAGUCGUCCUCGACGGAAGUUCAUCUUCCUCACCCAAGUAAGGCUUCAAAUCUGCAAUGUUAAAAGUGGGACUAACCCCAAAAUCUGCAGGCAGCUCAAGUUUAUAUGCAUUAUCAUUUAUUUUCUCCAACGCCUUAAAGGGACCAUCAGCAUGUGGCAUUAGCUUUGAUUUGCGCAAAUCAGGAAAUCUAUCCUUACGCAAAUGUAACUAAACAAGAUCUCCAGGUGCAAACACAACAUGUUUUCUAGCCUUAUCUCCAGCAAGUUUAUAUUUAGCAUUCAUACGCUCAAUGUUUUCCUUAGUUAACUCAUGCAUUUUUAAAAUCAAUUCAGCACGUUGUUUAGCACUAAAAUUAACCUUCUCCGAAGAUGGAAGAGGCAACAAAUCAAUAGGUGCACGAGGUAGGAAACCAUACACAACUUCAAAAGGGCACAUCUUAGUAGUAGAAUGCAAUGAAUGAUUAUAAGCAAAUUCAAUAUGAGGCAAGCAUUCCUCCCACAUUUUCUUAUUAUUCUUCAAAACAGCCCUAAGCAUAGUAGACAAUGUUCUAUUGAUUACUUCAGUUUGUCCAUCAGUUUGGGGGUGACAACUAGUACUAAAAAGCAGUGUAGUCCCCCACUUAGCCCAUAAACAUCUCCAAAAGUGGCUAAGAAAUUUAGUAUCACAAUCUGAAACAAUAGUAUUUGGCACACCAUGCAAGCGAAUAAUUUCACGAAAGAACAAAUUAGCAACAUUAACAACAUCAUCGCUUUUAUGACACGGUAUAAAGUGUGCCAUUUUCGAGAAUCUAUCCACGACAACAAAUAUGCUAUCCCUCCCCUUCUUUGUUCUAGGUAAACCUAAAACAAAGUCCAUAGAUAUAUCCUCCCAAGGAACACUAGGUACAGGCAAAGGCAUAUAUAAACCAUGAGGAUUGAGUCAUGACUUAGCUUUUUGACAUGUAGUGCAACGAGCAAUUAAACGCUCAAAAUCCCGUCUCAUCUUUGGCCAAAAGAAAUGUGUAGCAAGUACGUCCUCCGUCUUCUUCACGCCAAAGUGUCCCAUUAGUCCUCCUCCAUGCGCCUCCUGCAACAACAAAAGACGAACGGAGCUAGCUGGAAUGCAUAGCUUGUUAGCACGGAACACAAAUCCAUCAUUAACGACGAACUUGUUCCAUGUUCUUCCUUCUUUACAAUUCUGCAAUAUAUCUUUAAAAUCAGCAUCAUGCACAUAUUGAUCUUUGAUGGUCUCCAAACCAAAUAUUUUGAAGUCAAGUUGUGAAAGCAUAGUAUAGCGACGAGACAAUGCAUCAGCAAUAACAUUUUCUUUACCCUUCUUUUGUUUAAUGACAUAAGAGAAAGUCUCAAUGAAUUCAACCCAUUUAGCAUGUCUACGAUUCAGUUUAGCUUGAGUUUUAAUAUGUUUCAAAAAUUCAUGAUCAGAAUGUAUAACAAAAUCUUUGGGCCAUAAAUAAUGUUGCCAUGUUUAUGAAGUCCGAACAAGAGCAUAUAAUUCUUUAUCAUAAGUAGAAUAAUUCAGACUAGGCCCACUCAAUUUUUCAGAAAAGUAUGCAAUAGGUUUGUCAUCUUGUAAUAAGAUACCUCCUAAUCCAAUUCCACUAGCAUCACAUUCAAGCUCAAAAGUCUUAUUAAAAUCAGGAAGUUGGAGUAAAGGAGCAUGUGUCAACUUAUCUUUCAAUACCGUGAAGGCUUCUUCCUGUGCGGUACCCCAAACAAAAGGCACAUCCAUCUUUGUAAGCUUGUUGAGAGGUGCAGCAAUGGUGCUGAAAUCUCUCACAAAACGCCUAUAGAAUCCAGCGAGGCCAAGAAAACUCCUCACUUGUGUGACCGUUUUGGGCUGCGGCCAACUCUCAAUAGCUUCAAUCUUGGCUUUGUCAACUUCAAUUCCCUGUGGAGUAACAACAUAGCCAAGAAAAGAUACUCGGUCGGUGCAAAAGGUGCACUUCCCAAGGUUACCAAACAAACGUGCAUCACGUAGAGCAAUAAAAACAACACGUAAAUGUACCAUCCUUUUUCGGCACUAGAAUAAUAGGAACAACACAAGGACUAAGGGAUUCGCGUAUAUAACCUUUGUCGAGCAGCUCCUGUACUUGACACAUAAUCUCCUUCGUCUCCUCUGGAUUGGUACGGUAUGGUGCACGGUUGGGUAAUGAUGCAUCAGGAAUUAAGUCAAUCUGAUGCUCAAUCCCUCGAAUGGGAGGUAAUCCCGGUGGCACGUCUUGUGGAAAGACGUCAGCGAACUCCUGCAAAAUGUUAGUGACAGCAGGAGGCAAAGAGGAAGGCACGUCCUCGAAUGAAAAUAAUGCCUCUUUGCACACAAAAGCAUAGCAAACAGAUUUGCUGAAAUCUAGCUCAUCAAUAUCAAAUUUAGUGGCAAGUAGACAUGCGCUUUUCAAUUUAAUUUCAGAAGCAACACUAGAUCGUUUACUAUUAGGCUUCAUUUGCUGCUCAAAUUCUUUCNNNNNNNNNNNNNNNNNNNNNNNNNNNNNNNNNNNNNNNNNNNNNNNNNNNNNNNNNNNNNNNNNNNNNNNNNNNNNNNNNNNNNNNNNNNNNNNNNNNNUCUGAAAUUCAUGAAACUUGGCAUGCUAUCAUGGAGCGGAAUCAACAUGUCGUGGUACAAAUUUUGUCCCAUUUGGGGCAGGUUUGGGUAUAUGCUUCUUCCAAACCGGAGCUUCUCACGACAAGCAUGAUGGUUUUCGGUAGGGAACGUCCCACCUUUGGGGACGAAACGAUAUCCAUUGCCUCUUAUUGCUUUCAAAUUUUUUUCUCGUGUCAACAUAGAACAACAUGAGUGUUGUUUGAAUUUUUGUGAUCUUUUGGGGUUCGUUUGGACAUUUUUUAUGCAUUAACUGAGUUUUCAAUGCAUUUAUGUGCGUAAUUCAAAUUUAAACUAAAUGCACAUGUUCCAGUGCAUAUAAAUUGGUCGAAAAAUCAAAUAUGUGUACUUGGGUGCAUGCUUAGGUCCCAUGCAAGAAAUGGGAAUGAAUUUCAAACACCAGGGCACCGUUGAUUGUCGGAAAAACAUUGGGAUGCCUGGUUUUUAAAUUCUAGUAAAUCCAAAACCCGUCUGAAAUUCAUGAAACUUGGCAUGCUAUCAUGGAGCGGCAUCAACAUGCCAUGGUACAAAUUUUGUCCCAUUUGGGGCAGGUUUGGGUAUAUGCUUCUCACAAACCGGAGCUUCUCACAACGAGCAUGACGGUUUUCGGUAAGUAACGUCCCACCUUUGGGGACGAAACGAUAUCCAUUGCCUCUUAUUGCUUUCAAAUUUUUUUCUCGUGUCAAGAUAGAAGAACAGGAGUGUUGUGUGAAUUUUUUGUAAUUUUUCGGGGUUCGUUUGGACAUUUCUAUGCAUUAACUGAGCUUUCAAUGCAUUUAUGUGCAUAAUUCAAAUUGAACUACAUGCACAUGCUCCAGUGCAUAUAAAUUGGAUGAAAAAACAAAUUUGUGUCCUUGGGUGCAUGCUUAGGUCCCACACAAGAAAUGGGAAUGAAUUUCAAACACCAGGGCACCAUUGAUUGCUGAAAAAACAUUGAGAUGCCUGGUUUUUAAAUUCUAGUAAAUCCAAAACUCGUCUGAAAUUCAUGAAACUUGGCAUGCUAUCAUGGAGCGGCAUCAACAUGUCGUGGUACAAAUUUUGUCCCAUUUGGGGCAGGAUUGGGUAUAUGCUUCUCACAAACCGGAGCUUCUCACAACAAGCAUGAUGGUUUUCGGUAGGGAACUUCCCACCUUUGGGGACGAAAAGAUAUCCAUUGCCUCUUGUUGCUUUCAAAUUUUUUUUCUUGUGUCAACAUAGAACAACAUGAGUGUUUUGUGAAUUUUUGUGAUUUUUCGGGGUCUAUUUGGACAUUUUUAUGCAUUAACUGAGUUUAUGUGCAUAAUUCAAAUUUGAACUACAUGCACAUGCUCCAGUGCAUAUAAAUUGGUCGAAAAAUCAAAUCUGUGUCCUUGGGUGCAUGCAUAGGUCCCAUGCACGAAAUGGGAAUGAAUUUAAAAUACCAGGGCACUGUUGAUUGCCGCAAAACAUUGAGAUGUCUGGUUUAUAAUUCUAGUAAAUCUAAAACAAGUCCGAAAUUCAUGAAACUUGGCAUGCUAUCAUGGAGCGGCAUCAACAUGUCAUCGUACAAAUUUUGUCCCAUUUGGGGCAGGUUUGGGUAUAUGCUUCUCACAAACUGGAGCUUCUCACAACAAGCAUGAUGGUUUUCGGUAGGGAACGCCCCACCUUUGGGGACGAAACGAUAUCCAUUGCCUCUUAAUGCUUUCAAUUUUUUUUCUCGUGUCAACAUAGACCAACAGGAGUGUUGUGUGAUUUUUUGUGAUUUUUUGGGGUUCGUUUGGACAUUUUUUUGCAUUAACUGAGUUUUCAAUGCAUUUAUGUGCAUAAUUCAAAUUCUAACUACAUGCAUAUGCUCCAGUGUAUAUAAAUUGGUCGAAAAAUCAAAUAUGUGUCCUUGGGUGCAUGCUUAGGUCCCAUUCGAGAAAUGGGAAUGAAUUUUAAACACCAGGGCACCGUUGAUUGCCGGCAAAACAUUGAGUUGCCCGGUUUUUAAAUUCUAGUAAAUCCAAAACUCGUAUGAAAUUCAUGAAACUUGGCAUGCUAUCAUGGAGCGGCAUCAACAUGCCGUGGUACAAAUUUUGUCCCAUUUGGCGCAGGUUUGGGUAUAUGCUUCUCACAAACCGGAGCUUCUCACAAUAAGCAUGAUGGUUUUCGGUAGGGCACGUCCCACCUUUGGGGACGAAACGAUAUCCAUUGCCUCUUAUUGCUUUCAAAUUAUUUUCUCAUGUCAACAUAGAAUGAUAGGAGUGUUCUGUGAAUUUUUGUGAUUUUUGGGCUUCGUUUGGACAUUUUUAUGCAUUAAUAGAGUUUUAAUUGCAUUUAUGUGCGUAAUUCAAAUUUGAACUAAAUGCACAUGCUCCAGUGCAUAUAAAUUGGUCGAAAAAUCAAAUAUGUGUCCUUGGGUGCAUGCUUAGGUCCCAUGCAAGAAAUGGGAAUGAAUUUCAAACACCAGGGCACCGUUGAUUGCCCGCAAAACAUUGAGAUGCCUGGUUUUUAAAUUCUAGUAAAUCCAAAACUUGUCUGAAAUUCAUGAAACUUGGCAUCCUAUCAUGGAGCGGCAUCAACAUGCCGUGGUACAAAUUUUGUCCCAUUUGGGGCAGGUUUGGGUAUAUGUUCUCACAAACCGGAGCUUCUCACAACAAGCAUGACAGUUUUCGGUAGGGAACGUCCCACCUUUGGGGACGAAACGAUAUCCAUUGCCUCUUAUUGCUUUAAUAAAUUUUUCUCGUGUCUACGUAGAACAACAGGAGUGUUGUGUGAAUUUUUGUGAUUUUUCGGGGUUCGUUUGGACAUUUUUAUGCAUUAACUGAGUUUUCAAUGCAUUUAUGUGCAUAAUUCAAGUUUGAACUACAUGCACAUGCUCCAGUGCAUAUAAAUUGGUUGAAAAAUCAAAUCUGUGUCCUUGGGUGCAUGCUUAGGUCCCAUGCAAGAAAUGGGAAUGAAUUUCAAACACCAGGGCAUCGUUGAUUGCCGACAAAACAUUGAGAUGCCUGGUUUUUAAAUUCNNNNNNNNNNNNNNNNNNNNNNNNNNNNNNNNNNNNNNNNNNNNNNNNNNNNNNNNNNNNNNNNNNNNNNNNNNNNNNNNNNNNNNNNNNNNNNNNNNNNCAUCCUUCUCCAAGCUAGGCCCUUCAUUUGUAAGCAAAACAAAUGUAUCCAAUUUAGGCAGCAUCAUAUUCUCAUGAACAUUAGAAUCAUUACCAAGAAACGAAAGUACCUGAUAAUUUAAUUGGCGUGCGCGAGCUCUAGUAAUUGGUCCCGUAUAUGUAGCAGUAGGGGCUGUGGGUGUAACAAUGGUAUUGAUGUCCUCAUCAUCCUCCCCUUCUUGAAAUGAAGUCGUCCUCGACGGAAACUCAUCUUCCUCACCCAAAUAAGGCUUCAAAUCUGCAAUGUUAAAAGUGGGACUAACCCCAAAAUCUGCAGGCAGCUCAAGUUUAUAUGCAUUAUCAUUUAUUUUCUCUAACACCUUAAAGGGACCAUCAGCACGUGGCAUUAGCUUUGAUUUGCGCAAAUCAGGAAAUCUAUCCUUACGCAAGUGUAACCAAACAAGAUCUCCAGGUGCAAACACAACAUGUUUUCUACCCUUAUCUCCAGCAAGUUUAUAUUUCGCAUUCAUACGCUCAAUGUUUUCCUUAGUUAACUCAUGCAUUUUUAAAAUCAAUUCAGCACGUUGUUUAGCAUCAAAAUUAACCUUCGCCGAAGAUGGAAGAGGCAACAAAUCAAUAGGUGCACGAGGUAGGAAACCAUACACAACUUCAAAAGGGCACAUCUUAGUAGUAGAAUGCAAUGAACGAUUAUAAGCAAAUUCAAUAUGAGGCAAGCAUUCCUCCCACAUUUUCUUAUUAUUCUUCAAAACAGCCCUAAGCAUAGUAGACAACGUUCUAUUGACUACUUCAGUUUGUCCAUCAGUUUGGGGGUGACAAGUAGUACUAAAAAGCAUUUUAGUCCCCAACUUAGCCCAUAAACAUCUCCAAAAGUGGCUAAGAAAUUUAGUAUCACGAUCUGAAACAAUAGUAUUUGGCACACCAUGCAAGCGAAUAAUUUCACGAAAAAACAAAUCAGCAACAUUAACAGCAUCAUCGCUUUUAUGACAUGGUAUAAAGUGUGCCAUUUUCGAGAAUCUAUCCACGACAACAAAUAUGCUAUCCCUCCCCUUCUUUGUUCGAGGUAAACCUAAAACAAAGUCCAUAGAUAUAUCCUCCCAAGGAACACUAGGUACAGGCAAAGGCAUAUAUAAACCAUGAGGAUUGAGUCGUGACUUAGCUUUUUGACAUGUAGUGCAUCGAGCAAUAAAACGCUCAACAUCAUGUCUCAUCUUUGGCCAAAAGAAAUGUGUAGCAAGUACGUCCUCCGUCUUCUUCACGCCAAAGUGUCCCAUUAAUCCUCCUCCAUGCGCCUCCUGCAACAACAAAAGACGAACGGAGCUAGCUGGAAUGCAUAGCUUGUUAGCACAAAACACAAAUCCAUCAUUAACGACGAACUUGUUCCACAUUCUUCCUUCUUUACAAUUCUGCAUUACAUCUUUAAAAUCAGCAUCAUGCACAUAUUGAUCUUUGAUGGUCUCCAAACCAAAUAUUUUGAAGUCAAGUUGUGAAAGCAUAGUAUAGCGGCGAGACAAUGCAUCAGCAAUAACAUUUUCUUUUCCCUUCUUGUGUUUAAUGACAUAAGGAAAAGUCUCAAUGAAUUCAACCCAUUUAGCAUGUCUACGAUUCAGUUUAGCUUGACUUUUAAUAUAUUUCAAAGAUUCAUGAUCAGAAUGUAUAACAAAUUCUUUGGGCCAUAAAUAAUGUUGCCAUGUUUCUAAAGUCCGAACAAGAGCAUAUAAUUCUUUAUCAUAAGUAGAAUAAUUCAGACUAGGCCCACUCAAUAUUUCUGAAAAGUAUGCAACAGGUUUGCCAUCUUGUAAUAACACACCGCCUAAUCCAAUUCCACUAGCAUCACAUUCAAGCUCAAAAGUCUUAUUAAAAUCAGGAAGUUGGACUAAAGGAGCAUGUGUCAACUUAUCUUUCAAUACCGAGAAGGCUUCUUCCUGUGCGGUACCCCAAAGAAAAGGCACAUCUUUCUUUGUAAGCUCAUUGAGAGGUGCAGCAAUGGUGCUGAAAUCUCUCACAAAACGCCUAUAGAAUCCAGCGAGGCCAAGAAAACUCCUCACUUGUGUGACCGUUUUGGGUUGCGGCCAACUCUCAAUAGCUUCAAUCUUGGCUUUAUCAACUUCAAUUCCCUGUGGAGUAACUGAUAGAGGCAAAGGUGUCCCGUCUUUCGAUGAGAUGAUGGAUAUCGCUUUGGUGGCAGUCGACUUUGACGAUCCGACUACGAACGUGCGUGGACGUCGCGCCUUAGCAAUCGCUAAACCAACUCCGAGAGGUUAUUGACCACGCCGGAGCACGAUCAACCUGACCACGAGGGUCUGUUUCCUGCGAGCAAACGAAGAACAAGCAAGAAACUGAGAUUGCAAUCUGGAUAUUGCGAAUAUAAGAUGAAAGCUUUAUUGAUCAAGGUGGGGUUCUGUGACGUCUUUGUCUGGUCGUUGAACACAAACGAAGUACGCGAAGUUGCAGCUAUGGCGAACUUUUAAUCUAAACAAAACCCAAAGUCUAAACGAUGCCCUAAGGGAUGUAUAUAUGGAGGAAGAGGGGGGGAAUUUCGUAGCCCUUGGUGGAGGGGUCCGAAAUCAACCCUAUCUCUUGUUUCCCCACACAUACGGACUCUAAAAAUAGCCUAUACUUAUGUAUUUCGAAAUUACAUGGGCCUGGCCCAAUAAUAAGGUGACGCAACACCUAAAAUAGCCUCGGGACGAAAUUUAUGAAGUGGCAUCUUGUAUAUUUCGUCCAAGGCUUCAUGCACCCAUUAUGGUGGCUUCAAAGUCCUGAAAUCAUCACUUGUAACUCCGUUCUUGUUUCCCUUGCGCAUGCCAUCAUCUCCAUGCUUGUUCUUGCUCCAAUGUUCAUCCUUCUCCAAGCUAGGCCCUUCAUUUGUAAGCAAAACAAAUGUAUCCAAUUUAGGCAGCAUCAUAUUCUCAUGAACAUUAGAAUCAUUACCAAGAAACGAAAGUACCUGGUAAUUUAGUUGGCGUGCACGAGCUCUAGUAAUUGGUCCAGUAUGUAUAGNNNNNNNNNNNNNNNNNNNNNNNNNNNNNNNNNNNNNNNNNNNNNNNNNNNNNNNNNNNNNNNNNNNNNNNNNNNNNNNNNNNNNNNNNNNNNNNNNNNNGACUACGUUAGUUUUUUCUGGGUUCUCACUUUUCCAUUCAUUUAAUUUCUUUUCUUUAAAAAAAUGUCUAAUUUUUUCAAUACAAGUUGUACAUUUUUCAUAUGCACAUGUGAUAAUUUAUCGACACAGAUUGACAGAUUUUCAAGUAUAUGAUGAAUAUAUUUUAAAAUAUAUGUUUGAAUAAUUGUCAAACAUUUUCAAAUACACGUUGUUUUUCUUUUUUUGCGUUACGUAAUUUUUCUGAUAUUAUACUAACAUUUCUAAAGAUAUCACAAACAAUUUUCUUGAAAUGUCACGAAUACAUUUUUUGAAACAUGUGAACAUUUUUUUAAAUGCCACGGACAAGUUUUUCUGAAUGGCAUAAUUUUUUCGAAAUUAUCUGUACAUUUUUUACAUUGUAUGGCCUAUAAAAAAUUGCCACAUGAAAAUAGCAGGCAGAUAUUUUCAAAAUCCCUUUCGUAGUAAAAAGGGUUCACAAUAUUUCUUAUAGAGCAGAAACAAUAAAAGCAAGCAGGGAAUCUUGGGACUGAUUUGUGAAGUUUCAGAACAGCUAUUUUUGAAAAGUAUCACAAAUAUAUAUGUUUGAAAUAACCGAACAUUUUUAAAAUGUCACGAACAUUAUUUUUAAUGUUAUGAACAUUUUCUUAAAUUUGCACCAAUAUUUUGUUAACACUGCAUCAUCUUAUUUUAUAUGUGUGACGAACACUCUUAAAUUUUGAAGUAAAUUAGAAUAUUUCAAAAACGUAAUCAAAAUAAGAAAACGAAAAAUGAAACCAAGAAACGAACGAAUCCGAGCUGGCGCCUACAGCCGCUGAAUCAUGGGCCGGCCCAUGUGGCGACAGACGCCCAGUCUCUCGCUAAACUCGCCCCGCCUGGUCCCUCCUCGAUCGAGAGCCCAGUUGACUUUAGAAAAAAAGAUGAAAACUUAAAACGAAAGAAUCACAAAAAAAGAGAAAAAAAUCGAGAUUUGAAAAAAGUUCACAGAUUUGGAAACCUUCAUCCAUUUUUGAAAUAAGUUCAUGAAAUUGGGAAAGAGUUCAUCAAUUUUGAAAUAAGUUCACCGAAUUUAAAAAAAGUUCAUCCAUUUUGAAAAAGAGUUCAUCGAUUUUGAAAAAGAGUUCAUCGAUUGUGAACAGAGUUCAUCGGUUUUGAAAAAGAAUUCAUCAAUUUAGAAAAAAAGUUCAUCGAUUUAGAAAAAGUUCAUCGAUCUUGAAAAAGAGUUCAUCGAUUGUGAAAGAAAGUUCACCGAUUUUGAAAAAUAGUUCUUUCAAAUUAGCAAAAGAAAUAUAAAACCAUUCCGAAAAGAAGAAAAAAGAAAAAGAACAAAAAACAUAAAAAAACCAUUUCGAAUAAAAAGGAAAAAGAAAUGGGAAAAAAGAAUGGUUGUAAAGAAAAGGUGAAGAAGCAGUAAUUUGGGCAACUAGUGCGUGUUAGUGCGGUGGUUAGUGCUGAGGCGAAUGACCGUGAGGUCGCGCGAUCGAUUCCCAUCCAAAGCGCGCCUUUUCUGUCCUCACGACAGGAAGGAAAGGAAAAAGAUGGGCCAGGCCCAGUUAAUGCGGCUGCAGGCGCCGGUUUGCGAAAACAACUAUAACCGGCACAUGCAGCGUUAAAUAGGAAAUGCCGAAGCGCACUUAAUCAUGGUGGUAGCUAGUUUAAUUUAAUGAUGUGGCCUGCCUGUAGCGUCAUUUUUUCUUCCUAAGUAAGGUACUUUAAUAAAUCUCCAUGCUUAUGAACAACACACAGUUAAGUUUUGGACAGAUACAACAGAAAAUGCUCAAAGUUCAUUAAUGUUGUAAAGCCAUUCUCCUAGGUAGUACUAGUAGAAAGAAAGUAAGCUUUUCGCCUAGGGUUGCAGCAAAUACUACUGUAUUAUUCUCUAGUUGUAGGGAAAAAUGAUUGAUUUCCCUACUUUCUUUCUUGAACAACAAAUUGCUACUAGUACUAACUAAUUUGCAUAUAUGCUCUGGUUUUCUUGUUAUUAAUUAGCUAGGUGCCUCCAAAUAAGUUGUUGGUUCAAAUUCUGCACGUUUCUUUGCAUUCUAUUUCUUAGUUCAUUAUUCAGGCUCUGCUUGCUACUUAUGGUGGUAGCUAGUUUAAUUUAAUGAUGUGGCCCGCCUGUAGUGCCAUUAUUCCCGAUGUUGUGUUAUAUUCUUUUAUGAGGUGAUUUUAAGAACAACAAAUAAUGGUGACAAAUGCAAAAAGUGAAAUAUGACCCAAAAAAGCCCGCCUACUAGCUGCAUACUACAUAAUUCAACGGCCAGCAUACUACUGACAGACCAAUCAUUUAUUGGGCCAGGAUGCAGGCCCGCCAGAUUGUGAUAGUAGGCAGCUAGUAGGCCCCACUAGGCAGGGACAGACGGGGUUAGGCAUGUGCUGCCCGCUUUAGAAAGGAACUCGAAAGGGGAAGCUGAUCAGCCUGGUAUAUAAACCGGUGCGAACUCCCCUCGCUUGGCGAGGUGGGACUAAACUCCCAGCACCGCUGGGAUGUGCCCGGCGCGACGCUCGCUUGGGCCUAAUUCGGGUGGGCCGUCGCAGGCCAGCGUCACCCGCAUGCAGAUUAUUACCACAUUUAAAACCGAGUUGCUUCAAUGUGUUAUAUUUCACUUAUUCAAUGUGUACGAAAAAUUAAUGUCUUAUAUUUCACUUAUUCACUUAAAUAUUUAUUUAUUUUUAUCUAUACAAUAAUUUAAAAUCUAAUAUAUUUUUACUCCUUCAGUUAUUCUCGCACUAUUAAAAUUCAAAAAAUGCAAUAUAAUAUGUUUCAUCUUUAUUAUAAUAUAUCUUUUCUGUUUUCUAUUUCAAAAAAGGUAUAUCAAAUAUACUUUUUCUUUGUCAUUUCUUCUUAGAGUUUUAAAAUUGAAUUAUAUGUUUUGUAUUUUAUUUCUUAUUAUGGUUGUAAAAAUGAAAAUUCCAUGAAUGUAUGUUGUGUUCUAUUUCACUUCUUAAAUAUAAUUUUCAUUCUAUUUUCAAAAUUCCAUUUGGUUGAGUCCAGAAAAACNNNNNNNNNNNNNNNNNNNNNNNNNNNNNNNNNNNNNNNNNNNNNNNNNNNNNNNNNNNNNNNNNNNNNNNNNNNNNNNNNNNNNNNNNNNNNNNNNNNNGUAGUAGUUGUAUUUGUGAGCAUACGACCGAUGAUAAAAGCACCUGCCUGCUUGGAUUGUCAAGUUGAACAAUUAUAAACGUGAAGAAUAAUAACUAAAUAAAAGAAGUGUUAGUUUGCUAGACAAUGAGUUACUUAAUUGUCUGAGUUUAAUAUUAGGAAAACAUACCAGUACAAGCGGGAAAAAGAAAUACCUUUAGACCAAACAUUUUAACAAAAAGCUCGCUAAUCAUACACGUGAAGAUAACUUCAAGUGAGCUCUUUUUUCUAUCCAGGGUCUUCUUUGCCAUCCGAACAUAUGCAAGUGGAUCAUCGUGUACCGCUAAAUGAAAUGGUAGGAGGAUGUAGCCUAUUUGAUUUCCCCAUGCCACGUCAUUACUUUUACCCGAUUCUAUCAUAUUAACAUAGGCCUGCACAUAGUUGUAAGAAAACAUUAGAUUAAAGUUAUGAUACACUACAGGUUUUAAUAAUAUAUUCUCAAGCUUGCAUUUGGAAACAAAUUAUGCAUCAGCAAAUGAGUAAUGAAACUAGCUACUCCAAGAGUGACCAGUAAUAUACAAAUUUUCUUUUUGCCUGAUCAUGUGAACAUAUGUAAAAUCAUUAGUUUGUCAUAUUUUCAUAGAUCCCAUGAUUUAUAUUCUUUUACUAAUCGUGUGGAUUUUAUGACCAAAUUUGGAAACGUCAUCUAAUUACAUAAGGAAGAGGAGUGAUAUUUUGGUGACAGAGAUAUAUAAAUGAAAAAAAAUCAAUAACUAAUGACAUGCAUUUGAAAUUUCAUGCAUAUUUCCAUAAAGAAACUUACUUGUAGGCUAGCUGUUGGCCUUGUAUUUACAGGGAGGACACAUCGCAAACAUAGCUUGCGUGUCUUAGGGUAACCUAACAUAAUUUGCAGAUAAGUUGCAGAAACAUGUACAGUAAAAAACAACAGAUUGUCACAAUGUACAUCUCUUACCAGACUUACGAAAGUAAUAUUGUGAUAGAGCAGCAGAAGUGACUCCGACUAGCACAUCAUUAACAGUCUGUGGAAAGAAAAUAAAAAUACAGAAAAUGACGCUUCAACAACUAGUUUAAUCUGGCUCGAAAGAGAUGAGCUUGCUGAUAGCUAUAGGUCAUAUUAUCAUAUACUCCCUCCAUUCCAUAAUAUAUAAAAUUUUCAAACACAGUGUCAAAAAACGUCACAGAGGUGGUAUAUACUUACGCAGUUCAUGGCAUUCUUGAUGAACUUGACGUCGUCCAAGCUAAAGCUCCGGUGCACGAAGCGCCUGCGGGGGUUCAACGUAACUUGACUGUCCCCGCGUCUGAAGAGUGUGUUCGGGUCUCUCAGAAACACAAUCGUCGCAGCAAAGAAGAUGACGUCCACCACGGUGUUCCAUGCAAGCGCAAGAUACGGCCAAACCCAUGCGACGAACGCCGCCAGGGCGCCCGAGGGCAGCGGCUGCCGGUGCCGCGGCUCGUAGAUGGCGCCCGUGCGCGCCGGCUGCUCCGGCAUGGCCGGCAGGCGUGUCGGGUCCGCGGCGCUGCGGGCAGACGCCAGGAGGAGCGUGAUCAGCGACAUCCCGUCACCGAGGGAGUGGUGGACGCGGAACACCACGGUGGAGGUGGCCUCUGAGGUCGGGAAGUCGAGGAAGUGGAACUCCCAGAGCGGGCGGGAGCAAUCCAUGGGGAGUGCCUGCAGCGAGGCCACGUAGUCCUCCACGGCCCGGUCCGGGUCAGCCUCCACGGCGGCGGGGUCCAGCGUCGGGACGAUCAUGUGGUCGUCGACGUUCACCUCCGUGCACGCCCACCGCGGGCUCUUGCACCCGUCUGUCACCUGACGUGCAUGCUCACGGAUUAAAUUGAAACUAGUGACAGAAUAUCUAGGCAGUACUUAAAUUGAACUGUGUCCCGUACUUGAAUGCUACGGAAGCGUGGGUAACGAGCAAGUUGGGCUGCGAUGCCGGCGCUGAAGAUGGCUAGGUUGACGGGCGAGCCAAGGCCGACCAUAACCACGAUGUAUAUAGCUUCGAAGAGUCUUGCACUAGGGGUCACUGGCUCCUCCUCCGCUGCCGCCACCGCGGAAUCGUCGUCCGUCUUCCAUUCGGCCGGCGCUGACCUUGGCGUGCGUAUCGGGGGUAGCAGGCCGCUUGUUGGUAGAGCGGCUACCGAGGGGCUACCAGUACUACCCAUGGCUACUUUAGUUUCAAGGGUCGUUGGCUACUCGAUCGAUCGACACUCCAUGCUAGGUGUAAUAUAUAGGAUGACAAAAAGUUUUUUGCUAAUAAAAGCGGCAAGGAUGACAAUCAAUGGCACUACUAUACACACAGUUGAAGAUCAUCAUCAUAAGGGAUCUGGUAUAGUCCCUACCGGCUUGCUGCUGAUGUGGUCCCACAUUGCACACUGUUGUUCAAGAAUAAACAUGUGCGAUGUGUUUCACAUCACAAGAAGAUGAGCACACUGAAGCGUGCAUUGAGUACCUCACUGAAGAUGCUCUGCCUAGUUGAACCCAUACAACUACAAUUUUGUGGUGUGCAAUAUCGAGAAGGCUUGAGCCCCGCUUUAUAGAUAAAACAGCAACCGAGCAUUACAACCUGACACUGCACCACACAACAAGGAAAACGGAAAGAUACAACGGUGCCGAGGAUAGCAACAAAGCCCAAGAAAACAACAAGCACACAACGAAAGAAAGAAUCGAGCACUGCUUGGAGUCCCUGGAGCCCUCGUCCAUGCUCAGGUAACCAGAGUAGAGAACAUAAUCAACUUGAAGGGGAGACUAGCCAGCAGAGGAGGACAUGCCGUUGCCAACACUUGGAAGACAAGCACCACCACGCCAAUAAGCUCCAUCGCCAAAAGAAGGCCCCUGCCCGCUCACCCUGGAUCAAAGGGCGCCGCACCGUCGAACGAUGAAGGCAUGCACCCAAGUGCCUGGCCAGGAACGGAUGACGAGGUCCCAAGGUGAGGCCUUCGGACACAAUUCUUCACUUGAAAGCAUCACCAUCACAACCACAGAACCAUCAACGCUANNNNNNNNNNNNNNNNNNNNNNNNNNNNNNNNNNNNNNNNNNNNNNNNNNNNNNNNNNNNNNNNNNNNNNNNNNNNNNNNNNNNNNNNNNNNNNNNNNNNACAAAAGGAGAGAUUUUUAUCUUUUUUUCCAGAAAUACAAUGUCUUUCUUCAUAUUUGUAUUUCCAGGGAAAAAAUUAUAUAUGCCUAUUUUCUUUGGAUUUGGAAGCUUUCUCACCAGGAAACAGUGAUAAUUAUCUUCCCCCAUCAAUACCAGGGUUUCUAAAGACCAAUGUCUUAUAAAAGCUACAACUCCUAUAUCUCUAUCUCCUUUACAUACAUACACAGUACAUCCAUAUAAUGUAUCAGCAAACAAAAAGCACAAAAGAGGAUGAUUUUCUUUUGCUUCCCAAUUCAAGCAAAUAUAAGAAUGAUCUGUUCAAAAAUUCAUUCAUGCAUAGUAUUCGGACUCAUAAAUUAUCUCAUUCGUGUACAAAAUUUUGGCUCGAUGGCCAUGGACACACAUAGCAUUAGAGAGAGCAGAGGAGGAACCAGUGGCUUACAUAUGCCGGAGGCGUCGGGGUGGGUGACAGAUAAGGAGAGAUCCAAUACAUUAAUAAAUCCAGUCGGGGUUGUAGAUAUGGCAGUAGAAACCAUUAAGGAUGGGCUGCUUCACAUCUCUAGGGAUGCUGAUGUCAUCCUCUGCAAUUAGACUAGUCGCAGUAAACAAGCAGUGGUACUAACAAGGAAAGCAAUGACAAACUUGACCGCAACAAUAAAAGGGCGAAAAAUCAAUCAAAAUUGUCCCUAUUCUACCAAGUGAGGAAAAACGAAUUCAAACAAACACGGAGAGCAGCGUGAGAGAGAACAUGUUGUUCAAGUUUAACCCACUCAUCCAACUUCCUAUUGACUGCAGUUUCUAAAUAAGGUGUUUGAUACUCAUUCGGUGAUUGCUUUGCCAUUUCAUAACACUGAAUAUAAUAGAACAAAAACAAAUUAAACCAUGAGUCCAUCAUGAACCCAGAUAAGCCAGGCCAAGACCAAGCAUAAAUCUGUUCUGAUCUUUAGGAUGACUGGGGAUAGAUAGAUAGUAACCUUACAAAGGGUAGACAAAUGAAUCAGCCAUAUGAAAGUCACAAAGGAGAGAUUUUUAUUGUAUUUCCAGAAAAAGUUCAAUAGCUCCUCCUAUUUUCUUCGUAUAUAGACACUUUCUAACGAGGAAACAGUGAUCAUUAUCUUUCCCCCAUUAAUACCAGGAUUUCUAAAAGCCAAUGUCUUCCUAACAGCUACAACUCCUAUCUUUCUCUAUCUCCUUUACAUACAUACACAAUACACCCAUACGAUGGAUCGGCAAACAAAAAGCACAAAGGAGAUGAUUUUAUUUGGAUUCCUAAUUCAAGCAAAUAUAAGGAAGAUCUGUUCAGAAAACCAUUUAUGCAUGCUGUUUGGAACUCAAAAAUUAUCUCAAAUGUACAAAAAUUGGCUCGAUGGUUGUGGGCACACAAAGCAUGGGAGAGAACAGAGGAGGAAUCAGUGGCUUACCUAUGCCGGAGGCGUUAGAGUGAGCACCAGAUAAGGUGAUAUCCCAUACAUUGAUAAAUCCAGUCAGGGUUGUAGAUAUGGCAGUAGAAACCAUUAAGGAUGGGCAGCUUCACAUCUGUAGGGAUGCUGAUGUCGCCCUCUGCAAUUAGACUAGUCACAGUAAACAAGCGGUGGUACUAACAAGAAAAGCAGUGAUGAACUUGACCGCACCAAAAAAUAGGCGAAUAGCUCAAUCAAAAGUUGUCAUGAUCCUACCAAAUGAGGCAAAAAAAAUCAAACAAACGUGGAGAGCAGCAUGAGAGAGAACAGAUUGUUCAAAUUUAACCCACUCAUCCAACCUCCUAUUGAGUGCGAAUGCAGAACAAUUUAAUACGGAUCAAUAAGCACGAAUAAGUCGAUGAACUAAAACAAGCUGUACAGGCACCAUUCUACAAGCCCUCCAAAGAAUAGGCCAGAAAAAUGGUUUCAUGGAUCUGCCUAUUUUUUCGUAUUUGGACGGUUUGUAAAAAGGACACAUUGAAAAAAAAACUCGCAUUUGUAUUUCAUCAUUUGCAGUUUAGAUUGCUUCAAAAAUCAUAUGCAAUUAGAGGACAAUCACUGAUAUUUAGAUAUGUGUAACAAAUUUAAAAAAAAUCAUCAGCAUGAAAAGAAAGACAAUGCAACUGAAAAUCCCAUCUACAGGUAGUGUAUGCCCUACAAAAUGACAAGUGCAAACAUAUACGGUGUAGUUGUUCCUUUAAAACACGACUAUGUUGUUCUCCUGAUUGCCAGCAUUACAUAUAAGGCUAUCAUAUAGAUAAACUCCAUACCAGAAAUAUAAGAAAAUAUUGUCACUUUACAGGUGUGAGCAGACUAAUUAGUACUCCCUCCGUCCCAUAAUAUAAGAUGUUUUUUGACACUAGUGUAGUGUCAAAAAACGUCUUACAUUAUGGGACGGAGGGAGUAAUUACUACAUUACAUAUCUUUUUUUCCCUCUAUGUGUCAAAGCCUAUAUUUUAUCUGUUGCUCAAUUUAAUUCAUUCUCAACAUUUGGGAACUCAAAACAGUUAGCCAAAGUAGAUACAUCAUAGUUUGUGUUUCCACAGGAAAAUGAUAUUGACCUUAGUUUAACAAAGAAAAUAAAAACAUAAAAAAUCAAAGCAUUCCAAGCAGUAUUAUCAUGAAUGAUUCUUUAAAGUAGUAGGGGAACAAUAUGAAAUCCACUCACAUCAAAACAUAAGUCCAAGGAAGGCGUGACUGGAUGAAUUACCCUGAACGGUGUCAGGCAUGCCAACGUCCAUCUUGACGUCCUCCAGGAGUUACAGAUAGACAGGUAGCAUGCCAAGGUCACCAGUAGCAUGGAGGGUGUUCCUGACCAUGUAGGUGGUGUUGGCCACUGUUAACCAAAAAGGGGACACUUUUAGUUACCAAUCAUGAAAAGAAUGUUGAAGUAUCAGAGGAACAGAAAUAUAAUAAGUUACUCGUGACUUUAAUCUUCAAAAGAAAGAUUAAUAGCUUUGCCUAUCUUCUUCAUAUUUGGAAGCUUUCUAACUAGGGAACGGUGAUUAUUAUCUCUCCCCAAUAUGAGGAUACUAAAAGNNNNNNNNNNNNNNNNNNNNNNNNNNNNNNNNNNNNNNNNNNNNNNNNNNNNNNNNNNNNNNNNNNNNNNNNNNNNNNNNNNNNNNNNNNNNNNNNNNNNAGUUCUACGCCAAGUUCUCCAAGUGUGAAUUUUGGCUCGAUGAGGUUCUUUAUCUUGGUCAUAUCAUCUCUGCCAAGGGCAUUGCCGUGAAUCCUGAGAAGGUGUCUACAAUUGUGAAUUGGGAACCUCCUCAGAACGUGAAGCAACUCCGUAGCUUCCUCGGUCUCGCAAGCUAUUGCCGAAGAUUCGUUGAAAACUUCUCUAAGAUCGCGAAGCCUCUCUCAAAUCUUCUCCAGAAGCACGUCAAGUACAUUUGGUCUCCGGAGUGUGAUAUUGCUUUCAACACUUUGAAAGAGAAAUUGAUCACUGCUCCAGUUCUGACUCCGCCUGAUGAAUCCAAGCCAUACGAGGUCUUUUGUGAUGCCUCUCUCCAAGGUCUUGGCGCAGUAUUGAUGCAAGAGAAGAAAGUUGUUGCUUAUACCUAUCGCUAGUUGAAGCCUAAUGAGAAGAACUACCCCACUCAUGAUCUCGAGUUGGCGGCAGUUGUGCUUGCUCUUUUGACUUGGAGACAUCUUCUAUUGGGAAGAAAAGUGGACAUUUUCACUGAUCACAAGAGUCUCAAGUACAUCUUCACUCAGCCUAAUCUCAACCUCAGGCAAACUCGAUGGGUCGAAAUGAUUCAAGAGUAUAAUCCGAGUAUCGAGUAUACUCCAGGCAAGGCCAAUGUGAUUGCUGACGCAUUGAGCAGAAAGCUUACUGCAACAGUCUGAUUCUUAAGCCUUAUCAACCCAAGCUUUGUGAAGCUUUCCGCAAACUUAACCUGCAAGUUGUUCCUCAAGGUUUCCUUGCCAACCUUCAAGUCUCUCCUACAUUGGAAGACCGGAUUCGCCAAGCCCAGCUUCUUGAUGCUAUGGUGAAAAAGGUGAAGAUUGGGAUUGCCAAGAGUCAACCCAAGUACAAGUGCUACCGCCUUGAUGACAAGGAUACUCUCUUCUUUGAGGAUCGUAUUGUUGUACCCAAAGGUGACCUUCAUAAAGUGAUCAUGAACGAGGCUCACAAUUCUCUCCUCUCCAUCCACCCUGGGAGCACGAAGAUGUAUCAGGACCUCAAGCAAGCUUAUUGGUGGACUCGAAUGAAGCGCGAGAUCGCUCAAUUCGUGAAUGAAUGUGAUGUCUGCAGAAGAGUGAAGGCAGAACACCAAAGGCCAGCUGGUCUCCUCCAACCUCUUGCCAUUCCAGAAUGGAAGUUUGACCACACUGAAAUGUACUUCGUGACUGGGUUUCCAAAGUCCAAGCGUGGCAAUGAUGCUAUAUUCAUUGUCAUCGACAAACUCACCAAAGUGGCUCAUUUUCUGCCUAUCAAAGAGUCGAUCACUGCAGCUCAAUUGGCGGAACUCUAUACCUCUUGUAUUGUCUCUUUGCACGGUAUUCCACAAGUGAUCUCUUCAGACCGUGGCAACAUAUUUACCUCAAAGUUUUGGGAUUCUUUUCAGAAGGCCAUGGGCACCAACAUCCACUUCAGCACUGCUUUCCGUCCUCAAACUAGCGGUCAAGUCGAGCGUGUCAACCAGAUUCUUGAAGAUAUGCUCAGGGCUUGUGUGAUCUCCUUCGGCAUGAAAUGGGAGGAUUGUCUUCCUUAUGCUGAAUUCUCCUACAACAAUAGUUUUCAAGCAAGUUCGGGCAAGGCCCCAUUUGAAAUUCUGUAUGGCAGGAAGUGCCGUACCCCUCUCAACUGGUCUUAAACCGGUGAACGUCAGCUUUUGGGUAAUGACUUAAUCACAGAGGCAGAAGAAAUGUGCAAAGUCAUUCAUGAUAAUCUCAAAGCAGCCCAAUCCCGCCAGAAGAGCUACUAUGAUAGUAAGCACCGUGAUUUGGCUUUCGAGAUCGGAGAUCAUAUUUACCUCCGCGUCUCUCCUAUGAAAGGUACUCGUCGCUUCGGUAUCAAAGGGAAGCUUGCCCCUAGAUAUGUGGGACCUUUCAAGAUUGUCAGCAAGAGAGGCGACCUCGCCUAUCAACUCGAGCUUCCUUCAAACUUUGCAAAUGUUCAUGACGUGUUCCAUGUCUCUCAGCUUCGAAAGUGCUUCAAGACUCCUGACCGCACCGUCAACUUUGAGGACAUUGAGCUCCAAGAAGAUCUCUCUUAUCGUGAGCAUCCAGUUGCUAUUCUUGAAGAGACUGAACGCAAGACUCGCAACAAGUCAAUCAAAUUUGUCAAAGUCAAGUGGUCACACCAUUCCGACCUGGAAGCUACCUGGGAACGCGAGGAUCACCUCCGUUCUGAGUACCCGGUGUUCUUUCAGUCCUAGAUCUCGGGACGAGAUCCUUUCGUAGUGGUGGAGUGUUGUAACACCCCGGAUGUAACUUUCCCAAUUUGUACUUCCAACUCUUGCCGUUUUCGGCGUUAAGUUAAUUUAUUUUCUCGGGUUCGGGUUUUUGUCUCCGUGUGUUGUUGUCGUUGUCAUGCAUCUCAUAUCAUGUCAUCAUGUGCAUUGCAUUUGCAUACAUGUUCGUCUCAUGCAUUCGAGCAUUUUCCCCGUUCUCCGUUUUGCAUUCCGGCGCUUUGUUCUCCUCCGGUGGUCAUUUAUAGCUUUCUUUUGUGUGUGGGGAUUAAACGUUUCUCUAUUGGACCGAGACUUGCCAAGCGGCCUUGGUUUACUACCGGUAGACCGCCUGUCAAGUUUCGUAUCAUUUGGACUUCGUUUGAUACUCCAACGGUUAACAGAGGGACCGAAAAGGACUCGUGUGUGUUGUAGCCCAACACCCCUCCAAUUUGGCCCAAAACCCACCUAAACCUGCUCCAUCAUCUAGAUCGUUCGAUCACGAUCGCGUGGCCGAAAACCGCACCUCAUUUGGACUCUCCUAGCUCCUCCUAUGCCUAUUUAAACACCCCACUCCAAAUUCGCGGAUCUCCUCUCCCCGAAACCCUAAAUUUCCACCCCGCCACCAACGGACAUUGUCCGCCCUGCGCCGGACAUCCGCCGCCGCCAACCGGGAGCCGCCACAUGGCGCCCCCGGACCACAUCGCCGCCGCACCCCGCGCGGGCCCGCUCGGCCCGUGGNNNNNNNNNNNNNNNNNNNNNNNNNNNNNNNNNNNNNNNNNNNNNNNNNNNNNNNNNNNNNNNNNNNNNNNNNNNNNNNNNNNNNNNNNNNNNNNNNNNNGGGGGCACCUCUAGGAACAACAAUUGAUCUCUUAAUCUCUUAGCCGUGUGUGGUGCCCCCCUCCACCAUAGUCCUCGAUAAUAUUGUAGCGGUGCUUAGGAGAAGCCCUGCAACGAUAGAAUAUCAAGAUCAUCACCACGCCGUCGUGCUGACGGAACUCUUCCCCGACAUUCUGCUGGAUCGGAGUACGGGGAACGUCAUCGAGUUGAACGUGUGCUAGAACUCGGAGGUGCCGUAGUUUCGGUGCUUGAUCGGUCGGGCCGUGAAGACAUACGACUACAUCAACCGCGUUGUUCUAACGCUUCCGCUUUCGGUCUACGAGGGUACGUGGACUACACUCUCCCAUCUCGUUGCUAUGCAUCACCAUGAUCUUGCGUGUGCGUAGGAAUUUUUUUGAAAUUACUACGUUCCCCAACAGUGGCAUCCGAGCCUGGUUUUAUGCGUAGAUGUUAUAUGCACAAGUAGAACACAAGUGAGUUAUGGGCGAUACAAGUCAUACUGCUUACCAGCAUGUCAUACUUUGGUUCGGCGGUAUUGUUGGAUGAAGCGGCCCGGACCGACAUUACGCGUAUGCUUACGCGAGACUAGUUCUACCGACGUGCUUUGCACACAGGUGGCUGGCAGGUGUCAGUUUCUCCAACUUUAGUUGAACCGAGUGUGGCUACGCCCGGUCCUUGCGAAGGUUAAAACAACACUAACUUGACGAACUAUCGUUUUAGUUUUGAUGCGUAGGUAAGAGCGGUUCUUGCUCAGCCCGUAGCAGCCACGUAAAAUUUGCAACAACAAAGUAGAGGACGUCUAACUUGUUUUUGCAAGGCAUGUUGUGAUGUGAUAUGGUCAAGACGUGAUGCUAUAUUUUAUUGUAUGAGAUGAUCAUGUUUUGUAACCGAAGUUAUUACCAACUGGCAGGAGCCAUAUGGUUGUCGCUUUGUUGUAUGAAAUGCAAACGCCCUGUAAUUGCUUUACUUUAUCACUAAGCGGUAGCGAUAGUCGUAGAAGCAAUAGAUGGCGUAAACGACAACGAUGCUACGAUGGAGAUCAAGGUGUCGCACCGGUGACGAUGGUGAUCACGACGGUGCUUCGGAGAUGGAGAUCACAAGCACAAGAUGAUGAUGGCCAUAUCAUAUCACUUAUAUUGAUUGCAUGUGAUGUUUAUCCUUUAUGCAUCUUAUCUUGCUUUGAUUGACGGUAGCAUUUUAAGAUGAUCACUCACUAAUUAUCAAGAAGUGUUCUCCCUGAGUAUGCACCGUUGCGAAAGUUCUUCAUGCUGAGACACCACUUGAUGAUCGGGUGUGAUAGGCUCUACGUUCAAAUACAAUGGAUGCAAAAUAGAUGCACAAGCGGAAUACUCAGGUUAAACUUGACGAGCCUAGCAUAUACAGAUAUGGCCUUGGAACACGGAGACCGAAAGGUCGAACGUGAAUCAUAUAGUAGAUAUGAUCAACAUAGUGAUAUUCACCAUUGAAAACUACUCCAUCUCACGUGAUGAUCGGACAUGGUUUAGUUGAUUUGGAUCACGUGAUCACUUAGAUGACUAGAGAGAUGUCUGUCUAAGUGGCAGUUCUUUAGUAAUAUGAUUAAUUGAACUUAAAUUUAUCAUGAACUUAGUACCUGAUAGUAUUUUGCUUGUCUAUGUUUGUUGUAGAUAGAUGGCUCGUGCUGUUGUUCCGUUGAAUUUUAAUGUGUUCCUUGAGAAACCUAAGUUGAAAGAUGAUGGUAACAAUUACACGGACUGGGUCCGUAACUUGAGGAUUAUCCUCAUUGCUGCACAGAAGAAUUACGUCCUGGAAGCACCGCUGGGUGCCAGGCCUGCUGCAGAUGCAACAGACGACGUUAAGAACGUCUGGCAGAGCAAAGCUGAUGACUACUUGAUAGUUCAAUGUGCCAUGCUUUACGGCUUAGAACCGGGACUUCAACGACGUUUAGAACGUCAUGGAGCAUAUGAGAUGUUCCAGGAGUUGAAGUUAAUAUUUCAAGCAAAUGCCCGGAUUGAGAGAUAUGAAGUCUCCAAUAAGUUCUAUAGAUGUAAGAUGGAGGAAAUAGUUCUGUCAGUGAACAUAUACUCAAAAUGUCUGGGUAUAAUAAUCACUUGAUUCAACUAGGAGUUAAUCUUCCUGAUGAUAGUGUCAUUGACAGAAUUCUUCAAUCACUGCCACCAAGCUACAAGAGCUUCGUGAUGAACUAUAAUAUGCAAGGGAUGGACUAGACUAUUUCCGAGCUCUUCGCAAUGCUAAAGGCUGCAGAGGUAGAAAUCAAGAAGGAGCAUCAAAUGUUGAUGGUCAAUAAGACCACCAGUUUCAAGAAAAAGGGUAAAGGGAAGAAGAAGGGGAACUUCAAGAAGAACAGCAAGCAAGUUGCUGCUCAAGAGAAGAAACUCAAAUCUGGACCUAAGCCUAAGACUGAGUGCUUCUACUACAAGCAGACUGGACACUGGAAGCGGAACUGCCCCAAGUAUUUGGCGGAUAAGAAGGAUGGCAGGGUGAACAAAGGUAUAUGUGAUAUACAUGUUAUUGAUGUGUACCUUACUAAUGCUCGCAGUAGCACCUGGGUAUUUGAUACUAGUUCUGUUGCUAAUAUUUGCAACUUGAAACAGGGACUACGGAUUAAUCGAAGAUUGGCUAAGGACGAGCUGACGAUGCGCGUGGGAAAUGGUUCCAAAGUCGAUGUGAUCGCGAUGGGCACGCUACCUCUACAUCUACCAUCGGGAUUAGUUUUAGACCUGAAUAAUUGUUAUUUGGUGCCAGCGUUGAGCAUGAACAUUAUAUCUAGAUCUUGUUUGAUGCGAGACGGUUAUUCAUUUAAAUCAGAGAAUAAUGGUUGUUCUAUUUAUAUGAGUAAUAUCUUUUAUGGUCAUGCACCCUUGAAGAGUGGUCUAUUUUUAUUAAAUCUCGAUAGUAGUGAUACACAUAUUCAUAAUGUUGAAGCCAAAAGAUGCAGAGUUGAUAAUGAUAGUGCAACUUAUUUGUGGCACUGCCAUUUGGGUCAUAUUGGUGUAAAGNNNNNNNNNNNNNNNNNNNNNNNNNNNNNNNNNNNNNNNNNNNNNNNNNNNNNNNNNNNNNNNNNNNNNNNNNNNNNNNNNNNNNNNNNNNNNNNNNNNNCGAUGACAAAGGGAACAACGUAUGUUGUUAUGCGGUCUGACCGAUAAAGAUCUUCGUAGAAUAUGUAGGAGCCAAUAUGGGCAUCCAGGUCCCGCUAUUGGUUAUUGACCAGAGACAUGUCUCGGUCAUGUCUACAUUGUUCUCGAACCCGUAGGGUCCGCACGCUUAAGGUUACGAUGACAGUUAUAUUAUGAGUUUAUGCAUUUUGAUGUACCGAAGGUUGUUCGGAGUCCCGGAUGUGAUCACGGACAUGACGAGGAGUCUCGAAAUGGUCGAGACGUAAAGAUUGAUAUAUUGGAAGCCUAUAUUUGGAUAUCGGAAGUGUUCCGGGUGAAAUCGGGAUUUUACCGGAAUACCGGGAGGGUUACCGAAACCCCCCGGGAGCUAUUUGGGCCAUAGUGGGCCUUAGUGGAAAAGAGAAGGGGCUGCCCUAGAUGGGCUGCGCGCCCCCCCUUCCCCUAGUCCUAUUAGGACUAGGAGAGGUGGCCGGCCCCCUCCUCCUCUUUUCCCCUCCGAGGAAUCCUAGUUGGACUAGGAUUGGAGGGGGAAUCCUACUCCCAGUGGGAGUAGGACUCUCCUGCGCCUCCCCCCCUUGGCCGGCCAGCCUCCCCUCCUCUCCUCCUUUAUAUACGGAGGCAGGGGCACCUCUAAACACACAAGUUGACACAAGUUGAUCCACGUGAUCGAUUCCUUAGCCGUGUGCGGUGCCCCCUGCCACCAUAUACCUCGAUAAUACUGUAGCGGAGUUUAGGCGAAGCCCUGCUGCUGUAGUUCAUCAAGAUCGUCACCACGCCGUCGUGCUGACGAAACUCUUCCCCGACACUUUGCUGGAUCGGAGUCCGGGGAUCGUCAUCGGGCUGAACGUGUGCUCGAACUCGGAGGUGCCGUAGUUUCGGUGCUUGAUCGGUUGGAUCGUGAAGACGUACGACUACUUCCUCUACGUCGUGUCAUCGCUUCCGCAGUCGGUCUGCGUUAGGUACGUAGACAACACUCUCCCCUCGUUGCUAUGCAUCACAUGAUCCUGUGUGCGCGUAGGAAAUUUUUUGAAAUUACUACGAAACCCAACAGUGGCAUCCGAGCCUAGGUUAUUGAUGUUGAUGUUAUAUGCACGAGUAGAACACAAGUAAGUUGUGGACGAUACAAGUCAUACUGCCUACCAGCAUGUCAUACUUUGGUUCGGCGGUAUUGUUGGACGAGACGACCCGGACCAACCUUACGCGUACGCUUACGCGAGACCGGUUCCCUCGACGUGCUUUGCACAGAGAUGGCUUGCGGGCGACUGUCUCUCCAACUUUAGUUGAACCAAGUAUGGCUACGCCCGGUCCUUGCGAAGGUUAAAACGGAGUCUAUUUGACAAACUAUCGUUGUGGUUUUGAUGCGUAGGUGAGAUUGGUUCUUACUUAAGCCCGUAGCAGCCACGUAAAACAUGCAACAACAAAGUAGAGGACGUCUAACUUGUUUUUGCAGGGCAUGUUGUGAUGUGAUAUGGUCAAGGCAUGAUGCUGAAUUUUAUUGUAUGAGAUGAUCAUGUUUUGUAACCGAGUUAUCGGCAACUGGCUGGAGCCAUAUGGUUGUCGCUUUAUUGUAUGCAAUGCAAUCGCGAUGUAAUGCUUUACUUUAUUACUAAACGUUAGUGAUAGUCGUGGAAGCAUAAGAUUGGCGAGACGACAACGAUGCUACGAUGGAGAUCAAGGUGUCGCGCCGGUGACGAUGGUGAUCAUGACGGUGCUUCGGAGAUGGAGAUCACAGGCACAAGAUGAUGAUGGCCAUAUCAUAUCACUUAUAUUGAUUGCAUGUGAUGUUUAUCUUUUAUGCAUCUUAUCUUGCUUUGAUUGACGGUAGCAUUAUAAGAUGAUCUCUCACUAAAUUAUCAAGAAGUGUUCUCCCUGAGUAUGCACCGUUGCCAAAGUUCGUCGUGCCCAGACACCACGUGAUGGUCGGGUGUGAUAAGCUCUACGUCCAUCUACAACGGGUGCAAGCCAGUUUUUGCACACGCAGAAUACUCAGGUUAAACUUGACGAGCCUAGCAUAUGCAGAUAUGGCCUCGGAACACGGAGACCGAAAGGUCGAGCGUGAAUCAUAUAGUAGAUAUGAUCAACAUAACGAUGUUCACCAUUGAAAACUACUCCAUCUCACGUGAUGAUCGGUUAUGGUUUAGUUGAUUUGGAUCACGUAAUCACUUAGAGGAUUAGAGGGAUGUCUAUCUAAGUGGGAGUUCUUAAGUAAUAUGAUUAAUUGAACUUAAAUUUAUCAUGAACUUAGUACCUGAUAGUAUCUUGCUUGUUUAUGUUAAUUGUAGAUAGAUGGCUCGUGCUGUUGUUCCGUUGAAUUUUAAUGCGUUCCUUGAGAAAGCAAAGUUGAAAGAUGAUGGUAGCAAUUACACGGACUGGGUCCGUAACUUGAGGAUUAUCCUCAUUGCUGCACAGAAGAAUUACGUCCUGGAAGCACCGCUGGGUGCCAGGCCUGCUGCUGGAGCAACGCCAGAUGUUAUGAACGUCUGGCAGAGCAAAGCUGAUGACUACUCGUUAGUUGAGUGUGCCAUGCUUUACGGCUUAGAAUCGGGACUUCAACGACGUUUUGAACGUCAUGGAGCAUAUGAGAUGUUCCAGGAGUUGAAGUUAAUAUUUCAAGCAAAUGCCCGGAUUGAGAGAUAUGAAGUCUCCAAUAAGUUCUAUAGCUGCAAGAUGGAGGAGAACAGUUCUGUCAGUGAGCAUAUACUCAAAAUGUCUGGGUAUAAUAAUCACUUGAUUCAAUUGGGAGUUAAUCUUCCGGAUGAUUGCGUCAUCGACAGAAUUCUCCAAUCACUGCCACCAAGCUACAAGAGCUUCGUAAUGAACUAUAAUAUGCAAGGGAUGAACAAGACUAUUCCCGAGCUCUUCGCAAUGCUGAAAGCUGCGGAGGUAGAAAUCAAGAAGGAGCAUCAAGUGUUGAUGGUUAACAAGACCACUAGUUUCAAGAAAAAGGGCAAAGGGAAGAAAAAGGGGAACUUCAAAAAGAANNNNNNNNNNNNNNNNNNNNNNNNNNNNNNNNNNNNNNNNNNNNNNNNNNNNNNNNNNNNNNNNNNNNNNNNNNNNNNNNNNNNNNNNNNNNNNNNNNNNCAUCUGAAUAGUUGCAAAAGCUAGUUCAAUAUUUGGCGUCUCAAAAUCAGCUUCUAAAUAGGUCUUUUUGCCCUCCAAAGUUCGCGUAUACACUUUGUUCCAAUUUUUCAGGCGAGUUUUAAAAUUGACUCCUCAUAUCAAUUCGGAAUUGAAUGAUUCUUUUUGCAUUGGAAAACUUGAGUUAGUAGCAAACUUUUCAAGAGGAAAGUUGAAGAGAGAGUUGUUAUAUAUCCUGCUUGGCAGUUGUUAUUCAUCAUUAUCUUUAUUGCCGUUGUGAUCUUCACUUAUAUCUUGCUGUCCAGAGCUACUUAUCCUUCAUUGAUGCUAGUUGUGCUAUGCCGUGACCUCAUUAGUGUUCUAGGCUCGCGUCUCUAAUUCGGUCUAGCCUAGGACCAGCACAGUACCGUCGUUGAGCGUUUAUUCAACAUUGCAUCUUUGAAUUGAUUAUUGCUAAUCUUUUGCUACCAUAUAUAGCCAACCCAGCUCCACAUAUUUCUACACCGUGUAUACGUACGUUCCCCUGGCAAUCGCUCUACACAAUCAUCAGAGUUAUUUGACACCGCUGGUUGCCUGUCACCACCUGUCGCAUGGUAAGAACUUGUAAGAUAUUGAUAUUUGCUUUACUGUGAGCACGUUACAACCACAUCCUAGUUGUUCAUAGGAACAUUAUUCUCGAAUUUUGUUUCUUGUUUCUACUAAUCAUGACAGGUUCCGGAGAAAGAAGUUCUUGGACGACGAACACAUCCUCACCAUCACGAGAGUUGGGACAACACACACAAGCACAUGGUCAGCUUAUCUCUUUACCAUCAUUUGAGGGUAGAUUUAAUCCUGCUAUUUAUCUAGAUUUGGAGCUUGAAGUAGAACAAGUUUUUAGUUACCAUGACUUUUUUGAACUUGAGCGAGUACGAGCUGCCACUAGAGCAUUUACUAGUUUUGCUUCUGUUUGGUGGAGUGUGCAUUGUAAGAAAAACAUUGAUAACCAACCCACAACUUGGAAAUAUUUGAAACAUGUAAUGAGACAACAAUUUUUCCCUCCUUACUAUCGUCGUGAAUUGCUUCGCAAAUUUGAACAAUUUAAACAAGGCAAUAACACUGUUCAUGCUUACUACCAAGAGUUCAAAUCUUAUAUGCAUCAUUGUGACAUAGAAGAAUCUGAGGAUGAUACAAUGAAUAGAUUUUUUGGUGGUUUGAACCAUGAUAUCCAGGCAAGAUUUAGGUAUAUUCCUCGUUGCAUUACUGGUAUGUAUGUUCGUGCUUGUACCUUUGAGAGACAGUUACAGGAGGAUGCAUCGGGUGACUACAACAACUACUAUUCCAAUUCAUGCUCACUAUCAUCGGUUGAUUCCUCCACCGUUGCACCUACUAGAGCAGCCACACCUUAGAUUGUGAGUGCGACAUCAUCUCAAGUGUAUGGUACAUUGUCAUUGUCCAUACCGACAUCAGCUACAUCUUUGCGAGAAGGUAAUAGUAAAGGUAUUGAUUAUAUAACUUCAUAUGAGAAUGAUGCAUCCCUAAUUAACUUAAAUACAUCAUGUGUUGAGUUACCUGUUGAUUUGAGCACGCCAUCUAUUUUAGAGAAUCGUGUUACUAUCAUGAAUGAAUCAUGUGAUCAAACAACUGAAAUACCAACAAUUUUGAGUGCACCCAUUGAAUUAACUAUUGAUGCAAAAGAACCAAUGUUUAAUCAUUUUGAUGUGACCUCUAAUCUUGGUGAUGAUUCUAUGUCCAAUGACUUACUGCAUGUUUGCUUAUUUAAGCAUGUUGUAGCAUGUAAAUUUGAUGCAAGUAAGGUUUAUUCACCAAUGUUGGGAUGGUUUAAUGAUGAAUAUUGUCAAUCUUUUGAUAUGAAUAAGAGCUUCACUUAUAUGUGCAAACUGAGUUGCAAUAUUUUCAUGCCUUCUACUUAUGAUAAUAUUUUAGCUUUAUAUUUUAUGAUCUAUGAAAGUUACUCAUGUAUACAUGUGUCAUAUGUGCAAAAACCAAGGGAAGUAAAAAUGGAUGGCAUAUACAUAUACAACAUGUAUACUUUGUCUCUUUUGUUAGCCACAUUUCAGAUUAAGCAACGCCGAGGACGGCUUUGUUUUCAAAAAGGGGAGGAUGAUGAGGACAUGACUACCUUGGACACGACCAAAAAUAUUGCAUACAUGCAUAUUUGUCAGGUGAUUUCUAGUGCAAACUAUUCAAUAAUCUAUUUAGGUUAUCCAGAACAAAAAUACUUCACACACUUUUGUGUUUUGUCUAAUUGCAGGUGUAUGGGAUAUUUGUACAAUUCACAUAUGAAGAUAAGGGAGAAAGAGAUGUUUAAGUGCUGUUCAAAAAGUUCUCUCACGUCACUUUUGGGCCAAGAGAAGAUAGAGUCCAAGUCUCUCACGUUCUGGAUUCAGAUUCGGACUGCACAGACAUACCUGACUCAAAACGCCAACAACUUUUUCAUACGGACUUCGAAUUGGGUGAUUCUUUUUUUGUUGGAUUCUAGAUUUUGUGCUCUUUCCAGCCCAAUUAGAUUCACAUUCAAAUUCGUCCAGAGCGUUGAGAUAUCGACGAAACAAUCAGACGCUGCAGCAAAAUCCGAGUCAAACAACAAGUCCAAAGGUGUUGCAUCACCUCCACUUGGGCCCAUUGGCCUUGUACGACCUAGGGUUGCUUUUAGGAUGCCUUGGGACGUUCUCCCACCUCCUUGGCCGCCACCCCUUCCUCCUAUAUAAGUAGAUCCAUCUAGUAGCUUUUUCCUUGGAAUUUAUUUAGUUAAAAGUUAGCCAACGCAACUUCGUGUACUUUGUUUGUGUCCAACGACCAGACCAAGACCGCUUUCGGAUCCCCACCUUUAUCAAUACUUCAUACAUAUUUGCAAUAUUCAGAUUGCUUUUAUCAUAUUCUUGCUCGUUCUUCGAUUGCUUGCAGGAAUAGACCUUCGUGGUCAGGUUGAUCGUGCACCGGCGUGGUCAAUAACCUCUGGAGAUUGGUUUAGCAAUUGCUAAGGCGCAACGUCGUGCACGUUNNNNNNNNNNNNNNNNNNNNNNNNNNNNNNNNNNNNNNNNNNNNNNNNNNNNNNNNNNNNNNNNNNNNNNNNNNNNNNNNNNNNNNNNNNNNNNNNNNNNGAGGCACAUUGAUUGUCCUCAUUAAGACGGUCCGAAAUAUUCUCCUGCACGGUCGGACUGAUCAUGCACAACGGCAAUGAGGAAGAACACGAGGCUUCAUCGCUGUUCUUGUCAUGAAAACUCAUGGAGGUUAUAGGAAUGAUAUUAAAUUUACCCAGCUCCUUAGUAGAGGCCUGAAUGAUUGACGUGUCCAGGAAGACCGGAUGGUUGUAACGAAUGGCCAUAGGGCUGCGCGCAGCAAUGGGCUCCAGAUGUUCAUCAACAUGCCAUUGAUGUUCAAAAUGUUUGUACCCAUUGAAAUGACCAUUGAAAAGAUGAAAAUGACAUAUAAAAUCCGGCCAAAUACAAUCUUUGAGCCCAUGAAUGAAAUGACCCACUUUGUUACCAAAUACAGAGAAGCGAAAAGAUCUGUCACUGAGCUUAACCACCUUGAACCCCUUGGGAUGACCCCCAAUACAACAUUGCAAAGCCACACUCACAGAAUCUUCAGUAAGGGGAAAGGAGGCCGAGGAGAAAGAAACCACCAAGAAGAAUUCCUUGGUAUUGCGAGAUGGAGAAAAGUGAACAGUUUCUCCAAAUCUUCAACGUACAUGUUCUGAGACUGCAAGACCAGGAUUGAAAUCCCAGUGUAGUAGGCCUUCCAUGGUGAGGAUUAGUGGUUAGAUCCAUGGUGGAGAGGAAGCAGGUUGGAGAGAGGAGAGGAGAGGAGCCAUUCUACCACGAGAAAUCUGUGGAGGGGGGCACCGUAGGAUUUACUGAGGGAAUAGUGGUACUGGGGGAGGCGAGUGAGGCGAGGGUACGCGGGGGCACAGUGAGAUGAUGAAUAGUGACCUUAGGAUCUCCGGCGACACGGAGAUGGAGAUGGAGUGGUGCUAGGGGAGAGGGUGACGAGGUGAGGCAUGCUAUACAGCGGCAGUGAUAGUGACUGCACAGUGCACAAGGUGAGGCUGACUUUGGUAACCCGAACACGCCGCCUGGACUGGUGUCACCUCGAGCGCAAGGGCCUGUCAGUUCACUGUGAGGACCGGAUGAAUAAUAUUUUGACCAUCAAGUGUACCACAGUUGUACUACUACUACUAGUAGGAGUAGUAGGAACAUGAGUAUUAUUGUAUAGCGGAAAUAGGUCUCCCACGCUAGCAUGCCUUUGGGUUCACUUCAUCCUCUAGGUAUCAUCCAUAAUGCGAGCAGAACCAAAUUCUCGUGCAUGCGGAAGCGCGAAGAAGGCCUUUUAUUUUUUGAGGAUAACUGCGUAUUCUUAACUAGAAAAAUGUUGUGUCUCCCAUGCACAUGCCAAUAUCCAUCCGAACCAGCUACGACACAUUUUUUAAAUCCGUUUGCAUAGGUCCCACCUGUCAGUGGCACAUGUAGCGCUCGAAGGAUGGGCACGUACAGGGAAAGGUACCACUCCUCAGAUUACCGACAUAUCCUUUUCGUUUAGUCUAUGUAGCCAUCUAAUCAACUGCCUGCAGGCCACUUCUCCCAUUUACUUCUCCAUCAGGAACCGACUUUCCUCGGCUUCUUCACUACUCCUUCAUCUUCAUUUGCAUCCAAACCACACUGCAUUCACAUUGUUUUAACAUCUUCACAUUCUCCUAGAGUAAUUCCGAAGCCCCUUUAAAUAAUAAUCUUCUUUAGCUAGACUAGCCAUCUAAUCCUAAUUCCUCAAACCAUAGCCCUCCGGUCCAGCGGUUCCAAAUAGCGAAAGAGAUCGAGACGCAGGUUUUUAGUGUCCAACAUGUCCUCGUCAAAGGCUCAUUGAGCAUAGUUGCCACAAUCACCGACCACCCAAGGGUUGUUCGGAAGUGGAUCAACAAUGUAUCCAACUCCCUCCAAAAGGUGGGGAUGAAGGUCAUCGGUCUCGACGCAGAGUACACGGAGCAUGCCACUUGGAAGAUCCAACGUGCCGCCGUCCUUCAGUUGUGCCUCGGAGAUGAUGUUUUGGUGUACCACAUCAUACACGCGCCCUUCAUACCAGGUGAGCUUCACGAUUUCUUGUCUCGGGAGGACAUAUACUUCUGUGGGGCAGCCAUCACAGGGGACAAACAGAAGUUGGAGCCGUACAACCUUGAUUUGAAAAGCAUCACUGGCAUUCAAACCAAAAUAAAAUUUCCUGUAGAACAUUGUGAUAAACCGACGCCAUCACUAUUCGACAUAGCAAAUUUUGUGGUCAGAACAAAUCUUCAGAAGGGUGACGAGAUGCUGGCAUUAAGGUCGUCUAGAUGGGAGAAAUUAUCCCUUGUCAUACGAGCGGAUAAAAUAUGCUGCCUCCAUGCCCGUGUGAGAUUCGAGAUAGAUGCAAGGUCCAAAGAGCUUGUUGCGAAGCUGUCUCCCACAUAAAAUGAGAAGAAGAAGCUGCACCAGCAGCAGGGCAUUAUGGAUGGAUGAACUAUUUCCUCUCUUGUAAAGAAAAUUAUUCCCUCUCUCUGUAUAUUGAUAUAGAUGGGACCUUUCCUAAAAAUAGGACAUAUGAGUUUGCUCGAAAUUCACCGAAACGGAAAUAAAUCGACAUUUCGGUAAAACAUAAGCAACUCGAGGGCAUGUCACUAGCACAAAUCUCUCCAUGUAUGUAUAUAUAUAUAUAUAUAUAUAUAUAUCCCAAACACACAUAUUCUCACUCACACACAUAUUCGCAUUCUUGAAAUGAACAACUUUUUACUCACCUAUAUAUAUCUCCCGGGAGGGACCGAGAGCAGGCGGUUAAUUAGAUGAUGAGAGAGAACGAUCGACAGACCACGUGUGGUUGGCUAAAUAGCUAGCUACAUCUAGUUGUUUGGAGGAGAGGUGAAUCUAGCUAGCUAACUAAUGGAGAGGGGUUACGGUGGAUGGGGGCAUUAAUGGGGGAGACAGGAGAGGUGUAGGAGAAAGAGAGAGGCCAUUUAUGGAGGAGUGUGCCAUUAAUGAGGAGAGAAGAGAGGUAGGAGGAAGAGAGAAGAAGAGAAACAACGGUGGAGCUAGAGUGGAGAGGGGAGAGGGGAAAGGAGGGCGAGAGAGGGCAAAGNNNNNNNNNNNNNNNNNNNNNNNNNNNNNNNNNNNNNNNNNNNNNNNNNNNNNNNNNNNNNNNNNNNNNNNNNNNNNNNNNNNNNNNNNNNNNNNNNNNNUUACAAAAGCUAACCCUUAAACCGCUCGCGACCAUCCGGACAUGUUUUGCCAUCCAAUACGGUCCUAUAUCGGCCCACAGGCCGGUCUGGAUGUGCAUUUUCCUGUAAACCAAAAACAAACUACGGGGCUUUGUGGGCGUCUGGACCGCUGCCACGGCCGCUUCUUACUCCCCUGGCCCACCAAAAACACCUGUCCCGCGCCCGCACCCCUUCACAUGAGAAGCAGUUAGGUACCAGUGCUCCAGAGCACCGGUACCUCAUUCAUGCCUAUUUGGAGUAGCCGCGAUGAAUAUACUCAUGUUGAGGAGAAGUACCAGCCACAAAAAUCAAUGUAAUUGAUUGAUGAAUUGGAUGCUUCUCUGGAAAUAAUUGAUCAAGGGCAAGCCAAGGAUGUGGAUAGUCCUUACUACUUUAAUAAUACUCCAUUUGAAAGUCCAAGGAAAUACUUCAAUUUAAUUCAAAUUUCAGACUCAUUUUGUUAUCUUUAGAUUAAUGCAACAUAAAUAUCUACUUAAUGCAUAAUAUAUAUAAUUAGGGGUGAACUUGUGAGUGGGCACAUGAGUGGAACUCAAACAAACAAUCAUAUGUAGACAAGAGAUGUGUUUGUCUUUUAUUCCCAUGUUUGAACUAGUAUAGUUCGGGUUCUUACAUGAUAGUGCAUGUCACUUUAUUUUUUCACCGCUACAACGACCAAACCAUGGACUAAGAAAACGGUGUAUCAUAUAUCUACUACUAGAGUUCUUCUAUUCUCAGUUAGUACCGAAGAUGCCAACUGGAGCAAUGGUGCAAUAUGGAGGGAUAUAGACAUUGCACAUUGCAGGUAGCGUCUCUAGCGCUAGGUUCCUUAUUUCCUCAAACUGGGGCAGUUGUUGAGGCUGGACAGAGCCCUGGGCCUGUGGGUUUUGCUGAGAUGGCUGGAAGGAGCCCUGGCCUGAUGGAUAUUGUUGUUGAGACUGUUGGAAGCAGACCUGGCUCAACGGUUGUUGUUGUUGUUGUUGUUGUUGUUGUUGUUGUUGUUGUUGUUGAUGCAGAAUAAUAGCAUGAACAACAUUGUGGAUGGCUUGGCACCGCGACUGCUCGGGGAUCUGCCAUAGCUGCUGACAACACAAUUGUUGCACCAGCUGGUAAGUACUUUGUUGCAAAACUUGUGAGCUUCCAUGCGCUAUGCUGUGUUGUUGCAAUACAACAUCCCUGCAUGGAAUCAGUUGUUGUUGCAAAAUUUGUUGAAGGAUCUGUUGUUGUUGUUGUUGUUGCUGCUGCUGCUGCUGCUGCUGCUGCGAAAUUGGUUGUUGUGGUUGCGAAUACUGUGGUUGCGGUUGUGGAUAUGAUUGUUGUGGUCGAAAUGGUUGCGGCUGCGGAUAUGGUAGUUGCGGCUGCGGAUAUGGUAGUUGCGGCUGCGGAAAUGGUUGCAGCUGCAUAUAUGGUUGUUGUGAUGGAAAUGGUUGCAGCUGCGGAUAUGGCUGUUGUGGUGGAAAUGGUUGUUGCUGCCCUGGAAAUUGUUGUUGUUGUACCAAUGGAACUUGCUUUUGUGGUUGUUGCUGAGAUGGAUUUUGUGGCUGCAAUUGUGGCACUGGAACUCUAACUGCAAUUGUGGCGGUGGUUGCUACAAUAGCACGGAGGGCAAGGAUGAGAAAGGUCUUCAUGGUGGAUUUGUAUUGAGCACUGCUUGCUUGGCUUAAAUGAUGCGCUCUACUUAUGAGAAUGAUGGAUGAGGAAGGAUGAUCAUCAUGCUACGGGCCUAUUUAUAGCUGCCAUGGAAUGAUCUCUUUCACAAUUGGCAUUUGCUUGUGUGGAAGUGCUUGGAUGCUUCUCAAAAUCAUAAUUUGGUAUGUUGUGUUCGGUGGCACUACUUACAAGUGUAUUCUUGAACUGGUCAUUAAAGUUCCUUGUUGUUGCACUAUCAUUCCACAACCAAAAAGGUGUGAUAACACGCAUGACUCAUUUUAUUCACUUUACAGCUCAAACACUAAUCUAGAUUGCCUAUUUUUCUGAAACUAAGUUUGUAAUUUUCUGCAAAUUGUUACGCAUAAACUAGAUAAGCAUGGCUGGCACAGAACUUGGUUUGUAAUCUUGUGUGGCCUGUUAAGGUAGAUAAGACUAGUAAUAUAACUUGCUUUAGUAGGCCAUGACUCAUCAAAUUCCCUUUACAUGUCAAGUGUUGUAGUGUUCUAGAAGUUAUUAGCAAACAUAAAUUUUGUAAUGUUCUACAAGUUGUUACAUGUAAACUAGAUAAGCUUGACUUGCACACAAACAAGAUUUUAAUCAUGUGUGACCUGUUAAGAUGGAUUAGACUAGUAAUGUGGCUUUGAUAGACCAUGACUCAUCAAAUUGCUUUUACUUGUCUUAAGUGUUGUAUAUGUUGUACAAGUUAUUAACACUUAUCAGCUUAGUAUGGCUUGCAAUGUGUGUGCAUGCCAAUGUACGUUCUAGCUUCUAUUCAUUUGUAGAUCUUAUUUUGUUUUACGCAAAUUGUAUAAAUUAUCAUCUACGCUAAGGCUUGCGAGUGCAACUGCAACAAUGUUGGCAGGGUGGGAGGGAGGUUGUGGCAUGGCAUGAGUUCUUAUGACAACCGUUCAUUAUGUGUGAAAAGAUACGUGUUAUGUUUUUCAUGCGUGCUAAGAAAUAGAUGUUUUUAAAUACAAUUUAUAUUUUGAUUAGCAAAGUUCUCGGAAAAGUUGACAUGACCUCUACUCAUUAUUUAUCUUUUGGAUCAAAUUCAAAUAAUAAUAAAAUAAAUGGAUGUGAUUCCAUCAUGGCCAUUUCAAAUAUAUUUGAAAGUAAAAUCCAAACAUUAUCCUCAGAUUACAAUACAAAUUACACGUCAACUGUUUCAGAUAAAAAAUAUAAAUGAUCUAUUAUAUUAUUAAAAGAAGAAAAAUGAGUUAAAAAGAAUGGAUGUGAUUUGCUUGAAAGAAUGUGUAUGCAUGUCUCCUUAUCCCGCGAGUUUCCAGAAAAACAACGCUAGGCUCGUCCUAUUGGAAUCAGUCGGAUGAAUAAANNNNNNNNNNNNNNNNNNNNNNNNNNNNNNNNNNNNNNNNNNNNNNNNNNNNNNNNNNNNNNNNNNNNNNNNNNNNNNNNNNNNNNNNNNNNNNNNNNNNGGGUUACGUCAAAAACUGGAUGCACUUCGCGUACAAAACGGACGAUCUCUUUCAAAGUAUCAGGAUUUCAUACGGAAACUCGUCUGUUACAAUGGAAUUUCAUUUUUAAAACUUAUUUGAACUCCUGACUUUUUGUGUGUUCAAAAUUAAACAUUCAAAUCCACAUCAUCAUUUUUCAAUCCUUUCUGACUUCAUUUGUUAUUUUUCAUGCAUUUACUAAUUAUUUUGAGCUAUAAGACCAUAAAAUUGAAAAGCAUUUCAAAUGAACUCUGAAAAGGUUGAAAGUUGGCAUGGUAUCAUCAUUUCAUCCACAUAGCAUGUGCAAGAUAGUUGAGAGGGUUACGGCAAAAACUGGAUGCACUUCGUGUACAAAAUGGACGUUCUCUUUCAAAGUAUCAGGAUUUCAUACGGAAACUCGUCUGUUAGAAAGGGAUUUCAUUUUUUUAAAACUUAUUUGAACUCCUGACUUCUUGUGUGUUCAAAAUGCACCAUUCAAAGACACAUCAUCAUUUUUCAAUCCUUUCUGACUUCAUUUGUUAUUUUUCAUGCAUUUACUAAUUAUUUUGAGCUAUAAGACCCUAAAAUUGAAAAGCAUUUCAAAUGAACUCUGAAAAGGUUGAAAGUUGGCAUGGUAUCAUCAUUUCAUCCACAUAUCAUGUGCAAGAUAGUUGAGAGGGUUACAAAUAACUGGAUGCACUUCGUGUACAAAACGGACAAUCUCUUUCAAAGUAUCAGGAUUUCGUACGGAAACUCGUCUGUUACAAAGGGAUUUCAUUUUUUUAAACUUAUUUGAACUCCAGACUUUUUGUGUGUUCAAAAUGCACCAUUCAAAGCCACACCAUCAUUUUUCAAUCCUUUCUGACUUCAUUUGUUAUUUUUCAUGCAUUUACUAAUUAUUUUGAGCUAUAAGACCAUAAAANNNNNNNNNNAUUUUUUUAAACUUAUUUGAACUCCUGACUUUUUGUGUCUUCAAAAUGCACCAUUCACAGCCACACCAUCAUUUUUCAGUCCUUUCUCACUUCAUUUGUUAUUUUUCAUGCAUUUACUAAUUAUUUUCACCUAUAAGACCCUAAAAUUGAAAAGCAUUUCAAAUGAACUCUGAAAAGGUUGAAAGUUGGCAUGGUAUCAUCAUUUCAUCCACAUAGCAUGUGCAAGAAAUUUGAGAGGGUUACGGUAAAAACUGGAUGCACUUCGUUUACAAAACGGACAAUCUCUUUCAAAGUAUCAGGAUUUCGUACGGAAACUCGUCUGUUACAAAGGGAUUUCAUUUUUUUAAACUUAUUUGAACUCCUGACUUUUUGUGUGUUCAAAAUGCACCAUUCAAAGCCACAUCAUCAUUUUUAAUCCUUUCUAACUUCAUUUGUUAUUUUUCAUGCAUUAACUAAUUAUUUUGAGCUAUAAGACCAUGAAAUUGAAAAGCAUUUCAAAUGAACUCUGAAAAGUUUGAAAGUUGGCAUGGUAUCAUCAUUUCAUCCACAUAGCAUGUGCAAGAAAGUUGAGAGGGUUACGGCAAANNNNNNNNNNGGAUUUCAUACGGAAACUCGUCUGUUACAAAGGGAUUUCAUUUUUUUAAACUUAUUUGAACUCCUGACUUUUUGUGUGUUCAAAAUGCACCAUUCAAAGCCACAUCAUCAUUUUUCAAUCCUUUCUGACUUCAUUUGUUAUUUUUCAUGCAUUUACUAAUUAUUUUGAGCUAUAAGACCCUAAAAUUGAAAAGCAUUUCAAUUGAACUAUGAAAAGGUUGAAAGUUGGCAUGGUAUCAUCAUUUCAUCCACAUAGCAUGUGCAAGAAAGUUCAGAGGGUUACGGCAAAAACUGGAUGCACUUCGAGUACAAAACGGACAAUCUCUUUCAAAGUAUCACGAUUUCAUACGGAAACUGGUCCGUUACAAAGGGAUUACAUUUUUUAAAACUUAUUUGAACUCCUGACUUUUUGUGUGUUCAAAAUGGACCAUUCAAAGCAACAUCAUCAUUUCUCAAUCCUUUCUGACUUCAUUUGUUAUUUUUCAUGCAUUUACUAAUUAUUUUGGGCUAUAAGACCCUAAAAUUGAAAAGCAUUUCAAAUGAACUCUGAAAAGGUUGAAAGUUGGCAUGGUAUCAUCAUUUCAUCCACAUAGCAUGUGCAGGAAAGUUGAGAGGGUUACGGCAAAAACUGGAUGCACUUCAUGUACAAAACGGACAAUCUCUUUCAAAGUAUCAGGAUGUCAUACGGAAACUCGUCUGUUACAAAGGGAUUUCAUUUUUUAAAACUUAUUUGAACUCCUGACUUUUUAUGUGUUCAAAAUGCACCAUUCAAAGCCACAUCAUCAUUUUUCAAUCCUUUGUGACUUCAUUUGUUAUUUUUCAUGCAUUUACUAAUUAUUUUGAGCUAUAAGACCCUAAAAUUGAAAAGCAUUUCAAUUGAAUUCUGAAAAGGUUGAAAUUGGCAUGGUAUCAUUAUUUCAUCCACAUAGCAUGUGCAAGAAAGUUGAGAGGGUUACGGCAAAAACUGGAUGCACUUCAUGUACAAAACGGACAAUCUCUUUCAAAGUAUCAGGAUUUCAUUCGGAAACUCGUCAGUUACAAAGGGAAUUCGUUUUUUAAAACUUAUUUGAACUCCUGACUUUUUGUGUGUUCAAAAUGCACCAUUCAAAGCCACAUCAUCAUUUUUCAAUCCUUUCUGACUUCAUUUGUUAUUUUUCAUGCAUUUACUAAUUAUUUUGAGCUAUAAGACCCUAAAAUUGAAAAGCGUUUCAAAUGAACUCUGAAAAGGUUGAAAGUUGGCAUGGUAUCAUCAUUUCAUCCACAUAGCAUGUGCAAGAAAGUUGAGAGGGUCACGGCAAAAACUGGAUGCACUUCAUGUACAAACCGGACAAUCUCUUUGAAAGUAUCAGGAUUGCAUACGGAAACUCGUCUGUUACAAAGGGAUUUCAUUUUUUAAAACUUAUUUGAACUCCUGACUUUUUGUGUGUUCAAAAGGACCAUUCAAAGCCACAUCAUCAUUUUUCAAUCCUUUCUGANNNNNNNNNNNNNNNNNNNNNNNNNNNNNNNNNNNNNNNNNNNNNNNNNNNNNNNNNNNNNNNNNNNNNNNNNNNNNNNNNNNNNNNNNNNNNNNNNNNNAUAUAUAUAUAUAUAUAUAUAUAUAUAUAUAUAUAUAUAUAUGGCAUAACUGAGUGCUGAUGAUGGAGAGAAAAGGACCACAGAUUAAAAAAAUAUGGUCAGUACACUUAUUAUCAUAUAAUUAGAUUUAUUUUCCAGUCCAAAUGACACCUCCAGUUUCCUUGAGGAGAUGUUAUAUAUUUUCGCAGUCUAUUUUCUUUGUUCUAAGCAACAUGGCCACUUAUAUAUCUUAUAUCUGCUCUGCAGUAGUUUUUGGGUCACAGAGAGUCUGAACUCUGAACACGCUAUAACACACGUGUUAACUGAGCCAUUAGUCUGGCCGCAUUGGAGCAAGUAGCUAAAAGAAUUUUUUUCCUAGAACUUGCACUGGCGUCAUGGGCAGAUGGCCUGACCGCAACACAACCCAUAACAGUUUUUACAUGGGAAGAAGUGAUGAAUGUUAACAUAUAAGGACGAACUUGUAAAUCUGCUGGUCUUGUUUCAAACGUGUGAUAAGCUUUGUUGGUUCUCCAAUGUGUUGGGCGGCCGGCACCUUUUCCUGCAAGCUGCGACUAAUUUCGUGACAUGGAAGACCACUAAACUGAAUUCCAAACAUCCUGAAUAUCCAAAAACCUAUUUGUAAAUCUUUGUCACAGGGUGCUAGACAAUGCUAGACUGAUCUUUAACACUUAAACUGUUUCCAAAUUUAGUAUAGAAAAAAUAGUCGGAAGGGCCGUGAACGAUCUGUGUCAGCAGCAGCUACAAUCAAACAUAAGCUAAUCGCAUUAGUGGAGUCAAAUCAUAACAACGCACUCACCUAGACCAUGUUGAGUCGUCUCUUAUUGAGAAUUGACCUUCAGUGGGCGUGAAGCAUCAGCCAAACCAUGUAGAAGCCCUGCGAUAGCAUGUACGCUAGCUAGCUCCAUGCCUCUAGCAACGUUUAUCGAAUAGGAUAUGGACCGCGCUCUUCAACUUCUGCUGCCCGAGGAUGCUGGUGAACAGUUUCGCUACUACUCCUGUCUAUAAAGAUACCACGGCAACCGCGGGCGCUGGCGCGGAGUACUGGAUCUCCCAAUAUGUACGUGCAGUUGUGCACCAUACUGCUCGUGUUUGGACCUGCAGCACAGGAGAUCGUGGAGGCUUCAACAGGAGAAGAACGCGCGUAGCCAAGAUCAUGCUGGUGGAUAUCCUCGUCACGUGAUGCGGACAUCACAUGCCGAGAUGUACUCACGGUAAUGGACUCGUGUCUGCGCUACUGGGUAACUGGAGGCCGGACGGUGCCACUGCUCAUGUAUGACUGGUCAAUGAGGAGGCUGGCGGAUGGAGAGGGCAACGGAUGGAGGCAGGCCGGAUGAUGGGACUCCCGCAUAGAGAAGGAAUCAACAAUUAGAAAUCUGCAUCCACCUUGCAAUAGCAUAGCAAGAACCAACCGGAGGUAGGCCCCGAUGAUAGGAGAUCUAUUCGAUUUCUUUUAGGAAAAGAAAAGAUGGAGGUCAAUAGAGGUAGGAGUGCUGCACGAUGGCUACUACGUGGUAUGCCUUUUUUUUUGCGUGGACAGAUUUUUUACCUAGAUUGAAUCUCAUCCCAUGAUUUUUCUGGACUCUUUAUUUCAUUCAGAUAGACGUGAGAGAUUAAAAGAGUUGGGUUCUGUGAUACACGAUUCAUGUACGUAUUUUUUUUAUGAAUCGAUCUGGACCGUAAUAAUUCGGUCCCACCAGAUUAACGGCUCGUAAAAUCUAAUUAACGUGAGAGUUUUAGGAAGUCAAGAAUUAGUAUAGGUAUAGAGGUAUUGAUAGAUAGAUAGAUAGAUAGAUAGAUAGAUAGAUAGAAGUGUUCUCCUUGAGUAUGCACCGUUGCGAAAGUUCUUCGUGCUGAGACACCACGUGAUGAUCGGGUGUGAUAGGCUCUACAUUCAAAUACAACGGGUGCAAAACAGUUGCACACGCAGAAUACUCAGGUUAAACUUGACGAGUCUAGCAUAUACAGAUAUGGCCUCGGAACACUGAGACCGAAAGGUCGAACGUGAAUCAUAUAGUAGAUAUGAUCAACAUAGUGAUGUUCACCAUUGAAACUACUCCAUCUCAUGUGAUGAUCGGACAUGGUUUAGUUGAUUUGGAUCACGUGAUCACUUAGAUGACUAGAGAGGUGUCUGUCUAAGUGGGAGUUCUUAAGUAAUAUGAUUGAUUGAACUUAAAUUUAUCAUGAACUUAGUCCUGGUAGUAUUUUGCAAAUUAUGUUGUAGAUCAAUAGCUUGCGUUGUUGCUUUCAUAUGUUUAUUUUGAUAUGUUCCUCGAGAAAAUUGUGUUGAAAGAUGUUAGUAGAAAUGAUGCGGAUUGGAUCCGUGAUCUGAGGUUUAUCCUCAUUGCUGCACAGAAGAAUUAUAUCCUUAAUGCACCGCUAGGUGACAAACCUAUUGCAGGAGCAGAUGCAGACGUUAUGAACGUUUGGCUAGCUCAAUAUGAUGACUACUUGAUAGUUUAGUGCACCAUGGUUAACUGCUUAGAAUCGGGACUUCAAAGACGUUUUGAACGUCAUGGACCAUAUGAGAUGUUUCAGGAGUUGAAGUCAAUAUUUCAAGCAAAUACCCGAGUUGAGAGAUAUGAAGUCUCCAACAAGUUCUAUAGCUAAAGGAUGGAGGAGAAUCGCUCAACUAGUGAGCAUGUGCUCAGAUUGUCUGGGCACUACAAUCGCUUGAAUCAAGUGGGAGUUAAUCUUCCAGAUAAGAUAGUGAUUGACAGAGUUCUCUAGUCACCAUCACCAAGUUAGUAGAACUUUGUGAUGAACUAUAGUAUGCAAGGGAUGACGAAAACGAUUCCUGAGCUCUUUGUGAUGUUGAAAUCAACAAAGAUAGAAAUCAAGAAAGAGCAUCAAGUGUUGAUGGUGGACAAGAUCAUUAGUUUCAAGAAAAGGGCAAAGGGAAAGAAAGGGGAACUUCAAGUAGAAUGACAAGCAAGUUGUCACUCCCACGAAGAAGCCCAAAGCUGAACCAAAGCCUGAAACUGAGUGCUUCAACUACAAANNNNNNNNNNNNNNNNNNNNNNNNNNNNNNNNNNNNNNNNNNNNNNNNNNNNNNNNNNNNNNNNNNNNNNNNNNNNNNNNNNNNNNNNNNNNNNNNNNNNGAUGUGGGCGCGGCCCACGUGGCGCGCGCGGACUGGACGGGUGGCGGCGGCGGAUGUUGUCCGGUCCGAUCCGGACACGUCCGUCGGUGGCGGGGGUUGAUCUGUUUUUUUUUCGGAGGAGGACGGGGAGGAAUCUGAGAUCCGAAAGGGGGGGUGUAUAUAUAGGCAUAAGUGGAGCUAGGAGAGUCCAAAUGAGGUGCGGUUUUCGCCCACGCGAUCGUGAUCGAACGAUCUAGGACAUGGAGCAGAGUUUGGUGGGUUUUGGAAGAAAUUUGGGGGUGUUGGGCUGCAACACACACGAGGCCUUUUCGGUCCCUCGGUUAACCGUUGGACUAUCAAACGAAGUCCAAAAGGUACGAAACUUGAUAGGUGGUCUACCGGUAGUAAACCAAGGCCGCUUGGCAAGUCUCGGUCCAAUCCGGAAAUGUUUAAUUCCCAGACACGAAACAAAGCUAGAAAUGACCACCGGAGGAGAACGAAGCGCCGGAAUGCAAAACGGACAACGGGGAAAAUGCUCGAAUGCAUGAGAUGAACACGUAUGCAAAUGCAAUGCACAUGAUGAAAUGGUAUGAGAUGCAUGAAAACGAAAACAACACACGGAGACAAAGACCCGAACCUGAGAAAUAAAUAUAACUUGACACCGGAAACGGCAAGAGUUGGAGUACAAAUAGGGAAAGUUACAUCUGGGGCGUUACAACACUCCACCACUACGAAAAGAUCUCGUCCCGAGAUCUAGGACUGAAAGAACUCCGGGUACUCAGAACGAAGGUGAUCCUCGCGUUCCCAGGUAGCUUCACGGUCGGAAUGGUGUGACCACUUAACUUUGAGAAAUUUGAUUGACUUGUUGCGAGUCUUGCGUUCAGUCUCUUCAAGAAUAGCAAAUGGGUGCUCACGAUAAGAGAGAUCUUCUUGGAGCUCAAUGUCCUCGAAGUUGACGGUGCGGUCAGGAGUCUUGAAGCACUUUCGAAGCUGAGAGACAUGGAACACAUCAUGAACAUUUGCAAAGUUUGAAGGAAGCUCGAGUUGAUAGGCGAGGUCGCCUCUCUUGCUGACAAUCUUGAAAGGUCCCACGUAUCUAGGGGCAAGCUUCCCUUUGAUACCGAAGCGACGAGUACCUUUCAUGGGAGAGACGCGGAGGUAAACAUGAUCUCCGAUCUCGAAAGCCAAUUCACGGUGCUUACUAUCAUAGUAGCACUUCUGGCGGGAUUGGGCUGCUUUGAGGUUAUCACGAAUGACUUUGCACAUUUCUUCUGCUUCUGUGAUUAAGUCAUUACCCAGCAGCUGACGUUCACUGGUUUCAGACCAGUUGAGAGGGGUACGGCACUUCCUGCCAUACAAAAUUUCAAAUGGGGCCUUGCCCGAACUUGCUUGAAAGCUGUUGUUGUAUGAGAAUUCAGCAUAAGGAAGACAGUCCUCCCACUUCAUGCCGAAGGAGAUCACACAAGCCCUGAGCAUAUCUUCAAGAAUUUGGUUGACACGCUCGACUUGACCGCUUGUUUGAGGAUGGAAGCUGUGCUGAAGCGGAUGUUGGUGCCCAUGGCCUUCUGAAAAGAAUCCCAAAACUUGGAGGUAAAGAUGCUGCCACGGUCUGAAGAUAUCACUUGAGGAAUACCGUGCAGAGAGACAAUGCGAGAGGUAUAGAGUUCCGCCAAUUGAGCUGCAGUGAUCGACUCUUUGAUAGGCAGAAAAUGAGCCACUUUGGUGAGCUUGUCGAUGACAACAAAUAUAGCAUCAUUGCCACGCUUGGACUUUGGAAACCCAGUCACGAAGUCCAUUUCAAUGUGGUCAAACUUCCAUUCUGGAAUGGCAAGAGGUUGGAGGAGACCAGCUGGCCUUUGGUGUUCUGCCUUCACUAUUCUGCAGACAUCACAUUCAUUCACGAAUUGAGCGAUCUCGCGCUUCAUUCGAGUCCACCAAUAAGCUUGCUUGAGGUCCUGAUACAUCUUCGUACUCCCAGGGUGGAUGGAGAGGAGAGAAUUGUGAGCCUCGUUCAUGAUCACCUUACGAAGUUCACGUUUGGGCACAACAAUUCGAUCCUCGAAGAAGAGAGUGUCCUUGUCAUCAAGUCGGUAGCACUUGUACUUGGACUGACUCUUUGCAAUACCAAUCUUCACCUUCUUCACCAUAUCAUCAAGAAGCUGGGCUUGGCGAAUCUGGUCUUCCAAGGUAGGAGAAACUUGAAGGUUGGCGAGGAAACCUUGAGGAACAACUUGCAGAUUCAGCUUGCGGAAAGCUUCACAAAGCUCGGGUUGAUAAGGCUUGAGAAUCAGACUGUUGCAAUAUGCUUUUCUGCUCAAAGCGUCAGCAAUCACAUUAGCCUUGCCUGGAGUAUACUCGAUACUCGGAUUGUACUCUUGAAUCAUUUCGACCCAUCGAGUCUGCCUGAGGUUGAGAUUAGGCUGAGUGAAGAUGUACUUGAGACUCUUGUGAUCAGUGAAAAUAUCCACUUUCCUUCCCAAUAGAAGAUGUCUCCAAGUCAAAAGAGCAUGCACCACUGCCGCCAACUCGAGAUCAUGAGUGGGGUAGUUCUUCUCAUUAGGCUUCAACUGGCGAGAGGUAUAAGCGACAACUUUCUUCUCUUGCAUCAGUACAGCACCGAGACCUUGGAGAGAGGCAUCACAAAAGACCUCGUACGGCUUGGUUUCAUCAGGCGGAGUCAGAACUGGAGCAGUGAUCAAUUUCUCUUUCAAAGUGUUGAAAGCAAUAUCACACUCCGGAGACCAAACGUACUUGAUGUGCUUCUGAAGAAGAUUUGAGAGAGGCUUGGCGAUCUUAGAAAAGUUUUCAACGAAUCUUCUGCAAUAGCUUGCGAGACCGAGGAAACUGCGGAGUUGCUUUACGUUCUGAGGAGGUUCCCAAUUCACAAUUGCAGACACCUUCUCAGGAUUCACGGAAAUGCCCUUGGCAGAGAUGAUAUGACCAAGAUAAAGAACCUCAUCGAGCCAAAAUUCACACUUGGAGAACUUGGCGUAGAACUGAUGUUCCCUGAGCUUGUCANNNNNNNNNNNNNNNNNNNNNNNNNNNNNNNNNNNNNNNNNNNNNNNNNNNNNNNNNNNNNNNNNNNNNNNNNNNNNNNNNNNNNNNNNNNNNNNNNNNNGUGUUCGAGCGCUAUGUCGAGCAGGAUCACGACAUCGGCAUCCUCCUCGACAUUCACCAGGGCGAGUGCGGGCACGACGCCGCAUCGCGAUCCCUGGUGGCCAAGGCGUUCCGCCACGGUUUCUACUGGCCCACGGCCCUCGAAGACGCCGAGUCACUCGUCCUCAAGUGCGAGGGGUGCCAACACUUCAGCAAACGCAGCCACCAGCCGGCGUCAGCACUCCGCACCAUACUGAUCGUCUGGCCUUUUGCGGUCUGGGGACUCGACAUGGUGGGACCCUUCAAAACCGCUCGAGGCGGCAUGACGCACUUGCUGGUGGCAGUGGACAAGUUCAAAUUGGAUCGAGGCAAGACCUAUCAAGAAACUGGACGGGCCAACAACCGUCCGGUUCAUCAACUACAUAGCAGUGUGCUACGGCAUGCCGAACAGCAUCAUCACCGACAACCGCACCAACUUCGCCAAGGGCGCGCUCGAGCAAUACUACUCUGUCUCUGGCAUCCGCCUCGACCUGGCCUCCGUGGCACAUCCGCAGUCCAACGGGCAGGUCGAGCGGGCCAACAGACUCAUCAUGUCCGGCAUCAAGCCGCGACUCGUCGAGCCACUCAUCCGCUCACCCGGAAGUUGGCUUGACAAGUUGCCUGCAGUUCUCUGGAGUUUACCCACCACGCCGAACCGGUCGACCGGGUUCACCCCGUUCUUCCUCGUUUAUCUAUGAAUAAUAUUGGAAUCUUCUCUGAAUUCUUUUACGGUGUGUUUGUCGAGAUCCGAUGAAUUUUGGGUUUAUGAUCAAGUUUAUCUAUGAAUAAUAUUGGAAUCUUCUCUGAAUUCUUUUAUGUAUGAUUGAGUUAUCUUUGCAAGUCUCUUCGAAUUAUCAGUUUGGUUUGGCCUCCUAGAUUGAUCUUUCUUGCCAUGGGAGAAGUGUUUAGCUUUGGGCUCAAUCUUGCGGUGAUCUUACCCAGCGACAGAAAGGGUUGCAAGACACGUAUUGUAUUGUUGCCAUCGAGGAUAACAAGAUGGGGUUUAUAUCAUAUUGCAUGUGUUUAUCCCUCUACAUCAUGUCAUCUUGCUUAAUGCGUUGCUCUGUUCUUAUGAACUUAAUACUCUAGAUGCAGGCAGGAGUCGGUCGAUGUGUGGAGUAAUAGUAGUAGAUGCAGGCAGGAGUCGGUCUACUUGUUAUGGACGUGAUGCCUAAAUACAUGAUCAUGCCUAGAUAAUGUCAUAAUUAUUAACUUUUCUAUCAAUUGCUCGACAGUAAUUUGUUAAGCCCACUGUAAUAUUUAUGCUCUCGAGAGAAGCCUCUAGUGAAACCUAUGGCCCCCGGGUCUAAUCAUUUUUGCUUUCAAUCUCACAAAAUACCAAAAAUAUUAUUAUCUCUCUAUCAGAUAUCACUUUCGUAAGUGACUGUGAAGGGAUUGACAACCCCUUUAUUGCGUUGGUUGCGAGUUCUCAGUUUGUUUGUGUAGGUGCGUGGGACUUUUGAGGAGCCUCCUACUGGAUUGAUACCUUGGUUCUCAAAACUGAGGGAAUUAUUACGCUACACUUCGCUGCAUCACCCUCUCCUCUUCGGGGAAAACCAACGCUAACUCAAGACGUAGCAAGAAGGAUUUCUGGCGCCGUUGCCAGGGAGGUCUUCGCUCAAGUCGAGACAUACCAAGUACCCAUCACAAACUCAUCUCCCACGCAUUUACAUUAUUUGCCAUUUGCCUCUCGUUUUCCUCUCCCCCACUUCACCCUUGCCGUUUUGCUCGCCCUCUCUUUCCCAAUCUCCUCCUCUCUUUUCCGCUUGCUUUUUCUGUUUGCUUUUGUGUUGGAUUACUUGUUGCCAUGGCGCAAGAUAAUACCAAAUUGUGUGAUUUCUCGAAUACCAAUAAUAAUGAUUUCCUUAGUACUCCGAUUGCUCCUCUUAAUGAUGUUGAGUCUUGUGAAAUCAAUGCUGCUUUGCUGAAUCUUGUUAUGAAAGAUCAAUUCGUCGGCCUUCCUAGUGAAGGUGCCGCUACCCAUCUAAACAAUUUUGUUGAUUUGUGUUAUAUGCAAAAUAAGAAAGAUACGGAUAACAAUAUUGUCAAAUUGAAGUUAUUUUCGUUUUCACUUAGAGAUCGUGCUAAAGUUUGGUUUUCAUCUCUGCCUAAAAAUAGUAUUGAUUCUUGGAACAAGUGCAAAGAGCUUUUAUCUCUAAGUAUUUUGCUCCCACUAAGAUCAUCACUCUUAGGAACGAUAUUAUGAAUUUUAAACAACUUGAUCAUGAGCAUGUUGCCCAAUCUUGGGAAAGAAUGAAAAUGAUGCUUCGCAAUUGCCCUACUCAUGGUUUGAAUUUAUGGAUGAUCAUACAAAAAUUUUAUGCCGGUUUGAAUUUUGCUUCUAGAAAUCUCUUAGAUUCGGCCGCGGGAGGCACCUUUAUGGAAAUCACAUUAGGAGAUGCUACAAAACUUCUUGACAAUAUUAUGUCUAAUUAUUCUCAAUGGCACGCCGGAAGAUCUUCUAGUAAAAAAGUGCAUGCUAUAGAAGAAAUCAAUGUUUUGAGUGGAAAGAUGGAUGAACUUAUGAAGAUGUUUGCUACUAAAAAUACUCCUCUUGAUCCUAAUGAUAUGCCUUUGUCUUCCUUGAUAAGAAUAAUAAUGAAUCUAUGGAUGUGAAUUUUCUUGCUAGGAAUAGUUUUGGAAACAAUGCUUAAAGAGGAAAUUUUAAUGCUAGACCGUUCCCUAGUAAUUCCUCUAAUAAUUAUGGAAAUUCCUACAAUAAUUAUUAUGGUAAUUUUAAUAAGAUGGCCUCUGAUUUUGUGAAUAUUGUGAAAGAAUUUAUGAUUUCUCAAAAGAAUUUUAAUGCUUUGCUUGAAGAAAAAUUGCUCAAAGUUGAUGAUUUGGCUAGGAACGUUGAUAGACUUUCGCUUGAUGUUGAUUCUCUUAAACUUAGACCUUCUCCUCCUAAGCAUGAUAUCAAUGAGUCUCUCAAAAUAAUGAGAAUUUCCAUUGAUGAGUGCAAGGAAAGAACCGCUAGAUUNNNNNNNNNNNNNNNNNNNNNNNNNNNNNNNNNNNNNNNNNNNNNNNNNNNNNNNNNNNNNNNNNNNNNNNNNNNNNNNNNNNNNNNNNNNNNNNNNNNNGUGUUCGAGCGCUAUGUCGAGCAGGAUCACGACAUCGGCAUCCUCCUCGACAUUCACCAGGGCGAGUGCGGGCACGACGCCGCAUCGCGAUCCCUGGUGGCCAAGGCGUUCCGCCACGGUUUCUACUGGCCCACGGCCCUCGAAGACGCCGAGUCACUCGUCCUCAAGUGCGAGGGGUGCCAACACUUCAGCAAACGCAGCCACCAGCCGGCGUCAGCACUCCGCACCAUACUGAUCGUCUGGCCUUUUGCGGUCUGGGGACUCGACAUGGUGGGACCCUUCAAAACCGCUCGAGGCGGCAUGACGCACUUGCUGGUGGCAGUGGACAAGUUCAAAUUGGAUCGAGGCAAGACCUAUCAAGAAACUGGACGGGCCAACAACCGUCCGGUUCAUCAACUACAUAGCAGUGUGCUACGGCAUGCCGAACAGCAUCAUCACCGACAACCGCACCAACUUCGCCAAGGGCGCGCUCGAGCAAUACUACUCUGUCUCUGGCAUCCGCCUCGACCUGGCCUCCGUGGCACAUCCGCAGUCCAACGGGCAGGUCGAGCGGGCCAACAGACUCAUCAUGUCCGGCAUCAAGCCGCGACUCGUCGAGCCACUCAUCCGCUCACCCGGAAGUUGGCUUGACAAGUUGCCUGCAGUUCUCUGGAGUUUACCCACCACGCCGAACCGGUCGACCGGGUUCACCCCGUUCUUCCUCGUUUAUCUAUGAAUAAUAUUGGAAUCUUCUCUGAAUUCUUUUACGGUGUGUUUGUCGAGAUCCGAUGAAUUUUGGGUUUAUGAUCAAGUUUAUCUAUGAAUAAUAUUGGAAUCUUCUCUGAAUUCUUUUAUGUAUGAUUGAGUUAUCUUUGCAAGUCUCUUCGAAUUAUCAGUUUGGUUUGGCCUCCUAGAUUGAUCUUUCUUGCCAUGGGAGAAGUGUUUAGCUUUGGGCUCAAUCUUGCGGUGAUCUUACCCAGCGACAGAAAGGGUUGCAAGACACGUAUUGUAUUGUUGCCAUCGAGGAUAACAAGAUGGGGUUUAUAUCAUAUUGCAUGUGUUUAUCCCUCUACAUCAUGUCAUCUUGCUUAAUGCGUUGCUCUGUUCUUAUGAACUUAAUACUCUAGAUGCAGGCAGGAGUCGGUCGAUGUGUGGAGUAAUAGUAGUAGAUGCAGGCAGGAGUCGGUCUACUUGUUAUGGACGUGAUGCCUAAAUACAUGAUCAUGCCUAGAUAACGUCAUAAUUAUUAACUUUUCUAUCAAUUGCUCGACAGUAAUUUGUUAAGCCCACUGUAAUAUUUAUGCUCUCGAGAGAAGCCUCUAGUGAAACCUAUGGCCCCCGGGUCUAAUCAUUUUUGCUUUCAAUCUCACAAAAUACCAAAAAUAUUAUUAUCUCUCUAUCAGAUAUCACUUUCGUAAGUGACUGUAAAGGGAUUGACAACCCCUUUAUUGCGUUGGUUGCGAGUUCUCAGUUUGUUUGUGUAGGUGCGUGGGACUUUUGAGGAGCCUCCUACUGGAUUGAUACCUUGGUUCUCAAAACUGAGGGAAUUAUUACGCUACACUUCGCUGCAUCACCCUCUCCUCUUCGGGGAAAACCAACGCUAACUCAAGACGUAGCAAGAAGGAUUUCUGGCGCCGUUGCCAGGGAGGUCUUCGCUCAAGUCGAGACAUACCAAGUACCCAUCACAAACUCAUCUCCCACGCAUUUACAUUAUUUGCCAUUUGCCUCUCGUUUUCCUCUCCCCCACUUCACCCUUGCCGUUUUGCUCGCCCUCUCUUUCCCAAUCUCCUCCUCUCUUUUCCGCUUGCUUUUUCUGUUUGCUUUUGUGUUGGAUUACUUGUUGCCAUGGCGCAAGAUAAUACCAAAUUGUGUGAUUUCUCGAAUACCAAUAAUAAUGAUUUCCUUAGUACUCCGAUUGCUCCUCUUAAUGAUGUUGAGUCUUGUGAAAUCAAUGCUGCUUUGCUGAAUCUUGUUAUGAAAGAUCAAUUCGUCGGCCUUCCUAGUGAAGGUGCCGCUACCCAUCUAAACAAUUUUGUUGAUUUGUGUUAUAUGCAAAAUAAGAAAGAUACGGAUAACAAUAUUGUCAAAUUGAAGUUAUUUUCGUUUUCACUUAGAGAUCGUGCUAAAGUUUGGUUUUCAUCUCUGCCUAAAAAUAGUAUUGAUUCUUGGAACAAGUGCAAAGAGCUUUUAUCUCUAAGUAUUUUGCUCCCACUAAGAUCAUCACUCUUAGGAACGAUAUUAUGAAUUUUAAACAACUUGAUCAUGAGCAUGUUGCCCAAUCUUGGGAAAGAAUGAAAAUGAUGCUUCGCAAUUGCCCUACUCAUGGUUUGAAUUUAUGGAUGAUCAUACAAAAAUUUUAUGCCGGUUUGAAUUUUGCUUCUAGAAAUCUCUUAGAUUCGGCCGCGGGAGGCACCUUUAUGGAAAUCACAUUAGGAGAUGCUACAAAACUUCUUGACAAUAUUAUGUCUAAUUAUUCUCAAUGGCACGCCGGAAGAUCUUCUAGUAAAAAAGUGCAUGCUAUAGAAGAAAUCAAUGUUUUGAGUGGAAAGAUGGAUGAACUUAUGAAGAUGUUUGCUACUAAAAAUACUCCUCUUGAUCCUAAUGAUAUGCCUUUGUCUUCCUUGAUAAGAAUAAUAAUGAAUCUAUGGAUGUGAAUUUUCUUGCUAGGAAUAGUUUUGGAAACAAUGCUUAAAGAGGAAAUUUUAAUGCUAGACCGUUCCCUAGUAAUUCCUCUAAUAAUUAUGGAAAUUCCUACAAUAAUUAUUAUGGUAAUUUUAAUAAGAUGGCCUCUGAUUUUGUGAAUAUUGUGAAAGAAUUUAUGAUUUCUCAAAAGAAUUUUAAUGCUUUGCUUGAAGAAAAAUUGCUCAAAGUUGAUGAUUUGGCUAGGAACGUUGAUAGACUUUCGCUUGAUGUUGAUUCUCUUAAACUUAGACCUUCUCCUCCUAAGCAUGAUAUCAAUGAGUCUCUCAAAAUAAUGAGAAUUUCCAUUGAUGAGUGCAAGGAAAGAACCGCUAGAUUNNNNNNNNNNNNNNNNNNNNNNNNNNNNNNNNNNNNNNNNNNNNNNNNNNNNNNNNNNNNNNNNNNNNNNNNNNNNNNNNNNNNNNNNNNNNNNNNNNNNAUUAUAGUAUUUGAAAUAUAACAGCGCCAUUUGUGUCUAGCAGGAAGAGGAGCAGCGGGACUAUAUCCGGGGAUCCCGCCAAUCACGCCUCCACCAGUCGGGUUCCAGAAUCGGCUUCGAGGGCGGAGGCGGACACGAGGCCAGUUCCGCAUAGUUCUCCGACAGAGGAUGCGGAUAUGUUGUCGGCUACGAACUCCGAAGUGGAGAGCGCCAUGAAUCACCGGCGUCGGAGGGCCGUGCUUCGAAACAACAUCUUUUUCGAAGAGGCAUUUAAUGCCUUCAAUUCGGGGGAUGCAUAUAUCCGAGUAGCUCAAGGCGGGCUUGCCCAAGCGACGGACCAGUAUACCAAAGAUAUACGGGUAAGAAAUUUUGAUAAGCAUGUAUAACAGUAGCCCCUGAGACUUGAAAUGGUUGGAACAACUGUUUGAAGGAUCAAUUUAUGCACAGGUCCUUGUAGAUAAGAAUGAACAAUUGGCUCAGGAGCUGGAGGAAUGCAAGGCCCAGUUGAGGGACACGGCUGCCAAGUUAGAGGAAUCCCAAAAGGCCUCAUCUGGUAACAUUUGUCUCAAUUGUACGAAGAUGCACCAGUUAGUAAAUGGUUGGUAUAACAAGUCUAACAGAGAAGUCUGCAGACAAUCCCGGGCUGAAUCUGGAGGGCGUAAGGGAUGACGACUCGCAUCUCAAAAGGCAGCUAAAGGCUGGCGAGUGCAUUCUUACGCAAGUUAGGUAGGAGAAGAACAAUCUUCAAGAUGCCAAAGUCCAGCUGGACGUGGAGUUAAAAGACGUCCGUGCUCAGCUGGCGGACUCCGUGAAGGAGAACAAAAGGCUUCGACGCGACAUUUAUGGUAAGGGCAUAGACGAACUGUAGUAUAGUUCGGCGAGGAAGUAUAUUGAAAGAAUUUUGCUCGCAGGAAUGUUAACGGGUCACCCUGAAAAGGAUAUGCCCUCAUCUGCAAGUGAUUUACUACAAGACCUCUCGCAAUUGCACGAGCGAGCUCGACAAGUGAUGCAGGGUGUUGCUCAGGCCUUGUGGCCACCAAGCUUACUGCCGAAUGGCAUGGGGGAGCUUGUGGACAUGCUUCAAGGAGCACGGCGGCGCUUCCGAUUGUGGAAGAUGUCAGCUUGCCGGCAAGGUGCGAGAGAAGCCUGGGCUAUGGUGAAGACGCGCUACACCAAGCUAGACCCGAACCAUAUGGCCGAAGUAGGACUGGCGGGGCCCGAUGGGCAAGAAAUUCCUGUGAGUCUAGUAUAUGACCAGGUAGUGUUAGCCGCCAAGUAUUCUCAACAGGAUUGUAAGCUAGAUAGCCUGUUGGAUGGUAUAGAGGAGGAAUAUAGUCAGUCCAAGUGACUGUGUAAUUCAAUGGACGUAAUUAGUCCCUAGCCGGAUUAAAAUCAUUUGUCAUGGCGGACCUUUUCGCUUCAGCUCCCGGAUCCUAUAGUCUGGGGUGUGUCCGAAUACCCGCUCAGUUAUACAAAACCGGGGUAUGCAUGGAAACCAGGCAUAGGGGUCAUAAGUGCUUGAACUGACAAGUACCCAACUAGUUAUGUUAUAUUACAUGGAUAGUAAGAAACAUCUUCCAGGGAGAAUAGUUCCGUUAGGGGUUCCUUUCCCAGGGUACGCAUGCAACAAUGUACAUGUCCGGACUGUGAACGAUGGCGCAGGAUACAAGACUUCUGGGGAUUUACGUUGUAACAAACGAAUACAUCCUUUGUUCACCGACCGAAUAUUCUCUUAUAGAAACUAGCUUUCGACUUCACCUAGUCUGAGGUACACAUCCGGCUGAACCGGCAGUAACAGUCGCAGAGGUGCUCCCCUUAUGCCCUAGCCGAAUUAACGGGAACGUAGGCAUAAACACAAGAGCCAGGCAACCCAGCUUGGCCACAUCUUAAGUCAUAUCGAUGCAUAUAAUGGUGAAUAAAAGGCACAUAUGGAAAAAGAAAUGCAUAUGUGAUAGGAGAAAAGCCAUUAGAGUAUUUAUUGUUAGCUUCCAUAUAGGAAGCCCCCAGGUAUUGCUUACACACAUAGUGCGUCCGGAGUGAUCCGGAAGUCCGUAUUGUAUUAAAUACUUUGUGUGGAGAGGAAGAAAAAGUCGAGAAAGGAGAAGGGAUGGAGCAUAAAUAAAAGGGAGGGAGUAAGGAGACGAACAUUGUGUUCAACGUUAGGCGUAGAAUCUCUGGAGUCUGGCCGAGUUCCAUGGGUUCGGCUCGAGCCUGUUAUCGGAUGCAUUACGUAAGCGGUACGCUCCUCCGGUGAGAACUUUGUCGAUGACAAAGGGACCUUCCCACUUGGGUUUGAGCUUGUCCUUCUUCUUCUCCGGUAGGCGUAGAAUGAGUUCGCCAAUAUUGUAAGUUUUGGCCCGUACUUCUCUGCUUUGGUAUCGUCGAGCCUGCUAUUGAUAGAAUGCGGAGCGGGUCUUUGCGACGUCGCGCUCCUCCUCCAGGGCAUCCAAGUUAUCUUGCUGAUCUAGCUCGGCUUCCUUCUCUUCGUACAUGUGUACGCGUGGAGAAUCAUGUAUUAUGUCGCAUGGUAGUACUGUUUCCGCGCCGUACACCAUAAAAAAUGGUGUGUAUCCGGUGGUGCAAUUCGGCGUGGUCCGUAGCCCCCAGAGUACGGAGUCGAGCUCUUCGACCCAGUGCGUGUCCGACUCUGUCAAGGAUCGCACUAGCCUGGGUUUGAUGCCACUCAUGAUGAGACCGUUUGCCCGUUCGACCUGGCCGUUUGUUUGGGGAUGGUAGACGGAAGCAUAGUCGAGCUUAAUGCCCAUUUUGCCGCACCAAGUUUUUACUUCAUCGGCUGUGAAAUUGGAGCCAUUAUCAGUGAUGAUGCUGUGGGGGACACCGUAUUGGUGUACGACCCCGGAUAUGAAGUCUAUUACUGGUCUGGAUUCGGCCGUUUUGACUGGUUUGGCUUCUAUCCAUUUGGUGAACUUGUCCACCAUGACCAAUAAGUAUUUUUUUUCUUAUGGCUUCCCCCUUUAAGAGGUCCGACCAUAUCCANNNNNNNNNNNNNNNNNNNNNNNNNNNNNNNNNNNNNNNNNNNNNNNNNNNNNNNNNNNNNNNNNNNNNNNNNNNNNNNNNNNNNNNNNNNNNNNNNNNNUCCUUGGCCGCCACCCCUUGCUCCUAUAUAAGUAGAUCCAUCUAGUAGCUUUUCCUUGGGAUUUGUUUAGUUAAAAGUUAGCCAUUGCAACUUCGUGUACUUCGUUUGUGUCCAACGACCAGACCAAGACCGCUUCCGGAUCCCCACCAUUAUCAAUACCUCAUAUAUAUUUGCAAUAUUCAGAUUGCUUUAUCAUAUUCUUGCUCGUUCUUCGAUUGCUUGCAGGAAUAGACCUUCGUGGUCAGGCUGACCGUGCUUCCGGCGUCGUCAGUAACCUCAGGAGAUUGGUUUAGCGAUUGCUAAGGCGCAACGUCGUGCACGUUUGUAGUCGGAUUGUCAAAGUCGUCUCCACCAAAUCGAUAGUUAUCAUCUCAUCGAAAGAUCGGGACCCUCGCCUCUAUCAAGUGGUAUCAGUUUUCAGGUUGCUCGGUGAGAAUUUCCAGUUUUCCUAGAUUAAAUUUAUUUUCUUACCUAUUGUCCAAGAAAAAGCCACACAAAAAAAAAAGUUAGAUCUGUUCAUCCUUUAUCCAAGCCAGUCUGAGCCUUUGCAAUUUUCUAUUCAUUGCUUGCAUAGUUGAAUUAUCGGUUGCAUCGUCGUGUCAGUUGCUGGUCUUAGCGUCUAGCUCCUUUAGAAUUUCGAGUUCUGUUCACAUUAGUCACGCCGCCGCUGCAUCAUUAUCCCUUCCGCUGUCCACCAUCCCAUCUAUUAAUUUCCAUCACGUGCUACGCACUGUUCAUUGUCAUAAUCAUAGUUGAGGUCAUUCACAUCUUGGCCUGAUCCAAUAUGCAUCUUAUCUAGUUUGUCUUGGAAAGAAAAAAAAGAUAGAGAAAAAAAAAGAGAAAAAAGGAAAGAAAAAAAAAGAAAAAGAGAGAGAAGAAAAAGAAAAAAAGGGUGAGAAAAAAAAGAGAGAAGAAAAAAAAUUGGAUCUAUCUAGAAUCAAUCUCGUACCUGAAUUCGGAUUGGAAUCUGUUUUGCGCACUGUUCAGUAAAACAGGUGUAUCUUCCUCAUACGAAGUCCGUUUUGGCUCCGUGAGUACUCAAAUUGAAGCUAGCAACAAGCCGCAUCUAAAUAGUUGCAGAAGCUAGUUCAAUAUUUGACACCACAAAAUCGGCUUCUAAAUAGGUCUUUUUGCCCUCCGAAGUUCGUGAACACAACUUGUUCCAAUUUUUCAGGCCAGUUUUAGAAUUCUUUGACUCCUCAUAUCAACUCGGAAUUGAGUGAUUCUUUUUGCAUUGGAAAGCUUGAGUUACUAGCAUUCUUUGAAAGAAUUUAUCAGAAAAUUGUCUCAAACUUUUCAAGAGGAAAGUUGGAGAGAGAGUUGUUGUAUAUCCUGCUUGGCAGUUGUUGGCGAGUUCACCUUAUCUUCAAUAGCCUUAGCUCGGGCUCGUGUCAUGGGUCCAAGAGGUGUUGAGGGAGAUGUAGGCACGUCCAUGGGGAUGAGUGAGGGAUGCUCCGCAUCACAUGGGCCCUUGGCCCGCUCCCUGCGCAUAGGCAGGUGCCGGAUGUCCGGGCUGGGGGCUGGACGUCCGGCGGCUCGGGAAGAGCCGGAUGUCCGGGCCUCUGGCCGGAUGUCCGGGCUGACGGGGUUCAGCUUCGGGUGCGUUCUGUGAUGGGCGCCGGAUUUCCGGGGUCGGGCCGGAUGUCCGGGCUGGUCCGGAUGUCCGGGCUGGGGCCGGAAGUCCGGGGCCUGUAGUAGCUGGCUCUUCUUCCUUCUCCUCUUCAAUGCUUGGCCUUGGUCCUUUGAUUCUCCAUGGUCAUCUCGGUUGUACCUGAGUAUAGGCAAGGUCCAUGCAUGAGGUAGUAGCCAUGUCUCACAUGUGGAAAGUGAUGGUUCGAAGAGGAGUGAAUUCACCUUGUGUCCAAUGGCAUAUGUUUGAGGUCUCGUCAUAUGUCCUCUUGGGGCUUGGAGAGUAGUCAGAGUGUACAUGGGGAUGAACGUGGGACGCUCCGCAUCUGGGAGUAUAUAUAGUCUAAGGGGCGAAGGGGUACAUGGGACUCGGCCCAGAUGUGCUGCACGCAGGCAGGGGGGACGAAUGUCCGGGCGUCAGGCCGGAUGUCCGGGCCUUCUCGAGAUGCCGGAUGUCCGAGCUGGCGGGCCGGAUGUCCGGGCUGGAAUGGCCGAUUCUUCUGCUCUCUGGAUAACUUGAUGAGGACAUGACUACCUUGGAUAUGACCAAAAAUAUUGCAUAUAUGCAUAUUUGUCAGGUGAUUUCUAGUGCAAACUAUUCAAUAAUCUAUUUAUGUUAUCCAGAACAAAAAUACUUCACACACUUUUGUGUUUUGUCUAAUUGCAGGUGUAUGGGACAUUUGUACAAUCCACAUAUGAAGAUAAGGAAGAAAGAGAUGUUUAUUUGCUGUCCAAAAAGUUCUCUCACGUCACUUUUGGCCCAAGAGAAGAUAGAGUCCAAGUCUCUCACGUUCUGGAUUCAGAUUCGGACUGCACAGACAUACCUGACUCAAAACGCACACAAAUUUUUCAUACGGACUCGAAUUGGGUGAUUCUUUUUUUGUUGGAAACUAGAUUUCGUGCACUUUCCAACCCAAUUGGAAUCACCUUCAAAUUCGUCAGGAGCGUUGAGUUGUGGACGAAACAAUCUGAUGCUGCAGCAGAAUCCGAGUCAAACUACAAGUCCAAAGGUGUUACAUCACCUCCACUUGGGCCCAUUGGCCUUGUACGACCUAGAUUUAGUUUUAGGCUGCCUUGGGACGUCCUCCCACCUCCUUGGCCGCCACCCCUUGCUCCUAUAUAAGUAGAUCCAUCUAGUAGCUUUUCCUUGGGAUUUGUUUAGUUAAAAGUUAGCCAUUGCAACUUCGUGUACUUCGUUUGUGUCCAACGACCAGACCAAGACCGCUUCCGGAUCCCCACCAUUAUCAAUACUUCAUAUUUAUUUGCAAUAUUCAGAUUGCUUUAUCAUAUUCUUGCUCGUUCUUCGAUUGCUUGCAGGAAUAGACCUUCGUGGUCAGGCUGACCGUGCUUCCAGCAUCGUCAGUAACNNNNNNNNNNNNNNNNNNNNNNNNNNNNNNNNNNNNNNNNNNNNNNNNNNNNNNNNNNNNNNNNNNNNNNNNNNNNNNNNNNNNNNNNNNNNNNNNNNNNGCAUUCAGUUUGGAUAAAGUUCAUUUGAACCAAGGGUUCAAAUGCAACUCUAUAUUAAACCCUUUAAAAUGACAUUUAUGUGUUUUCGUAUAUUUAGUAGGUAUAGUUUGGUUUAUCAUGCAUGAAAAUGGUGCAGAUGGAUAGAUUUAUUUUUUCUGAUAAUUUUUCAUAUUUAAAUUAUUUCCAACUAAGGCACUGAUGAAUUCCUAUGAAUUUUUGAAUUUUUUUUAAAAUUUCUAGGAUUUCCUGAAUUAAAUUAAACCCAGAAAAACAAUUACUGUGUCAUGCUUGCAUCAGCAAGUCAAUAACGCUGACCAGGUCAAACCUCACAUGUGGGGUCCACACGUCAGUGACACAAGGUUUAAACAAGGGUUAUUUAGUCUAAUUAAAUGGUUAGUGGGCAUUGGGGCCCGCCGUCAACAUCACAGGGGGUGGAUUAGCACUAAUUAGGUACCUAACUGGUGGGGGCCAUAUUGGUCAGUGGCUUAGGCCGGCAGAGUGCGCUUUUCCGGCGACGAGGGCGGCGGCUGAGGGCACCGGGAUGUAGCUCGUGCUCUCCCGCAUCCUGUGGGGUAUGUGGGAGGCUGCGGGGUGAUACGUCUCCAAUGUAUCUAUGAUUUAUGAAGUAUUCAUGCUAUUAUAUUAUCUGUUUUGGAUGUUUAUGGGCUUUACUAUACACUUUUAUGUUUUUUUUGGGACUAACCUAUUAACCGAAGGCCCAGCCCAUAUUGCUAUUUUUUUUUGCUUAUUUCAGUGUUUCGAAGAAAAGGAAUAUCAAACGGAGUCCAAACGGAAUGAAACAUUCGGGACAGUUAUUUUUGGAACGGAAGCAAUCCAGGAGACUUGGAGUAGAUGUCAGGGAAGCUUAGAGGUGGCCAUGAGGGUCAAGGGCGCGCCCUACCCCCUGGGCACGCCCCCCACCCUCGUGGGUCCUUCAUGGCUCCCCUGACCGACUUCUUUCGCCUAUAUAUAUCCAUAUACCCUAAAAACAUCGGAGAGCACAAUAGAUCAGGGGUUCCGUCGCGGCAAGCCUCUGUAGCCACCAAAAACCAAUCAGGACCCUGUUCCGGCACCCUACCGGAGGGGGGAUCCCUCACCGGUGGCCAUCUUCAUCAUCCUGACACUCUCCAUGAUGAGGAGGGAGUAGUUCACCCUCGUGGCUGAGGGUAUGUACCAGUUGCUAUGUGUUUGAUCUCUCUCUCUCUCUCUCUCUCUCUCUCUCUCUCUCGUAUUCUUGAGGUGAUACGAUCUUGAUGUAUCGCGAGCUUUGCUAUUAUAGUUGGAUCUUAUGAUGGUUCUCCCCCUCUACUCUCUUGUAAUGGAUUGAGUUUUCCCUUGAAGUUAUCUUAUCAGAUUGAGUCUUUAAGGAUUUGAGAACACUUGAUGUAUGUCUUGCUGUGCUGAUCUGUGGUGACAAUGGGAUAUUCACGUGAUCUACUUGAUGUAUGUUUUGGUGAUCAACUUGCGGGUUCAGUGACCUUGUGAAUUUAUGCAUAGGGGUUGGCACACGUUUUCAUCUUGACUCUCCGGUAGAAACUUUGGGGCACUCUUUGAAGUACUUUGUGUUGGUUGAAUAGAUGAAUCUGAGAUUGUGGGAUGCAUAUCGUAUAAUCGUGCCCAUGGAUACUUGAGGUGACAUUGGAGUAACUAGGUGACAUUAGGGUUUUGGUGGAUUUGUGUCUUAAGGUGUUAUUCUAGUACGAACUCUAUGAUAGAUCGAACGGAAAGAAUAGCUUCGUGUUAUUUUACUACGGACUCUUGAAUAGAUCGAUCAGAAAGGAUAACUUUGAGGUGGUUUCGUACCCUAUAAUAAUCUCUUCGUUUGUUCUCCGCUAUUAGUGACUUUGGAGUGACUCUUUGUUGCAUGUUGAGGGAUAGUUAUAUCAUCCAGUUAUGUUAUUAUUGUUGAGAGAACUUGUACUAGUGAAAGUAUGAACCUUAGGCCUUGAUUCCUAGCAUUGCAAUACCGUUUGUGCUCACUUUUAUAAUUAGUUACCUUGCUGUUUUUAUAAUUUCAGAUUACAAAUACUCAUAUCUACCACCCAUAUUGCACUUGUAUCACCAUCUCUUCGCUGAACUAGUGCACCUAUACAAUUUACCAUUGUAUUGGGUGUGUUGGGGACACAAGAGACUCUUUGUUAUUUGGUUGCAGGGUUGCUUGAGAGAGACCAUCUUCAUCCUAUGCCUCCCAAGGAUUGAUAAACGUUAGGUCAUCCACUUGAGGGAAAUUUGCUACUGUCCUACAAACCUCUGCACUUGGAGGCCCAACAACGUCUACAAGGAGAAGGUUGUGUAGUAGACAUCAAGCUCUUUUCUGGUGCCAUUGCCGGGGAGGUGAGUGCUUGAAGGUAUAUCUUUGGAUCUUGCAAUCGAAUCUUUUAGUUUCUUGUUUUAUCACUAGUUUAGUCUAUAAAAGAAAACUACAAAAAAUGGAAUAGAGGGUGCCUCAUAUGCUUCAUCUUUUUAAUGUCUUCUCUGAAAAUAAGGAUUCCGACAAUUGUGCUCAAGUACUAGAAGAAGAAUUACAUAGAAUGCUUGGCAUAAAAUAUGUGAAUGUUGAGCAUGAUUGAAAUGUUGUUAGUAUGAAUUCUUUGAAUACCCAUGAUGCUAAUGAUAUGCCAAGCCACAAGCUUGGGGAUGCUAUGUUUGAUGAAUAUGAUAUUUUUUGUCCCCCAAGUUUUGAUGAGAAAAUUUAUUAUGAUGAAAGCAUGCCUCCUAUUUAUGAUGAUUAUUGUGAUGAUACAUAUGCCAUAAAGAAUAAACAUAACCAUGAAACUUGUCAUCAUGAUUUUAAUUUUCAAUUGGAUUAUGCUUCAUAUGAUAGUUAUUUUGUUGAGUUUGCUCCCACUACUAUUCAUGAGAAGAAGUUUGCUUAUGUGGAGAGUAGUAAAAUUUAUAUGCUUCUGCAUCAUGAAAAUAAUGCUUUAUGUGAUGGAUAUAUUGUUGAAUUCAUUCAUGAUGCUACUGAAAAUUAUUAUGAGGAAGGAACAUAUGCUNNNNNNNNNNNNNNNNNNNNNNNNNNNNNNNNNNNNNNNNNNNNNNNNNNNNNNNNNNNNNNNNNNNNNNNNNNNNNNNNNNNNNNNNNNNNNNNNNNNNGGGAGCAGUUCUUGCGUUCCCUACUUGUACUCUUGUAACUCUGACCAUGCAAUACAAUUGACUGUGGCUUGACUCAUCUCUCAGCUCUCACUAGUCCCAUUAUAUGUCUUAAAACGUUAAUUUCUUUUAUUACAUAACAGUACAUAUUUUACCAUCUCACUAGUCCCACUAAUAAUACAAUUCAGUUUCUUCAGAUGGAUGAUCAAGGCAGGAUGAUAGACUUUGGUAUUCAAGGCCAUGAGUUCAGUCAAAGGACUACAAUACCUUGUCCAAAUAUUGGUCACCAUCAGGACAAUGGUACAAUUUCUCUUAUUCUUAUUCAAUUUAAUAUGGUAAAAUUUAAUCAUGGAAACAAAAUUGCAUAAUGUUCAAUAUAUUCAAGGACUUGAUGACCUGGAGUUUACUCAAGGAGCUACAGGACAUCAAACAAAUAUUGGUCAGGACAAUGGUAUUGAUUCUCUUAUUCUUGGUUAAGUUAAUUUGGUGAAAUUAAUACGGAAGCACAAUUGCAUAAUAUUUUGUGUAUUUCAGGACUUGCUGAUUUGGAGUUCAGUCAAAGGAUCAUAGGACGCCGUCCUAAUUUUGGUACGCUGCAACGUUGUGAUGACCUCGACUUUGACCAAAGGAGUGCAAGGCAGCAUGAGGAUAGUGGUACAAGAUCUCUUAAUCUCAGUCUUGUUAAUGUGGUAAAUUACUGAAAUUUAAUCAUGUAUGCUAGAUUCGCAUCAUUAGAUUCGUUUUGAAAUGUACUUUAUAGGAAAAACUAGUAGCAUUUAUGGCACUAGAUUCGCAUCACUAGAUUCGUUUUGAAAUGUACUUUCAUAAUAUACCAAUUUGAUGUCAUGUAUGCUACUACUUUUUUCUAUAAAGUUUGUCAAAAUUAUAAAACUUUGACUUUGUACAAAAGGUAGAUGUACACUUAUUCACAGGGAACGAGUAUCUUAAAGCCAACAUUUCAGCACUAAAAGCAUUUCUAGCUUUUCCAUAAACUUAACUCCUCAAAUCACCUUCUAUAAUUAAUAUUUUUGGGACCGUUUAUUUAAUCGGUGCCUAAAAAAUGUUUUCAAGAGUCACUUUCUUUCCCGACCAUCAGAUCAAUAUCCAACGGCUUCAAUCAUCCUACGGACUGUUCAACUUCUUCCUCCCGACGACAAUUUCUCCUCCCCCGACAGCCUAUCUCGCCAGAUCCGCCUGCCUCCAUCCCCCGUGGUCGGCGGGCGCUACCGUACACCGCCUCGCCGCCCCACUCCCCCCCAACUCCCAUCCACCAUCGUUGCUGCCCCACCGCAUCGGCCAUCCUUCUAAGCCCCACACCACUGGUGAAAACUCGGGCGACUCCCUUCACCCCAUCCCUAAGAUAGAUAAUGGGGUUGUGACUCCCCUUGAAAUAGAUAGUGGGGCUAUGGCUUUCUCCGGCGAGCUCAGAAUGAACUAGAGAAAGUGACAUACGUGAAGAAAAUUUUCGGGCACCUGAGAUAUAGCAAAAUCGAACCUUUUUAAAUUUUGUGAAGCUAAACAUUCUUGCACCUAGCCCUUCUCCUAAUCUUUAGUCACUAUAUGUUCUACCUAUCUCAUCCAUCUUUCUACAUAGGCAUUUCCACACCAUUUCAUGUUUUCAACAAUAUUCUCAUUAGCACCACUACCACUAGUGUAACCACCAAAGAACCUCGACCUUGCCAAGAUCUCUCCAGGAACAAUUUACCAAUCUUGUCUCAUCCUUUCAUUCAUACUCGGUUAUUGGCACUACACUGGUCGGUGAGUUGUUCACUUGCUCAACACAAUCGGACCAUCAAUGUCACUGAUCUUGGAUGCUACUUCAGCGAUGAGCAGAGAUACCCAUGCGUGUGAUUGGAUGGAAUCAAAACAUUGUGUGAAUAUUAUUGCUCAAUCCUCCUCUAAAUUAUUUCCUUGGUUUGAUCGACUCCUCCAGCCCUGGCGUCAAGAGAGACAUGUUCAUUCAAGCAUUGCACAAAGUUAUGUCCUCCUCAACCUUGUAGUUCACUGACCUUGUUAGCUCUCUCUUCAUGGUAUGUGUGUGUGGUUACCCUCUAUUUCGACACUAUGUCUCUCUCCUUGGCUUUCAUCUGCCACAGAAAUGACAACAUCAUUGAGGUCAAUGGCGUUCCUUUCAUCCAGCGCCAUGAAUUUUUCCAGGUCACCCAACUCGUUUUGCAUAGUACGAUGUCAAAAACCAUCACCAAAUUUCAAUGUCACAUGAUCCAAGAUUUUGAGAAAAAAUAAUAAUACAAAAACACUUACCUAUCUCGCAUUGUGUCCAACACCUCGCGAGCAUAGGAUCAUUCUCAUCACAUGAACUACCAUAGAUCGUUUUGCAAAAUUAAACAAUCCAACAUUCUCGAUCACAACACACGAUUUUUGCACCAAUAAACAACCAAACACUUCUAAUGGGAGGGAUGACUGCAAAAACCAGAAGUGCUACUCAAACUAUACACUAAACAAUAACAAGAAGCUCUUCUCAAACUACAUGACCAAAGUAAACUAGGGAUACAAAUGCACUAUGACAAGUAGUGCUGAUCGCACAACCAUGGAACUAAACCUGAUAUACAAUCCAUAAGACAUCUAGUACGACAUCAUCGUGGAUCCUAGGUUGUCGUGACCUCCGUUCCUCGCGCAGACGACUCCCCCAGGGAAGACAAUCCACCUAGUCUCAGUGUCCAUACCUACAAGAGCCCUGAUCACCUCAAAUUGCUUCAUAAUGACUUUUUAUGAUAUGCAAUAUAUACUUAUGAAAAAUACUUAUACUCUGAUAUUCAGUUGUUGGGGCCAAUGUAUCUGAGCUAAAACCACAACAUUGUCGAACAAUGAUGUUUUCACGAUGGUGUGGUUAUGUGACGUGAUUGCAGCUAGGACACACUCUGUGAUGAAUGUGAAUGAUAACACAAAGGAAAAAAUUCCUCCAUACCUGCGACAGCGAUGUAACACUGCAACAUGCACUGACGCAGGUCUAGAUGAAUUUUUUCUUGAUGGGUGAAGGGNNNNNNNNNNNNNNNNNNNNNNNNNNNNNNNNNNNNNNNNNNNNNNNNNNNNNNNNNNNNNNNNNNNNNNNNNNNNNNNNNNNNNNNNNNNNNNNNNNNNAAAAACAAAAGAAUAAAUAUAACAGAAAAGAAAAAAGAAACUAUAUAGAAAACUACUCAGAAAUGAAUAGAAGCAAAAAAUAGUUGUGGUUAACUGUACUAAAAAAGGAGCAUAUAUCCUUAUUUUUAAUGGCUUAUUACAACUCAGAAAUAAAAAGAAAAAAAUAAAUAUAGCAGAAAAGAAAAAAAAUAUGAAAAACUACUUAGAAAUGAGCAUAGAUGCGCUUAUAGAGGAAAAUUAACUUAAAUUCAUAAUGAAUUUCAAACGAAAUCCAUAUGAAUUUAGGCGAAUUUCCCUAUAUAAGGGCAUCUAUUUUCAUUUUCAGAGGAGCUCAAUAUGGCAGAGAGGGAGGGGCUUAUAAACCGGUCCGAUUCCCCUUCGGUUGGCGAGGUGGGACUAAACUCUGGCCGCAACAAGGACCAACCCUUCGGUCCCGGUUCGUACCACCAACCGGGACCAAUGGUGGUGGGCCAGGAGCGGGGCGCAUUGGUCCCGGUUCGUCCCACCAACCGGGACCAAUAGGUCCAGCCGAACCGAAACCAAUGGCCCACGUGGCCCUGCCGGCCCCCGGGGCUCAAGAACCGGGUCCAAUGCCCCCAUUGGUCCCGGUUCUGGAUUGAACCGAGACUAAUGGGCUGGACCGGCCUGGACCAUUGCCCCCUUUUCUACUAGUGAUUCUCCCACUCACCUUUUUGAAAGAACCAUUCUCUUUAAAAGCAUACCGUUUCGUGACAAAACUAUUUGCCUUGGUAUAGUGAGGAAGGAGUACCCAAUGACUUGGGAUAACCUACAAAGUAGCACUUGUCUGAUUUGGAAUAGGUUUGUAACCUUUUACACAAGCCCCAUAUUCCAAAUGUUUAAGAAAAGAUAUAACAUGGUUGGGCGUACCAUACCAUGGUGUCAUUUCAACAGACCCGAUGGAGCUCUUUUCAGCGUAAAAGCCGCAGUAUCUAAAGCAUCACUCUUUAAAAGGGAUAAUGGCAAAUUUAUUGAUGUCAUCUUUGAUCUUACCAUGUCAUAAAUGGUUUGAUUACAUCUUCACAGACUUUCCACUUGCAGUGGUAUUCUGGGAAGUGCAAGUUAUGAAUCCCCUUUCACAACUCAUCAGACAUUCGCUAAACUUGUAACUCAAAUAUUCCUUUCUGCAAUCAAAUUGUAGAAACAUAAUUUUCUUGUUACAAUAACUUCUACUUCAUUUCUGAAAACCUUUCGAAUGAUUUCAAAAGAUCCAGACUUACGUCUCAUCAAGUAAAUAUCCAUAUAUCUACUUGAGCCAUUUCUGAAGAUAGAUAAAUCCACUACUUGCAACAUUUAUCGGACUACAUACAUCAAAUGUAUGAUCACCAAUAAGUUUGCUGUUCAUUCUUUAUUGCCUGUGAAUGGUAUUUCAGUCACUUCACCUUUCGGAGGAAAGUUGCAAGUGUCAGAUGAUUCAAAAUCAAAUGACUUCAAAAUCCAUCAUAAUGGAAUUUUCCAUGCGGGUUUCCCCAAAUGUGACCAAAUGUAGUGCCACACUUGUGUGGUAUUCUUUUAGUCUUGCGACAUUUAGCGUCAGUGUUAUGGAUGUAUCAUAUUACCAUCAAUAUUCAUAACAUACAUCCCAUCUUGGAUGGAAGCAUGGCCCUUCAUGUUAUUCAUAAUACUGAACAACAAUUGUUGUUUUUAUGAAUAACCUCUCUUGCAAAAACAUUGUGCAAUGGGCUAGAGUGUAUGAAACUCUAAAAUGAAUUAUGAAAAUAAACCUAGAGGUAAUGUAUUAUUAUCAAUAUUCAUAACAUACAUCUCAUUCAUAAUGAAAGUAUGGCCCUUAUGUUAUUCAUAACAUCGAACAUAAAAAGUUCUCUUAUGAACAACCUUCUUGCAAGAUACCUUAUGCAAUGGGCUAGAGUGUGAAACUCUAAAUGAAUUAUGAAAAUAAAUACAGACGGUAAUACACCGACAAAAAGUAUAGUAACAUUUACCAUGUUCCCUGUGUAUACCUAAACCUCAUUCCUGGCUAGUCUUUCAGGCCAUAGCAGUUCUUACAUCGAGUUGCAACAGAAUGCAAUCGAGUGGGUAUCUUUGUGAUUAACUCACAAUACCCAAAACUCAAUGAUUAACAUUUUAAUCAUAAUUCCCAAGAACUAUAUCUUUGACCAGCCUUCUAUACAUAAAAAACUUGUAUGACAUUCAUACAUGAGCUGGAUAUUCCAGUCUUCAUUCUUUUUGCCUUUAUACUUCUAACAGUUUAACUUUUAGUAUUUCUCCUACUCUCAGAAGAAGCACCCAACUUAAGAGUGGCUUUAGCCCUGGACUUCCUAGGCGUGAAAGUCUCACUAACACCCUUCGGACACUUCCUUUCUCUUUAAGUUGUUGUUUUAUUCACCUUUCAUCAUAUGACAGGCGUUCUUCUGGAUCCCUCUCUUAUCAGUCUAAUGGAUAGUAAACUCCUUUACUAAUAGUUUGCAAACAAACAUUUCUUUGGAUAUCUCAUAUCUUUUAGCCUUUGUCUGUCUCUGAAAAUGAUUUUCAGAUUCCAUGAAUAUCACAUAACUAUCCAAACUUUCGAAGUUCGGAUCUCAUGGAAGCAAACAUAUUGCACUUGACUAAAAUGGAAUUCUAGCUUUUGGAUCGAAAGACGGGAGUCACAUGAUCCAUAGCAUAAGCGAGAGAAUACCAAAAGUAUGCGAUAGGACAAAGUCCUUCUUGGCACUUUUGAGGACAAUCCUCACAUUACGUUACCAAUCGUAAAGUUUUAACCAGAUAUUUAACAGCUAUUCAAUUUUAACAGGGAAGGUGGAAAUGCGAGCCAUUAUUCUACAACUAUUUUGCAAGAAACACUUAGACAGUGUUCAUAAUUAAUUGCACUGAGAAUUAAACAUGUUAAUUCAACAGUGCGCACCCACACAAAUCAAUAUCUCUCAUAAUUAAUUUUGAGUGAUACAAGAUCCAGACUUCAAUUCAUCGCCAUAGAAUCAUCAUCUCAUAACGGGAAUUUUAAUCGGUAGGCCAACUUGNNNNNNNNNNNNNNNNNNNNNNNNNNNNNNNNNNNNNNNNNNNNNNNNNNNNNNNNNNNNNNNNNNNNNNNNNNNNNNNNNNNNNNNNNNNNNNNNNNNNAUUCCCAUCUGCCACAUAACCACGGGCACGGCUCUCAAAAGUUUAUAACCUGCAGGGGUGUGCCAACUUAGCCCAUCACAAGCUCUCACGGUCAACGAAGGAUAUUCAUUCUCCCAGGAAGACCCGAUCAGUCUUGGAAUCCUGGUUUACAAGACAUUUCAACAAUGGUAAAACAAGACCAGCAAAGCCGCCCGAUGUGCCGACAAUCCCGAUAGGAGCUACACAUAUCUCAUUCUCAGGGCAACACCGGAUGAGACUAGCUACGAGUAAAACCAGCCCUCAAGUUUCCCCGAGGUGGCCCCGCAGGAAGCUCGGUUUGGACCAGCACUUAGAGAAGCACUGUCCCGGAGGGGCUAAAAUAAAGAUGACCCUCGGGUUGGCCGACCCAAGGGAAAGGUAAUAGGUUGUUAGGCAAAUGUAAAACCAAGGUUGGGCCUUGUUGGAGGAGUUCUAUUCAAAGCAAACUGCCAAUGGGGACCCAUAAAUCACCCAACCGCGUAAGGAACGGAAGUCAAGGAACGUAACACCGGUAUGACGGAAACUAGGGCGGCAAGAGUGGAACAAAACACCUGGCAUAAGGCUGAGUCUUCCACCCUUUACCAAGUAUAUAGAUGCAUUAAUUAAAUAAGAGAUAUUGUGACAUCCCAACCAUAAUCCUGUCCACCAUGAAGCAAUCUUCAACUUCACCUGCAACUAACAACGCUAUAAGAGGGGCUGAGAAAAAUGCUAACAUAGCCAAACAACGGUUUGCUAGGAAGGUUGAAAAAGGUUAGAGGCUGACAUGGCAAAUUGGGAGGCUUGAAGAACAAGUGAUAGGUAGCACAGCAUAGCGAUAGAACAAAGGAACUAGCAUAGCAAUGAUAGUAAUGAGAUCCAAGGUGAUGGUCAUCUUGCCUAAAAUCCCGCUAGGAAGAAGAACGAGUCCAUGAAGAAGAUGAAGCCACGAAGACGAAUCAAGCGUAGAUGAACAAAUCCUCACGAUCGCAACGAAACGGGAACUAUCGAGAAGAAGCACACAACAUGGUAAACACACCACACAUAAACAUGACAAGAUGCUCAACCAAGCAUGAUGCAUGACAAAGGCUACAUGAAGCUACUCAUGGCAAGAAAUGAUGCAUACAAGAGCAACCCAUCAAGGCAAGUUUAAAUGAGGCCGGAAACAACAUAUAACAAUUCCGGUAAGUCCUCAUAUGCAAAUUUCGAAAUUGGUCCAGAUCUGAUUAGAACACAAUGUUGAAGUUUUUAGACAGCAAGUUAAGAUGCACCAAGAUGAUCUACACAAAAUUCUAAUCAAGUUACAUAUAAAAUUCAUUUAGUUCGGAGCUACGGCCUAGAAGAUAUGAGCAAAACAAGUGGAACAUUGCUUUGAUGCAAAAUACAUUCAAACAUCAAGAAAACACUAUCAAACCAUGGAUUCAACAUGGCAUGAUGAAACUACAUGCAAUUCUAAGCAAGUUUCAUAUAGAGCAUGCUCAAAACGGAGAAACGGUUAAACACAUACACUCCAAACAUAAUAUAACAACAAGCUGUCCAAAAACAGCAACUAGGCAUCUAGCAAGCAUCAAAACAAGAUGCUAAAGCACCUCAACAUGAAAUCAAAAGGCGUGGACAUGAUGUACAGGUAAAGCAUGACAAAACAUGAACAAUGAGUUAUCUCCAGAAAUCACUAGAACAUGCUAAAAAGGGCAUGGCAAGAUUGCAAAUAAUAACAGUUCACAGACUUAGCAGAAAUCACUGGACAUGGCAGAAAUAACACCAGGUUGCAAUGUUUAGAGCUAUCAAACAACAUGUUAACAGGAACUUAUCAUGGCAACCAAAGGCAUGGCAUGCUAAUACUAAAGACAAAGAACAAAACACCGUUAGUGAACUUAUUCCAAAGAUCAACAGAAAAGAUGGUAGCAUCCAUGCAAACAUGGCAAACGAUAUGAUAGAUUCAGACAUGGAAGGAACAACAAUAAGUAGGCAUGUUAGUGAGCUUGUAUAAAUCACCAUAGGCAAUACAUGGCAUGGCAUGGUGACCAACAGUAAGCAGACAUGCUUUUGAAGCUAGGAAUGGCAAGAGAAAGUUCAUAGGGUGCACAGAUCACUAGCAAAGCUCAUGGAAAAACGGAACUUAAUGUUAACAGGCUGACGGCAACAUUAUUUAGCAAUUUGAGAGUAAGAUUACGACAAGCUAUAGCAGGCUAUAAAUGCAACCAGGGGCAUGGAUGGAUAUAGCAUAACAAAACACCCUUAGUGAACAUCUCCAGAUUAUUCAUAGAAUGACUUGUAGCAGCAGGUUUACAUAGCAUCGUGAUAUAGCAGAAUCAGCCCAGCAAAACAGAAACAGCAAGUAUCCUACUUCACAAGCUUGAUGCACUCACCAAAAGGCACAAAAAAAUACAUGGAUUGCACCAUUGCAGAAAUAACAUGAUGUAGCUCAAAACUCAUUUAGACAUCAAGCUCAUAGGAUGCGCACACAAAAUGCAAUGAAAAAGACAAAUCACCAAGUUCUGUUAACAGACAACAGUUAACAUCAUAUAGCACUCUUGCAACGAUUAUUAGGGCAUAAAGAUCAACUCAAACAAGCAUGGCACAAUGGAACAAAAUUAGGAGCACCUCACAAUGAACAAUUUGACAUUUCAUUCAACUCAAACGGACAAGCAUGCAUAGAGUUAUAACCAUUCAAACAUGCAUACAUAAAGUUGAAAAUUCGGGACUUGGACAUAUUUCACCUCGCGAGAGACGGGAUCGGGCGGUCCAGCGGGAUGGAGGGAUCCGGGCGCGGGGCGCGGUUGGAUGGCCGGCCUGGUGGAUCUCGUCCACUCGUCCGGAUCCGGGGCCGGCGCGGGUCAGGGAGGCCUCCGGGGACGAGGAAGACGACGGGGCCUCCGAGCGGCGGCACAGAGGGCGGCGACCGACGGCGGGGUCGCGAGGCGGCGGCGGAGCUCCGGCGGGGAGCUCGCCGGACGGUGCGGUGGAACGGCGCGGAGGCCCGCGGGCGACGGGGUCGGAGCNNNNNNNNNNNNNNNNNNNNNNNNNNNNNNNNNNNNNNNNNNNNNNNNNNNNNNNNNNNNNNNNNNNNNNNNNNNNNNNNNNNNNNNNNNNNNNNNNNNNCCCCCCCCUUGGGCCCAUGCGCCUAGGGUUGGGGGGGGGGGAACCCUAGAGGGCGCGCCCCCUUGCUUGGGGGGCAAGUUCCCCCUCCCUGGCCGCCGCCCCCCCUCUAGAUCCCAUCUAGAGGGGCCGGCCCCCCUUGCCCCUUCCCCUAUAAAUAAAGGGGUGAGGGGAGGGCUGCAUACACAAGCCAAGGCGCAGCCCCUCCCCUCCCCAACACCUCUCCUCCUCCGUCACGAGCUUGGCGAAGCCCUGCCGGAGUACUGCUUCUCCACCAACACCACGCCAUCGUGCUGCCGUGGGAGCUGUCUUCCUCAACCUCUCCUUCCUCCUUGCUGGAUCAAGACGGAGGAGACGUCGUCCGUUCCGUAUGUGUGUUGAACGCGGAGGUGCUGUUCGUUCGGCACUUGGUCAUCGGUGAUCUGAAUCACGUCGAGUACGACUCCAUCAUCAUCGUUCCCUCGAACGCUUCCGCAUGCGAUCUACAAGUGGUAUGUAGAUGCAAACUCACUCCCUUGACUCGUUGCUUAGAUGAACUCAUAGAUGGAUCUUGGUGAAACCGUAGGAAAAAUUUUAAUUUUCUGCAACGUUCCCCAACAAUAUAUACCCUGUACAAGGGUGGUUUACAAAAAGAGGCAGUUGUCAAAGAGACAACCGACAUAGCAGGGAUUAACAUAUUAAUUAACUUAAUUAAUUAAUUCCUAACACUCCCCCUAAUCAAUGCUUGUCCUUGUGAGUAUGCAUCAUCUUGAUAAAUAAUACUCCUUGUAUGUCUUUGCCUUUGAGAAUGCUCAUCAUCUUCAUCUUGAGAAAUCCAUGUAUAAUCUUUAAAGUCUCCUCCAAAAACCCUAUGGGAAAAAUAUGAGGAGACUAGUGUAGAUAUGUUGCUAAAACUCCUUUAAACCCAGUGGGAAAAAUAAUAAGGAGAGAUGCAACAUAUAAUGAUUAUUGUCUCUUCAUAACUCAUAUGAGGAAAACCUUUGAAGAAGGAGAAAACUCAUUGGUGAGUUUAGAGAACAAUAAAUAUGCUUUCUAUACUUUCCUUUAAAAAUCCGAUGGGAAAAAAACUUGAAAGUAUAGCAUAUAACCUUAAAAAGAUAUUACCUCAUUAAAUUCCAUUAUGAGAAACUUUGAGAGAAAACUCAUAGAGGAAAAGAGUGCGAUCUGAUAUGUCAUUGAAAACUCCUUUAAAACCCAACGGGGAAAUAUAAGGAGAAAAUGAUGUGACAUAUGUAAACACUUGUAUCAAUAUUGUCUCAUUAAAAACCUUUUAUGAGAAACCAUGAGGGAAAACUCAUGAAGGGAAAAAGAGUACAAUAUAUGCAAUCUGAUGAUUGUUAACAGGUUAUAGUUUGGGAGAUUACUCCCCCUGAACUUUGCAAAUCUCGAGGAUGUCUCAUACCAAUUGCAUUGACAUGAUAAUGCCAUUGUGAAUAAUCUGUUGGAUUUUCACAGUAUUUUCUUUGAAAAUUGUUUCCUCACUUUUCUAUAAUUCAUGAGGAUAAGUGAUCUUCGAGCAAUGUGAUUUAUGAUAUUGCUCUUCAUAUAACCUGUAGGUAUUGAGUAACACAAGUGGUAGCAUCUUGAUAAAAUCAAGUUAUGUGAUUGUUAUGAAUCUCAACCACAUGAUUUUGAGUGUGGUUAAUCAUUCUACCGAGACAUGCAUAUUAUGCGAUUCUUUUAGAUAAAGCAAUUAUGUCAGAAUGAUAAGUGGAAAUAGUCAUCAAAGUUUAUUUGGAUGACUUUCAUGAAAAGACUAUUUAUAGUGAAUCCAGUCAUUGAGAUGGCAUUAUUGGGAUCAAAUAAAGAGCCAAUAUCAUUACAUCAUAUCAUGGUCAUAUCUUGAUUUCGUGAUGGAAAUGCCCAAGAUGUAUUGUGAGCAUGAGAUAUAAGUUCUUAUUUCUUAUAUCUACCAUAUACCUUUUGUUGGGGGGUUGCACUCUGGACAAAGAUAGCAAAUAUAGUGUCAGGCUUGACGUAAUAUGCAAUUAUAUGAGUACGUUGGUGUUAGUGAGACGUAGAACUUUAGGUUCUGAUAUCACUACAUUAUCACCCCUAGGUAUGAAUGGAUUUGUAGCCUAUUAGGGGUAGUAUGACCAUAUUGCAUGUCUUUUAUUGGUAUGAUAUAUCCACAUUAAACUUCUCGUAUAUGUAUUGGAUAUAUGGAGACUGAUAUGUAUUCUUGAGAGAAUGCUCAAGUUGUAAACUUAAGUUAAAUUUGGUUGAAUCAAAAUUUUCCUUCUUGAGAUGAUUUUGUGUAUGUUUAGGUCUUGUAUAGACAUUGAUGAUGAGGUCAUCAAUAUACACUGAGGUGAUGAAAGGAAAUCAAAUUUGAGAUUCCUUUAUUAAACAUGUAACUAAUCAUCAUUAUCGAGUAAUCCUUUUGAAGAAGGAACUCAUCUCGUCCGUAGUACCAUAUGAUUUCUGACUAUUUCAAGUCAUAGAGUGACUUAUGAAGUUUUACACAAAACUUGUUGCGAUUUGCUUUUGGAUUCGGAAGUAUAAACCCUUGAGGGACUUCAAUAGAGAUUUCUUAAAUGAGUGACUCAUAUGAGUAUGUAGCCACUUCAUCCAUCAACUGCAUGGAUAAUAUUAUCAUUUUUAUUGCCAAUGAUAUUUAGUAUUGAAACAUAAUUCCACUCAUACCAAGAGGUUAUGUUACAUCAUAAUCGAUGUCGGGUCUCUGCGUGAACCCUUUUUGCUACAAGCCUCGCUUUCGCACCACCUCAUUGACUUUGUCUAUGAAUGAGAAGUUUUUAGUAUUCCAUAUGGAAGAUCCUUAGAGGGUAUCUUUGGUGAACCUAGGUGUAUCCUUCAAUACAAACGGUACAACACUUUCUCAACAAAUUCGCCCUCCGACCUAUUUGGUUCGACUAUCAAAUCUGUCACCGGUGUGAGUCGCCGCCCCGCGCUCACCAUUCCACACCAAAAUUGAUCACUGAGACGGACUUGAUAUUGUUGCUGAUGUGAUCCUCCUGCCGAUCAACAUGGCGUGCCUCNNNNNNNNNNNNNNNNNNNNNNNNNNNNNNNNNNNNNNNNNNNNNNNNNNNNNNNNNNNNNNNNNNNNNNNNNNNNNNNNNNNNNNNNNNNNNNNNNNNNUGCGCUUGAAUGUCUUAUAAAUUUUAGGCAGAGUCAUACAUACUUGCAAAUAAUUUUGUUUUUACACUCUUUGUGCAGACAAGCAUUUUGGUGAAACAUCCACCAACCCACUCGAGGAGCGUGAUCUAGAAGGGAGUCACCACGAGCGCUAUAUGCUGGCGCAUCAUAACCUCAUCCUCAGCUUGUUGAAUGGUCUCGCUGACACUCGGCGUGAGCUUGCUCUUGCACGUGGGAUCCCAUCCCCGGUAACAAGCACGGACACACCGGCACUGGCAGAGGCUGUGCUGUCGCUACGACUUCCUGAACCACUGUUUAGACAUGGGUGCAUUCUCCCAGCACCACGUACCAAGAGGGAAAUCGCUGCAAGGAUGGCUGCUCUCCGGUUUUACUGCUCCAUUGCUAGGCCUGAGCAUCCAUUGGACUCCGAGGUGAGGGAUCUCGAGGAGGCUUCCUAAUCUAAGGAGGAGGACCUCGAGGAGUCUUCUGUCGUGCCUUCCACCCCUACAUCCUGCAGCGACUCAGGAGAGGCAUCGGAACCAGGCCAGAAGCGACCAGAGCGCAAGAGGAAACCGAGCAAGUGGUUGGACUGAAAAACAUGGGCCAAAUAGCGCUCUUUCCCUUUAUCUCUCCCGGCUGGCGCUUGUGUAUGGGUGUGUUGCUACUCCAAUCUUUCUUCCUUCCCCUUCGUCCUGCUACUCCAAUCCCAAAUUCUACCGAUCUACUCAUAGUCAUAUGGACUCCAAAUUCGAGUGAGAUAUCUGAGGAUUGGCUUAUGUGAUGAAAUUUGAGCACAACAUAUUUGUUGAUGGCUUGCGUGAUGGCGUAACAUAUAUGUACUUAUAGUCAUAUGUUCGUGCGUUUGUGCACAACAUAAUUUGAGCACCUCUAUGUACUCAUACUCAUAUGUUCGUGCACAACAUAAUUUGAGCACCUAUAUGUACUCAUACUCAUAUGUUCGAGCACAACAUAUUUUUAGAUGGCUUAAGUGCUGAAAUAUAAGCUGGAUUGCUAGUUCACAACCCAAAAGAUUUGGAUACUGCCGUUUCUCUGACGUAUUUGCAGGAAGAAGCUCUCAAAAUAACCAAACGGCAUGAGCCCAUGCGGUGUGGACACCAAUUAAGGCUCCCGGAAUCAUCUAAGGAGGGCCAUGCAUCUUCCUCCUCCUGGGCGCCCUCAAACACCAAUAGUGCUUGGCCUCGAGAAGCUUGGCGGACAUAUCACCCGUGACGCACCCUCAACUGAAGACCGCCAGGGGGUUAUCCUAUGUCUGCAGCGAGAAGUGGACGCGGGAUCACAAGUGCGCUACUUCUGUUCAACUUCAUGUGGUGAACUACACAACAUAAAAAUCAUUUUUUCCUUUUCUGCAAGACGUGGUAUAUUUGUUUUUUACAUGACAUAAUGUUUCUUUUGAUUAAAUCUUCUGAUCAUUUUUCUCAUUUCCUUUCGGGAACAACUUAUGUAUUCCCAGGUCUUGACUCCUUGUUACAAGAAAUGUGUUAUGUUUUCUUCACAUAAUCCAGAAGAGCCAAAUUAACAUGGUAUUAGCAUGCUUUUCUAUUUGCAAAACAAUUACCCAGGUUCUUUCUCCCUUGUGUAACAUUUUGCUUGAAUUGACAUAUGCGGAUUUCUUUUUGUGUCUUCACAUAAUCAAGAAACUGACUAUGUUUCACAAAAAAUGUUCAAACCCUGAAGAUGAGUGGAAAAAAUUCCUUGAAAGUUUGGGCAGAAGAACUGAGGAGAAGGUGCGUGAGGAUGAUACAUUAGAAAAUGAGCUUGUCUUCAUGCGAUAGCUGACAUGAAGUUUACAUAUGUUGUCUCAUGCCAGCAGUAUGGAAUCCAGAAACGUUCUGGUGAUCCUUGUGCACAUGAUAUUUUGGGACUAUGACAACGUAAGUUUCGUGUUUACACUCGGAAGUCCUGGAUAUAUGUUGCUUUCAGUGGAAUAUAAGUCUUACUUUAAUUUGGUCCAUUUGUCUUUGUCAUCUAUACGCUAAAACAAACAUGCAUGCAUUCCAUGUAGCAGUGCCUUUGCAUGUCUGUGUGUGAGAAGUGUUAGUUGGGCUAGAAGAAUGGCAGUUUGUUGAUAUUCUUAAUAAUUAUUUACCAGUAUUAAAAACUGUAAGUUUUAUUUAUUUACUGAACUGGUAUCUAUCCUAGUCAGUAAUUAGUGCAUCGUGAUGUUCCAUAUCUUUCUGUCUAUCAAACUACAUUAUAAUUCAAAACCAAUGCUUUGAAUGCUAGAUACAUACAUUUAUGAGGACACAUUAUUCAUAAUAGUUUCAUUAUUUUUAUUUUAGAUGUCACAUACUUGUACACAAAUAUAUGCCAUAUAUGUGUAUAUGUAUAUACAUAUAUGAUGGCACUGAAAUAAUAGAAAUAUGUUUGCUGGGCAGAUAUCCAUCUUUUCGUGUUGCCUAUAUUGAUAAAGCUGAAGCACCUAGACAAGAUAGAAAUAAGUAGAUUGACAAAGUUUACAACUCAGUUUUGGUGAAGGCCGCUGUUACAAAAUCAGAUGAUCCUGGACAGAGUCUUUACCAGGUACUGCAAAAUGCUCUGUUAAUUCAGUACCUUGGUUAAAUUUUCUGUAAGUUAUGUUUACUGCGUUUCUCUUUGUUUAAGAGUUCUUUUACAGUACAUCAAAUUACUGUGGGCCCUUUAUUUUCAUCAGUACAAUGGAUAAGAUCCAUCCAUACUACCACAUAAACUUUGUAGUAUUUUUUGACCGGGAGGAACACAUAAGGGCAAUAUGGA